AAAAAGGAGGCACCAUGUCCAUCCAAAACUAUACAACAAUGCCGGGACUGAAGAAGUUGGCAGGUGACAAAGUCGUUGUGUGUCAUAAGCAGAACUAUCCCUAUGCUGUGUUUUUCUGCCAUGCAAUAAAACAUACAGCAGCUUAUGCUCUCUCCCUGAAAGGCGAUGAUGGGGAGAAGGUUAAAGCAGUAACCAUCUGCCAUCUAGACACAUCAGAAUGGGACCCAGAGCAUAUGUCCUUCCAAAUCGUCAACGUUAAGCCCGGAACCAUUCCCAUCUGCCAUUUCAUUUCCACUGAUGCUAUUGCCUGGGUUCCGAACCACAAAUCUGCAUGAUCAUCACUUAGCACUGUACGUAUAAUUAUCUCCUUACUUAUUUCUGCCUCUUCAUCAUGUGGUGUAAGAUAUAUGAUGAGAUGAAGUUUUUGGGAUUAGUGGUUGGGUUGCCUGAAAAACACAGAUUACAGAAACUGCUUGAAAUUAACCCGAUCAUGUUUUCUCUUGUAACUAUAUAGACUUCAACUUGUACUCAUAAUAAAGCAUGCUAUAUUUAUGAAGAGAUAUUAAUCUAUAUAUAUUUUUUAUAUAUGCUUUGGCUUUGUGGUUCUACCCAAUGUUUGAGUGUUGAAUUGUUACGUUGGAAUAGGCUGCUAAUGCAUGUAGUUAGAGAAGCCUUCAUUUAUAUCAAAGUCCUCAAACUAUCAAGAACUAAUGUAUCCAGAAACAUAUACCAAGACGCAAAACAACAUAUUUUCCAUGCUCUGUCUGUAACACCAAAGCAAACUUCCUUGAUCACAAAAGGAUCAAAUUCCAGUACUAAUCUAAUCCAUCAUGUAAAGCAUACAAGUGCCUCCCUAAAUACUAUACUCUUUUUGUUAUUUCCUACUAUACUAUUUAAGUUUGCAUACUCAUAUAGCAUAUGCAAACACAAUUAGAAAUUCUACAAGAUACAAACAACCCCCUCAACUUUGACCAGUGUGUCAAUUUAGUUCUUGAAAUUUAGAUUACAAAGCAAAAUCAAAUCAUACCAUGAAACACAAGCGACUUAAACCUCCAGGCAAAUAGAUAUUAUGAACAUAUAUAGCAAUUUAUAGAACAAUACAUUAAUCCAGAAGAAAUAUUAUGAAAUGAAAAGAAUAAAAAGUAGAAAAACACAAGGAAAGGAAUUUGCACCUGCUCACUUGCAGAUUGCUUUCUCCGGCCGUAGAUGUAACAGAAAUUUUCUCUUAAUAAUACCACAAUGAUCGGGUAAUUGUAAGAACAAGUUGAUUUAAAAUUCCUUGACCCAAAAAAAAAAAAAGUUGAUUUAAAAUUCAGGUCAACCCAUAGAUUUCUCCCCUUUUUCUUCUUCAUCUCGUGGGGCUUGUCUUCUUCUUGAGGAUUGUAUAGGCCAAGGAAAUGCUUUGAGUUAGUUUUUACGCUUUUGCGUUUUGGGCCUUGGAAGUUGGGACCCAAACCAACUUCACAAAAAGAAAACGCUCAGACUAUAAUGAAUGGAAAGUUAUAAGGGGUAAGUUAUAAGGGGUUCACUUUAUAGCCAUCAGAUCAAUCCAAGGGCUGGGGAGAAUUGAGAUAAAGUUUUAAAAUCGGGUAGGUGAGGAACCCAAACCCGAAUUGAAUAUCCAGCACGUCCGAAAAAGAAGAAGAAGAGGCAAGCACGUCCGAAAAAGAAGAAGAAGAGGCAAGUUCGAAGUUUGAACAGAAAAAACUCAUCUCUUUAAAACCCAUAGCUCUGAGAAACGGUUGAAGGCAACGGUUAACGACGGUUAAAGGCAACGGUUGAAGCCACUCCGUUCUCCAGACCCUGAAAAAGUAUUUAUUUUGAGUAGAAGGGGCAAAGGUGUGGAUUCCGAAACAGUGAAGGGGCGAAGCAGUGGAAGGGGGAGGAGAGAAGCCGUAUUCGUUGGAAGUGGUAGGUUCCAUUUGUGGAGCAAAGCAACACAAAGACCCCGCACAGACACCUUGCGAUUGUUCAAUAACCAGCAUUUGGUGAGUAAUUUAUGGAAUUUGAGUUUAGGGUUAGAGUAAUGGUUUUCCCCAAUUUGUACCAUCAAUUUUGUUGGAUUUGGCAUCUCUUCUUUGUGCUUCAGUUGCAUGUUAAUUUUUGCUUGGGUAUAUGUUAAAAAAAGAAUGAAAAUCAAGUCAAUAACAAGUGAAUAACAUGUCAAUAAUGAUAUGAAUAAGAUAAUGGUGUUGAAUUGGAGGAGGCCCUCAAAACAUUCCACAUUUGAAGCAGUGCAUAGUGCAGAUUAUCUCUCUGGCGCUAGAAUAUAUAUAUAUUUUGAAAUAAAUAUGAUUUCCUUUGUUACUAAAUUUGCCUGAGAAACAUGAGAACAGAUAAUAAUAAACUCAUGAAUAGAAGUGCAAAGCAUUUGAUGAGUAAUUUAUGGAAUUUGAGUUUAGGGUUAGAGUAACGGUUUUUCCCAAUUUGUACCAUCAAUGUUGUUGGAUUUGGCAUCUCUUCUUUGUGCUUCAAUUGCAUGUUAAUUUUUACUUGGGUAUAUGUUAAAAAACAAAUAAAAAUCAAGUCAAUCACAUGUCAAUAACAUCUCAAUAACAUGUUAGUAAUGAUAUGAAUAAGAUAUAAUGGUGUUGAAUUGGAGGAGGCCCUCAAAACCUUCCACAUUUGAAGCAGUGCAGAGUACCUCUCUGGCACUAGAAUUUAUAUAUUUUUUUAAAUAAAUAUUAUUUCAUUUGUUACUAAAUUUGCCUAUGAGAAAUGAGAACAGAUAAUAAUAAACUCAUGAAUAAAAGUGCAAAGCAUUUGAAAUAAAGGUUGAUCUAUGACAAUUGUGGCUGACAGAAGAAAAAGCUAGAAAGAAAGAAGGAUGUGGCAAUUGCUUAGCAAGCAGAUAGCAGAGUAGAUGCUUUGCUUUGCUUCCUUCCACUAUAUUAUUUAUUUAUUUAUUUUGUGUUGUGUAUGAGAUGACAAUAAUUGUCAUGUGUGUGAAGUGCAGAACUUGCCUAGAUUGCACUCACACUCACUCAUGCAUCAACCAUUGAUUCGAAUUUGGAUCCAUGAAUAAAACACAUGAAAUUGUUUGUAAUUCACAUAAUCAUUGCAUUAACAGGUAUUUGCACAAAAUUUUUCAUAUUGCUUUGAUGAUGUUAAAGCCUGUGAUCAGUAAUCCCUAUGCUUAUGUACUUUGUAAAAUUUGUAAUGUGCCUGGUUGACUAGUUGUGUAAAUACCAAUGUGAUUGUGCAAAUACGUGGUAGUAUAUGUGUUCAUGUUAUUUCAUCUUGUAUUUCAGGAAAUGGGAUCCAAUGUGGAGCUGGUAUGGCCAGAGUCAGAGGCAUAUUCGUCACGGGUGAACAACUGCUCACAUGCAAAUUCAUCUCUAGCUGCAAUUCGAGCGAAGUUGAGUGCGGAACAAUUAGAACAAUUCAAGACAUCAUGCUUUGGCCAUCUUCUGAAUAUAGAUAAGAUUCAGUUUAGCGGGCAGAUUGUGCAUGGGGUUGUGUUGCGUAGAGUAGCGGGGCAGGGUGUGAAAGACUUGGAUGGACUGAGUUUCUUAAUAGGGUGUGACGUUGCUCAGUUCACUCGUCAAGAUUUCUGUUUGAUCACAGGGCUUCGUUUUGGGGAAGUGCCUGAAGUUUCCAGUGGAGAGAGUGAUGAAAUUAGACUUCAGAAAAGAUAUUUUAUAGACGAAUGAAUUACAUGCAAUGCUUUAGAAUAAACAUUUUUGAGGUGCACAGAGGAAGAUGACAUCUACAAGCUAGCUCUUGUUUACUUUGCUGAGUUAGUGGUUUUGGGAAGGGACAAACAUUUGAACAUCAAUCUAAAUUACCUGACCCUUGUAGAGGACUUAGAUGCGUUCAACAGGUAUCCGUGGGGUUCGGUGUCCUUUGACAAAACCAAAGACAGUCUAUUUUCUGCACCAACAAAGUAUGUGAAAAGCUUUGAAAAUGAAGAGGGAAGAGGGAAGGGGAAAAGUAAGGUAACAGGAACAAGCCGGAGAAAUGAAAAGGGCAAGAAGGAUAAGCAUGGUGAAGUGCAAAGGGGUGGUUGGAGUUUUAAAGGUUUCACGUAUGCUUUCCAGGUACAUGGUAAUAAUGUUCAUGUCAGUUAUGUCUUGUUUUUCUUUAAAACUUAAAUAAUGACUUUUGUCCUGUGAAUUGUGUAGAUUUGGGUAUAUGAAUUAAUUGCUAGAAUGGCAGACCUGAAUUACUGCAAGGUUGUUGAUCCGACAGCUGUCCCGCGUAUUUUGCGAUGGAGAACUACUACGUCUGUUCCUGAGAUGAGAAAGUUGAACAAUUAUUUUUUCCAGAGCAAAGAGGUUUGGUUUGCAGCCCUUAGAACUAUUUAUAAGAUUUAAUGAAAUUAUGAAGUAGAAUGAUUGAAUAUGACUCUUGUCUGUAUUCUGAAACAGUCAGUUCAGUUGCGGGCGCUAUGUCCGAGUGAAGAGGAAAUGAGACAACCAUAUUGGAGUUGGCCACAGGAUCGCCCUGCUGUUGUCUCGGCAGAGUCAAUUCCUUCUUCAUGUGCUGACCUUGAUGAGUUGAACAAGGUGGUAAGCUUGUUGAGGUCCGAGUUGUUUCAAGUAAAGUUGGAAAAAGACGUCCUUGAGUUAAAGGUCAUACGGAUGGAAAAACUUUUGGACCACUGUUUAGGUCCUCAAUUUGAGCAGGAAGUAAGGAGGGACCUAGCUUUACUGAAAGAGAGGACGAAUCUUUGUGUCAUCUCACAUCUAUUUAAGGGAAGUGAGGAAAUGGAUGACAUUCAAUGGGAUGAAGGGCCAAGUAACAGAAAUGAGGGAGAGGAAAAGGAAGAUGAAGGGAUUGAAGGGGGUGAAGGGCCAAGUAAUAGAAUUGAGGGAGAGGAAAAGGAAGAGGAGGGGAUUGAAGGGGGUGAAGUGCAAGGAAAACCAAGUGAGGUAGAGGAAGCUCAAAGGAAAAGAAGUGAAGGAGAGCAAGUGAAAAUAAAAAGCAGUAAGGGAGAGAAAACGCAAAGAAAGAGCAGUGAGGGAGAGGAAGUGAAAAGAAAAAGCAGUAAGGGAGAGGAACUGCAAAGGAAAAGCAGUGAGGGAGAUGAUCCGCAAAGAAAAAGAAGGGAGGGCAAGGAAGUGAAAAGACAAAGAAGUGAGGAAAAGGAAGUGUAAAGAAACCAAUGUGAGAAAGAAGAUAAUGAAGUUAUGUUGCUUGGCGAUGACAUUGGCGAGAGCACAGAGGGGACAAAGGUUGAGUUUAGUCUCGGGGACAUUGAUUUGGAUCAACCUACAGCUGUGCUAUCUCAGUUGAAUGUUUGGUUGAAUGAUAAAGGUAAAGCUGUGGAACAAGGGGUCCAAUUACGGAAGAGGAAGAUGAUCAUUCCUAUGUGGAAGAUCAUUGAAGGUAGUGAAUUGGUUUCAAAAACUUUGGCAGAGACAACCGGACUUCAGAUGUUAGACCCAACGAAGGCGAUUCUGUAUGAUGAUCUGGUGAAAUUGCUGAAACUUUGUUGGGAAUGGCGCCAUAACCCAAAGUAAGUCCCUUGUUUUUUGAGAUAAAAGGCAUGAGUGUAUAUAUUUUUUAAUUGUUGUGUUCUAAAACUUUUUUAUAUUCAUAGUUUGGUGAUGCAAUUUGGCAACAUGGAAGCUGAGAUUGAAUUCUUCGCUUCCCUCAUCAAAGCUGAUGGUUGGCUGAAAGGAGAUGUAAGUUUAAUUGAUUAUGCAUUUGUUUUAAUGUACAUAGAUUAUGAGAUUGACAAGAAAAACAUGUUGCAGCACAUUGAUUUGGGGUUGUAUCUCAUCCGGAAGCGACAACAAGAGUUGGAGGAAGUAGAAAUAUCGGACUGGACAAUGACCGAUGUAUUUUUUAUGGUAUGUCAUGGGCCUUGACCAAGUGCUGUUAAUAAUUACAAAUUAUCCAUACUUGUUUUGUGGAGGUGUUUAACCAUUGAUUGUUUUCUAUUUCACAGAAUCACAUUCGUACUUGCUUUGCGGAUAAUAAAAGAAAAAAAGAGCAGGUUUGGUGGAAAAUUAGAAACAGUUUACUGAACGUUGUAAAUGGCAAGGUUCCGGCGUGUGAGAUGGAUUGGCAGAACAUAUAUAAGGUGUAUGCCCCUUGUAUGUUGACGAAGUACAAGCAUUGGGUGGCUGUAAUGAUUGAUCUAGUUUUGUGUGAAAUCCAAGUGUACGAUUCAAAGGUUUCACUUAUUCCAGAUGAGAUCUUAAAGGAAGAACUCGCCCCGCUUUCAAUUACGAUUCCAAAUCUUCUCAACACCAUCGACUUUUAUGAAGAAGGUGUUUACGUAAACAAUUGCAGCCGAGAUUGGUGGUGUCCGUGGCCAAUAGAGCGUGUGGAUGUUCCACAACAGUCUAAUCAGUAAGCACAACUUUUUAUUUAAUUUUAUUACUUUAAAUUGUCAAUUACGUUAGAAUGUCAUUAGUUGAAUUGAUCGAGUUCUUGUUUUGCUUCAGAGGCGAUUGUGGCAUGUUCGUGUUGAAGUACAUUGAGCUUUUGGGCGCUGAGAUUCCGUUAGCUACUUGCACCUCGGAGAACAUGCCCUUUUUUCGGUUGAAAUUGGCUGCAAAGAUAACACGGGGAGAUGCUUACAUGCCAUGAUAUUGGUUGAACUUGGUUUAGGUACAUGAUGAUUAAAUAGGUUUUGGGAAUGUCCAAUUUCAAACUCAUGUAAAUACACAAUAGAGACCUACGGGUCCUUUUCGAAUUCUACCUCUGCUCCUCUAUUCUUCUUCGUCUUUCUCAAUCUUAGUGUAUUUUUGUACAUAAUUUGAGGUUUAAGUUAUUGGACGAUAACAAUUAGAACCAAAAUAGUGGCAAAUAUUAUAGCGGAUGCAUGCUUUCAUUUUGAUUAGUGUGAUACUACGCUACAUUUAUUCUCAUAUUGUGCUAAAUGUAUAUGGAGUUGGAUGCAGAGCAUAGACAGAAAAAUGAAGAAACUGAAAUGGAGAUGCUGAGGCUUGGUGAGGAGAAAAGUAAAUGGAUCUGUAAAUCUAUUGCACGUAGGCAAUCUAAAUGGAUAGGCAGAUGAGUUUUUGAAGUUAGACACUUGUCAUUCCCAUACAUAGAAUGUGCCUAUGGAGUGUAAAGUAUUUUUGGAUUUAAUGAAACAAACUUCUGUGUAAUAUUAGCCUAACUCCUUCACGACAUUUACAUAACCUUAACCAACUGCAUUGAAUUGGGAUUUAAAGACUGCAUAUGUGAAUUGGGAUUUGAAGAUGGCUUUUUAAGUGUAUUACAUCAUUGCAAAGUGAUAUGUCAUCGUUUAUGCAAGCCACCAUUAAUCGCAAUAGGUUGCAUCUUAAUAAGGUAAUUCUGUAAGGGGAAUAAGCGGCUAUGGCCUCGCCUCUAAUGUUUUAUUCAACCAUGCCCUCUUUAUAGAAACACAUGAAAAAAUGUCCCCAGGUGCAAUGCUAUAAAAACUUCCAGUUGGUUCUGUACCGCCCCUCGGGUUUGAAUCCCUCUCUCCUUUAUAAUCGGUUAAUAAAUUCAUUGAUUUUCUUUUUUUUAUUGGUUUUGGGCAGCUCAGUAGCAUAAAAGUAAUGUAUAUUGGUGCGUCUAUAUUGCAUGUCUGUUGCGUCUAUAUUGCUUCUCUAUUGUGUGUAUAUCUUACAUUUAUUGUAUGUGUAUUGAUUGUUUAUUGCUUACGAAGGAAAUAAACAACAAUACACAGGCAACAGACAAACAAUAUAUACACAACAGACAAACAAUAUACACACAAUAGAUACGCAAUAUACAUACAAUAGACAUGCAAUAUACACACAAUAGACAUGCAAUAUACAUCCGUCCCCAAUUACACAAACCAUAAGGAAGUCGUAUUGAAUAGGAAAUUAAACUUAACAGUUGUUCUUCCUACUAAAAGAAAGAAUAAGGUCCGUUUUCCCCCUUAAAUCUUACUUGAGUGGUACUUGUGCCCCCAAUAAACAUCCAAUAUUGGAGCAAUAACAUUCGAUAUACAUGCAGCAAACAAUCAAUAAACCUUUAAUAAACAUUCAAUAUCGGUUCAAUAACAUGCGAAAUACAUGCAGUUAAUAAUCAAUAAACCUUCAAUAAACAUGUAAACAAUCAAUAAACUUUCAAUAAACAUUCAAUAUCGGAGCAAUAACAUGCGAAAUACAUACAGUAAACAAUCAAUAAACCUUCAAUAAACAUUCAAUAUCAUGCGAUUUAUAUGCAGUAAACAAUCAAUAAACUUUAAGUAUACGCAAAUAAACAAUCUAUAUACACUAAAUAAUUAUGCAAUUUUCAAAAAAAAAAAUGUAUUGUCUUGUUAUUGCAUCGUAUUGGCCCUGUAUUGUGAUUUUAUCGUCUUCGUAUGAUUUUAUUUUUUUAAAGUAAGUCUUGGAAAGUUUUUGCUGGGUUUCAAACAAAUAAAUGCUUUUGUUUAAAUUCAAUGCCAAUCCACUUAUUUCAAGAACAAAAAUUACAAAAUGGGUUUGAAAACUCAUUGGUGGUGCGUGCAACAUGUCUUUUUGGGGAGAAAUUUCACAAUCCUUGAAACCGUGCACUUAAUUGAUCAUUAAAAGAACAAAUAAUAUGACAAUUGAUACAACUAAUAAAACUAAUACCAAGUCCUUAAUGGACUUCAGCAUAUUCAGCACUGUAGCAUCAUACGUGUCAUCUUGAUGUUCUGCUUCAGCGGAGGUUACAUCAACCCAUUCGAAUCCAUUGCAACUGGUGGAUCCCUAAUUGCAGGCAUCAUAUAUGCAAAAUAAUUCUGUCAGAGUUAGACAUAGGUUUUUUUUCCCCCACACACAUAUUCUUGAAAUGAAAACUUACAUAGGAGGUUAGACACUUCCAAAAUGGCUUCCCUCGAUUUUUAUCUGAUUUUGAAACCCGAACCACCAUUGUAGCUCCACAAUACUGACACCUUUUUGUUUGAGCAGGAGAUGAAGACGAAGACAUGUUGAAUCUUCUCACUUGUACCUCUUCUCACUCAGAUCUUCUCACUGAAACCUCUUCGGACUCAUACCUUCUCACUCAUAGUUCUCAGUCAUACCCCUUCACUCAUAACCCUAAAUUUCUCACUCAGCUCUCUCUCAUCUCUGCCCAAAUCAAAUUAUAUCCUUCUUUGCUGUGUGUGGGUGGGUUGGUCACGAUCUGGACACCUGUACCGUCAGAAUUGUGACAUCUUUUACCCCGAAAAGCAAUAUAAUAUUUCACUACCAAAUAUUAAUCUGAAAAUUGAGGGGACACUGCUUGAAAUAUAUUAUUUUAUUUAUAUUUCAUUAAGACAACUAGUUGGAUAAGAAUCCAUCAUCAUUGGUUUCAUUUUAAUAACAUUACUAGUGGUAGUUUGGUGUGGGAAAAUGAAAAAGUAUAUGAUGGGACCUUCUGUGACUAGUCAGUAAUCCAUCACAUUUGUAUCAAUGAAUUUGAUGGUGGGAAAAUCCUAAAAAUGGCUAUGCAAAUAGGUUAUUAAUUGAAUUUUUGACUGUCUGACUCUCUAUGCAAUUUUAUGACGUUUUCCCUUCUUUUGUCUCGAGUUUUAGGGUGUCGGGUUCAGUUUCUUUAAAAACGGUCAACUUGGAAAAACCCCAAGUGGAAACACCUUUUAAAAACACUAUAAACAGAGGCUAAAACAAAACCAAAACCCCAUAUAUUCUCAUUUCUGCCCUCUUCCACUCCUCAAAUCGUUCCAUUCCAAAAACAUUUCAAUGAAUUCGAAACAUUUCACUACACUCGGAGGAAAGAGAAGGAAGCAUCUCCAUUUGGAUAUGCCCCAAGCCUUCAUCCCGGAGUUAGCUUGGUUUAAAGUGAUGUUAUACGUGGCAACCCAAUCAUCGGAAGAUCUCUUCCGUAUGGCAUCUGUGUGCCCAUUGUUCCAUACUUUGGCAAACACUCCACAAGUGUGGAACACCAUUUCAGUGGCAAAGUACCCAAACCAUCCUAGCUGGUACCGUGCCAAUCCUGCGGUCCAGCAUUUCUUGCAACAAUGCAGGGCUUGCGAUAACCCUAAGUCGAUAUUUAGAGAAGCAUUCGAAGUGUUUUUUAAGCAGGGUAACGUGGAAGCAUUGUAUGGGAUGCGCAUUACAGCCACGGCAGGCCAUAUAGAAGCGGCAUAUCUAGUUGGACUACUUGACAUGUCCGGAAUUGGUCAGUCAAAAGAGGAUGCAUUAGAAUUCUUGUGUUCUUUGAAUCAAUGUAACAACAUUGAUAUGAAAGGAACCAGGGAUGCUUUGAGACAAAGAUUAAGCCGACCAACAGUUGCAAGACAUAUCCUAGAUAUGUUUGACUAUGGGAAGAUUAAGUUCAAUCACUGCAGCCCUUGUAACAACAAUGAAUGGUGUUUUGUUAUUCAAGGCUGGCCUACUGAAGAAAAGAUAAAUCCUGCCUUCUGGACUUGUUGCAAUCGAUGCAAAUGGCACCGUGAGAGUAUUUUUUGGUUCAAGGUGAUGCGUGUGUAUGUUGUGCGAGGGAAUCCAUACCCUUAUAAUUAGUUGUAGUAUGUUUUUACGGUUUUUAUGCAUUGUGGACUUGCUUCUCUUCAGUUCUAGGUUCGCUGGCUACGUUGUACAAAUGUUGUUUAAAUGUGGGGUUUUAAUCUAUUUUGUCUGGUAUUUGUGCUGUCAUAAACCGUUUUAUAUAUAAAUGUAUAAUAUAUAUUAUAUAGCGGAAUUAUUACUGACAUCAUAGACGGCUACGAAUGACAUUUUACUGACACAGAUAUUUUGCACAACUGCAAUCUUAAUAUUUGGUAAACGAAAAGGCAUGCAUGGAGUAAAUAGGUGUCUUUUCACCAGUGCUUGGGAAUGACAUUUUCCCACUGAGCAUAUCCCAAAUGAUUUGGUUACAAGUUUCUUAAGCAAAACUUGAAUAGUGAAUGACGUUGAAUAAUUUUUUCCUAAUGUUGUAGAAUAGAUGACUUGUAUAUUUCCAUUUUAUUUUUCAAAACAUCCCUUAAACCUAAAAAAUAAAAAAAUUAACAAAUUGAAGAAGAGAGAAACCGAUUAGCACCAGAAAUGGCCUAUUCGCACGGAAAAUAAAAAUUAAAAAAAAAAGUUGGAGUAAAUAUAAUUAACAAAUGGACAGGCUAAAAAGUAAUAUAAUAAUAAUAAAAAUAAUUUAGGAUAAUAAUAAAAUACUAAUGUAACAUAACCAUGAAACAGGGAAUUCAGUAGGAAGAUGAAAUCUCAAUAAGUUCGUAGCAAUUUUCGAAACAUUAUUGGGAUUUUUGUGUAUUUAGUUAUGAAUUUUCCAAGAAAAAGUAAUAAAAUAAUAAUUUAGGGUAAAAUGCAAGGAUGUGGCCAUGUUGACUGACGUACACUUGUGCAAGUGAUGAAAGUUGACGGGCUGAGAUCGUGCCAGGUGUCCUCUUGCAAUUAUUUUGGCUUUUUUAGUGCAAAAAUCUUUGAAAAAAGGUAAUAAAUAGUAGGUCUUGUGACGUUAUAAAACUAGGGGAACCUAUAAAUCAUCCGUCUCGCAAUGAAAAAAUCCAAAUUAUUUUAGAUAACUCACUUUCCUCUUAACCCUAAGUAUUUAUGUUUGUUAACUUUAACUUCAAUAACCUACUUGAACAAUCAUCUCCCGUUAAUGUUCGGAAUUAUUUUUUUAAAAUGUGUAACCAUGUAUCGGGGAAUUCAACAAGGGAGAUUGAGUGUCAAUGAGUUCGUAGCAAUUUUCGGAUCAUUUUUCUAAUUUUUGUGUAUUUAGUUAUGAAUUUUCUAAGAAAAAGUAAUAAAAUAAUAAUUUAGGGUAAAAGGCAAGGAUGUGGCCAUGUUGACUGACGUACACUAGUGCAAGUGGUGAAAGGUGAUGGGCUGAGAUCGCGCCAGGUGUCCUCUUGCAAUUAUUUUGACUUUUUUAGUGCAAAAAUCUUUGAAAAAAGGUAAUAAAUAGUAGGAAAAUCCUAAAAAUGCCCCGAAAAUUACUCGGACCUCCUUGUGAUGUUAUAAAACUAGAGGAACCUAUAAAUCAUCCGUUUCGCAAUGAAAAAAUCCAAAUUAUUUUUACAUAACUCACUUUCCUCUUAACCCUAAGUAUAUAUUUUUGUUCACUUUAACAAUUAUAUUUCCUUAAUAUUCGUUAUAUAAUUUGUAAUAAUACAAGAAUUAGUUUCCUUUCAUAUAUAAGGAUGUAAAAUAAUUUGUUUUGUUAUAAUAAUGUACAUAUAUAAUAAUUGCACAUGCUUUGAAGCCAUCAUUGCAACUACGCCUAGAGCUUUGAACACGUCAGAGGUAUUCAAUAAGUUGUCCAUAUGACGCCGCAUUGGGAAUCAGUAAUAUAUUUUCUAUCAUGUCCAAUCACAUAAAAUAAUGCCAUACUUUUUCUGAAAAACCUCACACAAGUCAAGCAAUUUUAAAAUAUUAGUGAAUAUUUGUCCUAGUCUAUAUGAGUGAUUAUAUAUUCAGUCUGCAUUUUUUCACAGUAUAUGUUAACUUUCAGAGGGAUUCCACAAACAUAUAAUAUAAAGAAAGAAAGAAAUAGUAGGAGAUGAACCAGUACAAAAAACAAUAUAUAAAUGGUACAUAAUAAUUCCAUAACCUUGUCACAAACGCACUCACAAAUGCUUUUCCAUAAACCUUGUCCUAACAUAUAAUAAAUAAAGGCAACAUUGCAUAUGAUGCAACCAUGUCCAAAUCUGAUACGUGAUCACAAAAAAAUGGACAUGGCAGCAACAUAUGACUGAAGUAGAUGAGCUCUUUGCAUCUUGUGUUAUCGUAAUUAAAGACAUCAAAAGAUUAAGGUUGAAAUCUUCCAUAGUAGUAAGCAUCAAAAUAGGUUUGAAGCAGAGUUUAACGAAAAUUCCAAUUCCACUUAUUGGCCUCUGCUCAAACACGAGAACCAAAAUGGUUACUUCCCUUGCUGAGUAUAUUUGUUAACGUCGGAAACAGUAACAGAUGACCAAUCAAACCCGGGUACGACGAGUUUUGCAUAGGAUCGGAAGUAGUCGAAUCCAGCUUGCAUCACACGCUUCUUUGACUCCACUGCAUUAGAUGAGUUCUUGUAUUUUUGAACAGCUACACUCCGAAGUCGUUUGUGUCUACGCUUCAUGCACUGCAAAUUCGCCCUAUCCAGAUUGGCCUGCCUUUUGUCAUCUUCAAUUUGGCCUUCAACAAAUUCCAAACGUGCCCUUGGCCUUUGGAUUUCAUCACCAAGUUGAAGAUGCCUCUCCUUCCAAAAAGCAAGAACUCUUUCAGAUUCAAAACUUCCAACAAAAUGGUCAUUCUGUCUAGGAAUGUGACAUUGCUUGUCUAGUGACUCACUUGCGUUUCGAAGGCAGUCUUUGUUUGGAGGGGUGUUUAUUAUGCUCACAUCAAACUUGGUUAGUAAAUCCAUUUUAUGGGGGGAGUGAGUUUCUAUGGAGGAGAGAGUUUUAGUAGAUGGAGACAGAUUCGGUGAAGGAGUGAGUUUUGUGUGGAGGGAGAAUUUCUAUGAAAGGAGUGAUAGUAAUAGCAAUAAAAGGGUUCCCGCCAAAAAAUAUUUGGUUGACAAUGUAUAAAUUAAUUUUUGGUCUGAUACAAUCUAAGUUUAAUCCUAACUAGUUUGGUUGAGUUCACUAACUAGAUGUCACUUCCAUUGAGUUUCUUUCAACCACUAUCAGUGGUGUAAGGAGAGUGUGAGGUUGACAUGCUUGAAAAGCAAAACCUGACACCUCUUUUUUUAAAAAUUGAAAGAAAGUACAUAUGUUGACUACACACAACCUUUGGUAUGUUGGUCUAUAAACCUAUGUUCCCUUUCUCAAAUGAAAUUGCAUAUGCAAUCCUCAUCCUCCCAAAACAAAUAGGAUUAUUCAAGCAUGUCAACCUCUUCAGGCGCCAACAACACAAUCGAAGAUGACAAAUUGGAGUCGCAGGUUCUAUUUCCACAUUGUACUCACCGACCCCUUCCUUUUUCAACAUCAUUUGGGAGUGAGGGGGACUCCGAUGAUCCAUUAGAGGCAAUACAUGCAGUCAGUAGCAAGCUGGAUUAUAAUUCCAAACUGAUCAAUUCAUGGCACGAGAAAUGUGUUGAAGACGAGGCCAUUUUGGCUGAUCUUAACAUUAGAGUGAACAAAGGGUUCUCCCAAAAGAACAAGUACUUGAAGCUGAGUCAUAAAAGGAAGCUGAAAGCUGAGGAGUUGGAUACAGUAAUAAAUGAUGAAAUUAAAGGUUGUUUGAUGAACCAUAUGCGAUGCAAAGAGCAUCAUAGUGAACUGGAGUUGGCAUUCAACGAAGGAUUUUUAAAAUUUCAAGCAUUUGCGGCAACUACUCAUACAAGUUAUAAUUGGGACUAUGUGUCCCCUGAUGCUGUGAGAGAGAUACUAGACGAUGAUGGUGACAUGAAUGAGCAUAAGCACGUCAAAGCUGCUCGGAAGAAGCCGACCGAUACGACUAAGUGAUUGCGGCUACCGUUGUUCAGUUGGUUGAGGGUGAUCAUGGUAUUGCACAAAUUAGAAGUAUAUUCCCUUAAUGUCAUUAUCUAAUUUAAAAUAACACAAAUAUCAGUUUCAUUUGCUUCAUAUAUAAUUAUUGGGACUAUGUAUUGCAAGUCAUCAUGUGUUCCUUCUGUCUAACAUUAUAUUUUGCAAAUAUCGAAAUAUUAUUCAAUAAGCAGUCAAUAUCACAGCAAGUUGGGAAUCAGUAAACCCCCAUUAUCAUGUACAUUCACAUUAAAGAGCUGGUGUACUUUUUCUCAAAAAACUGACACGUGAGUCAUAAGUAACAUAACAUGUGCUAUACAUUGUUUAGUGAAUGGUUUAUGAUUUAUUUAUAUAUAAUAAAAUUCCAAAUAUUGCUGAAUAUUUAUUUCGUCUAUAUCACUGGGGACAUGAGUGAACAUACGCAUGUGAGACCUGCUAAGAAGAAGCUGACCAAUACGACCGAGGGAUUGUGGCUACCAUUGUUCCGUUGGUUGGGGAGAUCGUGGUAUUGCUAAGAGGGAGCACAUAAUAUGUUUUGCAAUCAAAUUUUCUUUUGUGUGUGGAAUUUUCUUUUAUGUGUGGAAUUAUGAGUAGUUCAAAUGUUAGUGUACCCUUUAAUAUUCUCCAACAGUUCAAAAUGUGAUUAGCUGAAUGUACUUUUUUACACGCUGCUUUCUAAUCACUCUGUUCCAACAAAAGGCUUUAAGUAUCCUUCAGUUACAAAUGUUUACAAAAUCGUGCCCCUAAUAACCAGUCGAGCUUAGAUCUUAAUAACCAGUAAAACACUAGAACAUAACAUUCGGAAAAAGUGAGUACUGUUGGAAAUCAUUACUGGUAAUGGAAACAACAGCUGGCUGCUGGAAAUGCUGCAUUAGCAUGUGAUAUAAUCAAUGAAUCUCUGUUAAAACAUAAUUCACCAUAAACUACCCAUUUUACAUGGUAAAAGUCAUUGCUUCUUCACAUAACUCAAAAUUUGAUACUUUAUCAAAUGUCUAUGAAAAUUUCUAAAUAGGGAGAAGACGUAAAAUUAACAUGUGUCCAAAUUUCAUGCAAGAAUGAAACCAAGCAAAUUUUCAUUUCAAUUACCAGUGGACAUAGUAAGAGCUCAUGGGUGGACAUGAACAAAAUAAUAAUAAUAAUAAAAACUGAAUCUAGAAAACUUCACCUGAUCAUUAGUCUUCAUAACAACCGGAUUUCGUCUAAUAGAAACAUAAAUCAUUCAGUUGGUCCGUGCAUCCUGUCAAAUUCGUCGAAUAAUGGGUCACUACGAUCUAUUGGAGUUGAUUCGUCAUUGUUCGAUGGUGAUGUCCUGCAUAAACAUCAAACAAAAGCACAUAAAAAAUUUACCUAUUCAAAUUUUAGGUGUUAUUAUAAAUAGUGUUAGCAUCUUACGGUGUGUUCAAAUUUCUUGAGCAUUGUCUUCUAUCAUGGCCAAUGUGUCCACACUCCCGACAGUGUCUAAUCCUUCGCUUCAUUGCCUUUUCCUUUGCUCCCGUUACUCGUUUCGACCUUCCUUUGCACCUCACUCUCUUAGGGUCUUUCAUAUAUUGUGUUUGAGAGCUGGACUCUCCAACUUCGUUAUUACUUGGUCCAUCCUUCAACAACUUCAACUUCACCUACAAACUUUUUAGAGUCUCUGACAGUAGCUCACAUCCUUCUUCACUCAUUAAUGCAUCCUCAACCACAUCUGAAGCAAGUCGAGACAUUGUACUCCGCUUUAUUAAAAGACCAGGAUUUGCAGAGUCUUUAAUUUCGUUGCCAUUUGCAUCUGACACCAAUCCAGAUUUCGCAGUUUUCUUCCACCUCUUCAAAAUAUAUUUAUCGGGCAUAUAUUCAAUCUGGUCCCUUCUGAACAAUGCUAAGAUGUGCUUGCAAAUAAUUCCAACAAAUUCAAAUCUUUUGCAGCUACACGAUGCGUGGUCAGAAUCUUUGACAUAUACAACUUCUGCCACUCUUGUUUCCCAAUUUUUCCUUUCGCUCACGUUAAAGACAACUUUAGAAGCAUCCUCUGUUUUGAGCUCUAGGAAACAUGCUGUACUUUGUAUUAGUUCUUGCUCAAACUUUUGAAACAUUGUCCUUGUGUACAAGGUAGCCAUUUGUUUGUUUAUUGGCAUCGGUAGAAUACAUUGAGCCACUUCAAAUGCAUCUAUGUGAUCAGCAACUAACUCUUUUUGACGUUGAUGAGAAAGUGCCCUCUCAAAUCGUAUUAUGAAAUCCAUCAACGAAUUUCUCUUUGAUAUGUAUUGCUUGAAAAAACCAUGAGAACCUUCCGCUAUUUGGCUGCUUGAUAUUCCAGCGGCAAAAAAUUGUCGUGCGUAGGCUGGAACCCAAGAUUCCCUUAAAUCAAACAUUGAACUUAGCCAUGGAUGGUCAGUCAAACCAGCCUUUGUAACCACAAUAUUCCAUUUUGCAUCAAACUCAUCCUUAUUGUCAGUAUCCCAUAUGACUUUCUGAAAUUCACUCCAAUACUCCUUAUAAGCAGAAUGUGGUAACUUAACAGAGAACUUUGAUGUGAUGUGCCAUAUGCAAAGUCGAUGAAAUGUAGUCGGGAAGGCUAUUGAAAUCACUCUGGUCAUUGCCGCAUCUUGAUCUGUAAUGAUCAUUUUAGGUUCGCCACCUGGCAUGGGUUUCUUAAACUCCUCAAACAUCCAAAUAAACGACUCAGUCGUUUCCUUGCUAAAAAAUGCACAUGCUAAGACAAUUGUCUGACCAUGGUUAUUAACUCCCAACAUUGGUGCAAAUGUCAAGUCGUAUCGAUUCGUGUUGAAUGUGGUAUCGAAUACAACAACAUCUCCAUAAAACCCGUACGCCCGUCUAGAAGUUGCAUCUGCCCAAAAAAAUCGACUAAACUUGUCAUGGCCAUCUCCCUCAAUCUUGAAAUAAAAAGCCUCAUUUUUUUCUGUUCAGCCAUAAAAUACUCGGUCACUAGUUCAACAUCGUGGUUCCUCAGCUUCCCAUUCACACUACAUUCAAGAUUGUAGAUAUCUUUUUUGAUAAAUCUGAUUUUAUCCAUUCCUCCGGAUUGCACCUCGAAAAUACUUACCUUCUGAUGAAUGAGAAUAUUAACUGAACCCAACUGUUUUGUGAGUACUUUUGUAGAAUCUGAAAUACGACGGUGUGAUCUUAAUAAAUGCAUUCUUUCUGAGGGUGUCAUCUUAUGAUUGUGUCCCUCUGCAAAAAGAGAGAUGGUAUACUUCUUGCUCCCAUUUGCCUUCACAACUACAAUCUUAGCUUUGCAAUUGCAUCUACUUAUUCCCCGUUGUCUUUUUCUCUCUCAAGUUUCAUCUCUCAUGUAUGCACCUUGUUUGCAACAUACAAAUUCUUUCCUCAAAAUCUCUUUCUUAUUUUUCCCCCAAAAGCUGGAAUGAAGUCGAAUACCAAAGCCAGCCAAGAAUGCAUAUCUAUUAUAGAAAUUGUAAACGAGGUCAAGCGAGUCGAACUUCAUCCCAACUGCUGGUGUUUCCUCAUUUCUUACUUCAGGAAUAUAAACCCUCCCAUUAGCUGUUACACAGUCAUCACUCUCUGAGCCCCCAGACAUUUUAUCUACAUAUAUUAUUGAUCCACUUCUAUAUUACUGCAUAGCAAAUAUUAAUUCAUUAAUCAGUCAUUACUGCAUCACAACAUAUCAAUGCAUUCCACUUACACAAAACAUUGCCCAAAUUGACACAAAACACACAUAGCCUAACUUGUUGGAUUCCGAUUACACAAAACGCAAGCAAAAUUUAAUAAUAGUUACGUCAUCUCUUGUGAAAUAAUCUGGAAAAAAUAACAUUAGAACCAACAUGUUCAACUAAGAACACAAAUGUAAUUCAAACCACCAAUUACAGAACUUCACCCAAUAUCCUCUCCAAAUGCUUACUCCUAAUGUCAUUAAGCCUAAAUUUAGGAUCUUUUACCUACAUUUCAUAAUUUUCCACCCCCACCAAAAACAAUCAACUAAGUAUAUUGAAUAUUCAUAAAGAAAGGACACAUUAUUGACUCCACCAAUGACGCAUUAUUGAUGCCACAAAUGACGAAUUUCCCACCCUCACAAAAAAUAAACCAAAGCCAAUAAAAUCAAUCCAGCAAGUGAACUUACCUCUCAAAAUCAAUCGGGAGCUCCGAAGUCAGUCAGCUUGAGAGAAUGUGGUGGACAUUAGAGAAGACUCUUUGGUAUUUGAGACUCCAUCUCUACCAAAAUUGAGGAACAACUGCUGCUGCGGCAUCUAGCUACAAAAAGAGAUAUGCUACUUUACUUUCAUCUGGAAUCUUGUCUGCUGAAUGAAAAAGAGAAGGGGUUUUCACUUGAGCCAUAAAAUCAAAACAGGGCAACAGCUAGGUAAGAGCCAUUAAUCGCAAUACCGAGGAUACCAUAGAUCGCAGGCCUCCCAAGAAGCUGAUGACAAUGGAGUGACUAUAGGGUUUGGGAGCUUUGGAUCCUUCUAAUUGUGGGUUUUCUUUACAUUCAAAAAGAGAGGAUUAUGUUCUUGAGUUUUUCACAAAGAGGGAAAGAGGGAAAGAUGAGACUGAAGUUGGGUUUCUAACGGGUUAGAUUUCAACCCGAUUCUACAUGCACCCUUUUUAAAAACUCACCGUUGGAUGAAAUCCAACGGCUCUUACAUACCCCUCAAAAACACCCCUUAUAACUUUCCACUCACUAUAGAAGCUCCCAAAAGAAAACAGAUUUGCCAAAAAUCAAAUUUUAAGUCUCUCCUACGAUCGAAAUUUGGAUUUGAUGAACUAAAGUGGUUUUACUUUCUCCAUCAGUGUUUGAUGACUUAAUUUGUUAUUUACUUUUUUUAAAAAAACUUUAUCUUAUAUAUAUUAGUUUUCUUUUUUCCUUCAUAUUCACCACCUUUAUGUUGCUUAAGUAUUUCAGUCUUAACGGGUUUCCAUCUACCACUCAUCUUUGCUCUUCUCAGUGUAAGCCUUUUUUUUAAGCAUAAGAUUAGAGGGGAGGGGGGGGAGGGGGAUUUCUUAAUGUAAGCUUUGCAGUUUCAUAAUUAAUAUUUCCAAUAUCUCACUGUUAGUAAAAUACAAAACAUGAAAAGUAUGAAUAAAAUACGCACAUGUUACUAAUUUAUUGAGAUAAAAUACCAUUUUGCCCCUAGAAUAUUUUAUUAGGUUUAAAGUUGACUUUUUGACCAGGAAGGAAUUUGGGUAUUUCGACUAUAUCGUUGCAUAGAGCACGACGAGGUGAUUCCAUAGACACGUGGUAGGCUCGAAUCGGAGUUGUAAUGAGAGACAUACGAUCAAAAUACCUUCAGUGGCAUAAUCGUAAUUUUGGCUUAAAGGGUUUGAUAAAAUAUGAUUUUUCUUUCUUUCUCUCUCUCUCUCUCCCCGCCCAGUCUCUCUCUCGUGACGGCAGUGAUAGCCGGCCACAUUUUGGCCAGCCGUGCUCUCGUCCGGCCACCAAAGCUGAUGGGGCCGGUACCAAAAUGAUCAGGCCACCAUCCUUUUCCAACCUCAGCCAGGCCCCGCCGCCAGCAGUCGUGGUUUUGCCGGAAAAUGGAGAAGAAGCGGCCGGUUUUGUUCGAACUUCUCCGACUUCGUUCUCCCUCCUCUGGCCACCGAUUCCGAUGAAUGAGGUAUGGUUUCUCACCUACUUUUCAUGCUCUAGCUGCCUGUUGGGUAGGAUUCGAUCAAUCCCUAGUGUAGGUGGCUUGAUUUUCGAAUUGGGUUUCAGCCGAUUUUGGGAUCUCGAUUCCAGCCCCUUUCGAUCAGUUUUUAGGGUAGGUCCCAGAACAAAAGUGGUUCCAAAUAGGGUGUUAUACCUAGGUAGGAACCUUGAGCCGUGAUUUUGAGAAUUUUCUACGAUGCCUAAUCGCUUUGGACACCCACGCGCUACCGGCACGUGGGCACUGUAGAAAAAGGGCAUUGUGUCCCGAUGCGAUCCCCUUGUUGUCUUGAGUGCAUAGGUGUGCUCGGAUUUCAAUUGAAUACCGUUUGAGUCUCGAACGAAUAUCACAUAUUGUGCGUUAUCCGGAGUCGAUAGGUUUGAACCGUUGGAUAGUCUUAGAUUUAUAAUAUGUUAAUCUAGAUAUUCUUAGGAUCAAAAAGGAUUUGACGGAUCGUAAAAUGGAGUCCCGGAUACUCCGAAAAUGCCAACCCUAGGGCUAGGUUCCUAGUAACCGUCCGAUCGUGCAAUCAUGAGCAAUCCGACAGUCCGAUCCGGACCAAACUUGCAGGACGUGUAUCCUAAACCUUGUAGAACCCAUAGGAACUUUCAGAUUAGAAUUUGGAGGUCGUGGGCCCCUUGGGCCCGUUUGACUAAGUUUGGGUAGUUUGACCAUUGGCUGAUCGUGAGUCUUCAAAGGUAGUUUUACCUUCCUAGGAGGAUUAUAAAGACCCUAGUGACAGGUCUUGAGCGUUGUUGAGCUAUGUUGACUAGGUUUAGACUUUUAGAGUGUUUAUUAUUAUCGUAGGAAACUCUUGGAUAUUAUUUUAAUAAUUGAAAUUAUGAAAUUUAUGUUUAUGUGCAUGAUCGUUGGUCUAAAAAUAGCAUUAUUUUCCUGAUAAAAUUACGUUGCAGUAUACUAUAGAAUGGUAUCACUAAAUGGGGAUUACCUCUAUUAUUAGUUUAGAUAAUUAUGAGUAUGUCAGUUUGAAGUGCUAUACGCACUACCCUAAGUACCACCCUGUGAUUGUUAGGUCCCAUGUGGUGUAGGUUAUCCAGUGUAAGGACAGACCCCAUACGUGGCUUCAGAUGUUCUGAAGUAUUGGGGAGAUUAUGUGAUGGUUUUGUCACACGUGGCGUAGGUUAUCCGGCGUGUUGACAGACCAUAUACAUGGAGUUGGAUGUUCCGGCAUAUGGAGAGAUUUUGUGAUUGUUAGGUCCCACGUGGCGUAGGUUAUUCGGCGCGAGGACAAACCCUAUAUGUGGCUUUAGAAGUUCCGGCGUAUGAGGGAGAUUAUGUGAUGGUUAGGUCACACGUGGCGUAGGUUAUCCGGCGUGUUGACAAACCUCAUACGUGGUGUUGGAUGUUCCAGCGUAUGAGGAGAUUUUGUGAUUGUUAGGUCCCACGUGGCGUGGGUUAUCCGGCGUAAGGACAGACCCCAUACGUGGCUUUGGAUGUUCCGGCGUAUGGGGGAGAUCAUGUGAUGGUUAGGUCACACAUGGUGUAGGUUAUCCGGCGUGCUGACAGACCCCAUACGUGGCGUUGGAUGUAACGACCCGGUCCUAAAUAAAUUAGUAAAUAUUAAUUUAUUCAAAGAAAAUACCAUUUUGCCCAUAGAAUAUCUUAUUAGGUUUAAAGUUGAUUUUGUGAUCGGAAAGGAAUUUCAGAAUUUCGACUAUACCGUUGCGUAGAGCACGACGAGAUGAGUCCGUAGACACAUAGUGGGCUCGAAUCGGAGUUGUAACAAGAGAGAUACGAUCAAAAUACCCUCAGUGGCAUAACCGUAAUUUUGGCGAAAAGGGUUGAUAAAAUCAUAUUUCUCUCUCUCGGCCGGAAAUCCCAGUUGACAAAAUCCCGGCCGGAAACCUUGAAUUUCAGCCACAGCUUCGACUGGUUUGAACAGGGUUUUUCCCGGCUUUGCCCCAUCGCCUCCGCCGCCCAAUUCUGGUGAAACAGGUAUGGUUCCUCACCUAUUUUCCGAGAUCUAGCUGCUGUUGUGUAGGAAUUGGACAAUUUUCGUGUUUAGGAACUCGAUUUAGAAUUUUGGUUUUGCCCGAAUUUUCAAAGUGAAAUUUCGGCCACUUCUGCUAGUUUUUGGGGUAUGUCCAAGAACAAAAGUGGUUCCAAAUAGGGUGUUAUACCUAGAGUAGGAACCUUGAGCCAUGAUUUUGAGAAUUUUCGGCGAUGCGUAAUCGCUUUGGAAGCGCGUGGGCACUGUUGAAAAGGGGCAUUGUGUCCCGAUGAGAUUCCCCUGUUGUCUUUAGCGCGUAGGUGUGCUCGGAUUUCAAUUUGGAUACCGUUUGUGUCUUGAACGGAUAUCACAUAGUGUGCGUUAUCCGGGUUCGAUAGGUUUGAACCGUUGGAUAGUUUUGAAUUUGAUAUAUGUUAAUCUAGGCAUUUCUAAGAUCGUGUAGGAAUUCACGGAUCUUGAAUCGGAGCCCUGGAUGUUCCGAUUUAAUAACUUAAAGUUUAUGUUUAUAAUAACCGUCAGAUCGUGCAAUUGUGAGCGAUCCGACCGCCCGAUCCAGACCAAACUUGUUGGACGUAUAUCCUAAACCUUGUGGAACCUAUAGAAAUUUUCGGAUUAGAAUUUGGAGGUCGUGUGCCCCAUGGGCCCGUUUUACCAAGUAUGGGUAGUUUGACCCUUAGUUGACCAUGAGUCUUCCGAGGUAGUUUUACCUUCCUAGGAGGAUUAUAAUGACCCUAGUGACAGGUCUUAACCGUUGUUGAGCUAUGUUGACUAGGUUGAGACUUCUAGAGUGUUUAUUAUUAUUGUAGGAAAUUCUUAGAUAUUAUUUUAAUAAUUGAAAUUAUGAAAUUUAUGUUUAUGUGCAUGAUCGUUGGUCUAAAAAUAAUAUUAUUUUCCUGAUUAAAUUACGUUACAGUCUACUAUAGACUGGUAUCACUGAAGUGGGAAUACCUCUAUUAUUAGUUUAGAUAAUUGAGAGUAUGUCAGUUUGAAAUGCUAUACGCACUACCCUAAGUACCACCCUAUGAUUGUCAGGUCACCCGUAGCGUAGGAUUUUCUGGCGAGAUGACAUACCCCAAUUGUGGCGUUGGAAUUUCCGGCGUAUGGAGAGAUUAUAUGAUUGUCAGGUUACGCGUGGCGUAAGAGUUUUCGGCAUUAUGACAGACCUCAUACGUUGCGUUGGAAUUUCCGGCGUAUAAGGAGAUUAUUUGAUUGUCAAGUCACCCGUGGCGUAGGAUUUUUCGGCGGGAUGACAGACCUCAUACGUGGUGUUGGAAUUUUUGGCGUAUGGGGAGAUGAUAUGAUUGUUACGUCACAUGUGGCGUAAGUUAUUCGACGUGCUGACAGACCCCAUAGGUGGCGUUGAAAUUUCCGGCAUAUGGGGAGAUGAUAUGAUUGUUAGGUCACACGUGGCGUAAGUUAUCCGGCGUGCUGACAGACCCCAUACGUGGCGUUGGAAUUUCCGGCGUAUGAGGAGAUUAUGUGAUUGACAGGGAGAUGAAUAAAGGUAUUGUAUGUGUUUGGAAUGGGGAUUUAGUAGGAAGAACUACGUGUGGCUUGAUCCCUCAGUGAGGGUAUGUAGGUAGCCUAAGGUUAUUAGGUGCAGCCGCGGACAUAGAUGUGAUUGUGUUAGGAGGUUAAAACCUCGUAUGUUGGAAUUGGAAAAGUUAGAUGAUGUAUGUUGUAUUUAGUAUUCAUAAUUCAUAUUUGAGUUUAUUAUUUGCCUUGCUGAAAGCAAUAUGUGACUCAAGAGCUUUGUGGGUAGUUUGGGAUAUUAAAUGUGUUUUAUGCAGGUUGAAAAAUUUGGGGAAUGAUCAAUUUACAGGGGAGACUUUGCCGAAAUUUCGACAGAAAGUCCCGGUCUUUAGUAAGUGGGCCCGGCAUCGGGGUGAUGUCGAGAAUUCCAUAGGAUUCGUAUCGGGUUUCGGGAAAUCUGGGGCUAGUCUUGUCAUUGGAUGUUCCGGCGUAUGGGGAGAUUUUGUGAUUGUUAGGUCCCACGUGACGUAGGUUAUACGACGUGAGGACAGACCCCAUACGUGGCUUUGGAUGUUCCGGUGUUUGGGGAGAUUAUGUGAUUACUAGUGAGAUGAAUAAAGGAUUGUUUAUAUUGGGAAAAAUGUGUUUGUAGAAAGAAUUACGUGUGGCUUGAUCCCUCAGUAAGGGUACGUAGGCAGCCUAGGGUAGUGGUUAGGUGCAGCCGCUGACUAAACGUUAUAAUGUUGUUUUUAGGUUUGAUUAUAUGGUAUUAUGGGCCGAGGCCCCUGGGACUAUUGGUUAUAAUUCAUAGAUGGUAGUUGAUGCAUGCUAGAAAUUUGUAGGAAGUUAUUUCAUGUGGAUUGCAGUGGUACUCGUAAAAUUUAUUUGAGUUCCUGAAUUGCAUUGUUAGUAUAUUAAUUGACUUAAGAGUACUGCUAGUAGUUCUGCCUUGAUUUAUUUGAAGGUUGGAGGCCUUGUCUGUAAACUGUGUGCAAUUACAUUGUGUGUGCUGGCAGUUGGCUUUUUAAAUUGUGAAUUUUGUGCAUGUUGAAAUUUGGGAAAUGUUCAAUUUACAAGGGAGACUCUGUCAAAAUUUCGAUAGAAAGUCUUGUGCCCUUAUUCCUUUUUCGGAAAAAGGAUAUAUAGCUUUAGAAGUGGGCCCGACAUCGGGAUGAUGUCGGGAAUUUCGACAGAAUUCGUCUUAGGUUUCGGAAAAUUCGGGGCGGGUCCGAAAAAGUUGCUUCAGUUUUGGCAAGUAUCGGAAAAGACCAAAAUUUUCCGACUUUAUUAUUACUAGAAACAAAGUCGAAGUAUUCACCAAUCAUGUGGCCUUCCAAGUGCUCAAGGUUAAGCCAGGAACCGUUCCUAUCUGCCGUUUCCUUCCCAACUAUGAUCAUGUUGUCUAGGUUCCAACCCACAAAUCUACAUUGGGCUAUGUAUUUGAAUUUGUACUAAAGCGUGAUCUAUAGUAUGCAUUUAUUAGAUAAGUUUGAGAUGGCAGUGGCUUGGGUGUCCGCCGAGCUUGAACAAGUUUGGGUGUGCUGAGUGUUUCCAUGGGUGCGUUGAUGAUCAUGGUUAUUAGAUUUGUGAUAGUUUGGGCUCAAUUUCAACAGAACUUAUCUCAAGCCUAGUUAGUUGAUUCAUAAGUUUAUCAGGAAAAAAAAAUGAAAAAUGAAAAAUGAAAAAUGAAAAAAUCUUAAGUUAAGCCCAAGGACUUCUCACCAAAGUGUGCAUAAAUUGAAAUAUUUAAUAGAAGCCCAAGAUUUCUGAAGCACAUAAUAUCUACUAAAUUCUACAAAGUGUUAUACUUUACAAACUUCCUAUGUGUACCAAUUUUUACUAAAAUUAAUUUCUCUGCGGUGUUGAGAUUCAUCAUAAUUUUAGUAGAAAUUGGAAGUUUUCAUCAUUUUUGCUUUAAGUCUCUCCUCCACUCACUAAUAAAGAUUACUCAAGUGAGUUUACAAAACAUUUUUUUCUACUCUCUCCUGAAAACUACACUUCUUCUCAAAAGAUUAGAUCACUUCACAUCUUGCAUAUGUGAAAACUAAUGUAAAAAGUUGAAACUUUAUCAUAAAACCUCGACAAAAAUUAGCUCUACUUAAAACGUUAAAUUUGGAUUCGUUGAUUUAAAUGGCAAUUUGACACUUCAUAGAAAUUUUUACAUACAUGUGUUAGUGUUUGAUCACUUCACUUGUUACUUACUAUAUUUAUUCCAUGAUUCUCCCUCAAGUUAGGUAAAUAUUAUUAUCAAACAUUUCAAUUCAUUUGUGAUCUUUCUUGUCCAUCUUUUAAUGUACCCUGAAAUCCAUUAGCCACAUAUGAUGACCAAAAUCCAUACGUUCCUAUUUUUAAUGUAUGUUUACUCCCUAUAAUGUUCCAGUCUAGGGUAAUAACACUGCUAGUUUCAUAUGACAUCCUAUUUCUAAUGUGUAUCUACCCUUGUAAUGUUCCAGUUUAGGGUAAUAACACUGCUAGUUUACUAUCAUGUUGAUUAAUGCUUGUCAUGUUGCUAUUUCUAAUACAUGUCCAACAAAGAAAAGAUGAAGAAAGAACAAACCAGACCAACUCAAAAUAAGUUGAGUCCAAAUAGUUAAUACUAUUAUGUCGUAGAAGUACGUUGUUAAUACUCUGUAAUAGAAGUACAUGGUUAAUACUCUGUCAUAGAAUUACAUUGUUAAACAAAAAUAAGAUCCAUAACUGAAAUAGUAAUAAAAGAUAAGUCGAUCAUCAAAUCUUAAAAUACAUUUCGAAAAUCAACUAAAAUCCGAAGAGAAACACAUAAUUGAAGCAAAAGAUCAAAAAUCUCAAGUCCAAACCAAACAACGACGACGACGACAAUGAUGACGACAAUGACGUGGCGAAGAGGAGUAGAGCUCGAAGAUGAGGAGUAGAGCUAAGAGCAUUUGAUCAAGGUUCGUUUGAGGUCUCGAACAAUCCGAAAAAAAAAAAUCAAUAGAAGCAAGAUUUUAAAACAAGAAUCGAAUGUGAAAUAUUGAAAAUUGUAGAUUAAAGAUGAAGAAUAUAGUUGGACCUGAGACUGAGCUCCAAUGGAAGCUCCUCUUGCUCCAACACCAGAGAAAGCACCAACAAGAAAAGAGAAAAUAAAUAUGAUUUGGAUUUUUGGCAGAUUUGAAUUUUUGGCAGAUCUGGUUUUUUUGGCAAAUUUGAAUUUUUGGCAGAUCUGUGCAGAUUUGUUUUUUUGGCAGAUCUGAUUUUUCUCUCUCAAAUCCAUAUUGCAAGGGCAAUAUAGGUAUUUAACACACACAAAUAAACUAAAAAACAGCUAUUAAAUUGAAAAAUUUGACAGCUAUCAAUUUUGGGUGUGUUUGUAGUUUUUAAAUAGUAUAGGGUUUCUUUAUUAGACUAUGUCUACGAUUGGGUAUAUAAUUAAAUUUCUAUUAUUAAAAAAAAAGGACCCUAGUAAAGCCAUGGGACGAUACUCCUUUUAUAUAUAUUAUAUGAUAUAAAUAUUAUAAUAUAUUAUCUAAUAUUUGGAAUAUUUACUCUAAAAUAAACAAUAUAUUAGGUUCUUUUUGUCUACAAAUUGACCAUUAAACUUCUUAAUCACUCUUAUACUUUUAAUUAAAUCUACUAGGCUAGGUUACGAUAUUUGCACUAAAAACUCCUAAUUGUUUUUUCUUCUCUUUCUCUUGCUCUUUUUUUAACUUAAGCUGAAGUUUUGUAAUUUUUUUUCCCUCCCUUUUUACAUGUAUGAGUAGGGUACUUUAAUAUUGGGAUUUAUGAACUUUUUUUGUAUUUCUUCUCUAUGUUGGAAUAUAAAUUAGAGAUAUUUAGUCAUAUACCCAUUCUUAGCACUAAUAUUAUAAAUAAACCUUACAUCAUUCAAUUCCUAUAAACAAACCCAAAAAAUAAUAGCUGGCCCUAUUGAAUUUAAUUUUGACUAUUAAAUUACUUUGAUGCCCUAUUGAGUGUUUUGGGCUUUUUUUUAUGAGAUUUUGGAGUUGAGUUUGUUUUAAGAAAUCAAUGGCAAUUUUGUAAUUUAAAAAAAAUUAAAAGGCUUUUUGUUAUGUUGUAAAUAGGUUUCGAGUGUGUUUCUAAAGUCCAUUUCAUAUAGGUUUUUUAUAUAUAAUAAUUUGAACUCCUAUAUUGGGUAUAAUAGUGAAUCUCCAUUUAUUAACUUUUGAGUCUUUAAUAGUGUAGAUGAUGAGAUUAAUAUUCAACCAUUUUAUAAUAUGAAAUUAAGGACAAUCAUGAUUGUAAUGAAUGGAUUAUUAAUCAAUAUGAAAUGAUAUUAUGAAGUAGGCUAAAUGGAGUAGUUAGUAUCGUAUUAACUUAUUAACCGGUUAGCGCUUGAGCCCUCUAAUUCAAAUUAUUUUAUAAAAUUUUGUGAAGGGCCCCUUCUAAUGCAAAUUCCUGGCUGCGCCACUGCCUAUAGCAACUUGGUAAUGUGUGUGAAACAUCCCCUCCUUUUGUCGUUUAAACUAUCGGUUCGCUUGUAUUAAUAAAACAAAAAAUAAAAUAAAAGAUAAAAUUAUAAAUAAAACAAAACACAUAUUAAAGCCUAACUGUUAAUAAUGGAUCCAACAUAAGAUCCAGCCCAAGCCCAUGAAUAAAGCCCCCGAAAACGGUUGGUCCCUCAAUUAAAUUAUUCGUUCAAAUGGUCCAUCAACUCUAUAUUAUUCGCUCCAUUGGUCCUACCGUUAUAUUUUGUCAAUAUUUCUGUUAAAUAUGAGGGCAAAUUGGUCAUUAUUUAUCCUAAAAUUAGGUUAAAUCUAACAUAAAAUUAGACGGUAGGAAUUCGGGGCAGGUCAUGUCAAAAAGCUAAUUAGAGGGGCGAAAUUGACAAAUAAAUUUAAUACAAUAGCUAAAUUGGUUGAAAGAUUAAUUCAAGAUGUAGAUUUCAACAAGUGUGAUAAUUCAUGGGGUAUUCGGUAAUUUACUCCUUUUUUUCCCCUUGAUCUUCUAUAUUCAAGUAAUGGAAAUGUGUUCCACAUUUUCCAUUUAGUUGAUUAUAGAAAAGGAAGAGCAAACAUGAGUUAAGCCCAAGGCACCGAACUUAGGGUCAGUUUGGCAUUGUUAUGCUGUGAAAAUAAUCGUUGUCAGAUUUGCUGUGAGAGAAAAUAGUUUGGCGUUUGGUAAAAUUUUUGUUAAAAGUAUUAUUAGUAUUUAUUUUACGCAUAAUCAGAAAAUGAUUGCUGCAUAAUCAUUAAAUCCAGCGCCUUUUCGAAACUGAUUUUUGCAUAAUCAGAAAAUGAAAGCACAUCAUUAGCUGCUUUCCUUUAUAGCUUUCUCUCACAUCAAUUUUUAACAAUAAGUGAUUUUCUCACAGUUUACCAAAUGGAUUGGGCUUCUCAAAAUUUUAAAAAAAUCACUUAUCACCCCAAAUAAGUAAUGCCAAACGGGCACUUAGACUUCUCACCAACGUGAGGAAGAAAAAUAUGACAAAUUGAUAUAUUUAAUACAAGCUCAAACUGUGCACAAAUUAAUAUAUGCAACGGAAGCCCAAGAUUAUUUCUGAAGCACAUAAUUUCCGCAAAAUCUACAAAGUGGUGGGAGGCAGACCAACAAAAAAAAGUAGCGAAGGCUUAUAACUCUGGUAAAACAAGAGUGACUUGGACAGAAUAAUGUUAUGUCGUACUGAAGAUUUUUGGGUUUCUUUAAUUGGUUAAGUUUAUAUACCUUCAUUUGAAGAUUCUUUAUUUGGGUUGCUUUCAAGAUGAAAACCAUAUCCACAACCACAACCACAACUGGCAGACAAUCUUUGGCUGUUCAUCACAAUUGGGCGACAAUGAAGAAGACAGAAAUUGGAGUAAUGUAUGUUACCAGCAAUCCACGAGAAACUGACAUCUGCAAGCUUUCGUAAUAUAAGGAGGAUGGGGAGGCCGUGCAAUACUUAUCACCUUAGCCACCACCUACACCACAAGACCAAUAUGUUGUAGGCCAGGAGGCUUUCCAAUUUUAAUAUAUAUAUAUAUAUAUAUAUAAAAGUAAAGUGACAAAGAAAUUAAUGUAGGGUAAAGGUAGAAUAGAAAAGAGAAUGAACAAAAUUAAUAAAAAAAAGUUUUAAAAAGUAAAAGGGAGUGUAGAUGGAGAAAAGAGGAAUGGGGAAAUUAGCUCCCUAUAUAUAUAUAGAUUGAAAAAUUAAAAUUAAAAUCAAUCUAUUAUCUUAUAUAUUAUAAAAUAAAGAUUAUUGCUCCAAGGAAAUGAGAUCUUUUGUUUUCUGGGAAUUUUCUGAACCAAGAAGAAUCAAGUAAAAUUAAUAAAGCAUAAAUUGGAAAGGGAAAAGAUCCAGAGGAUGCAUUGUAAGAUUGCUGAUGCCAAUAAUUGUACCCUCUAAUUUUAUACAUGGACGGGCAUUCAAAUCGGCAAAUCAGAAAUCCAAGCCAAAUCGCACAGGAAAAAAUCGAGUUGACCAAAUAGUCAACAACCAAUCAAAAACCAUACCGGACCAGUUUGGACCGGUUUUGGAUCCAAUUCUAUGUCUUCAAAAACUGAACCAAGCGGAACCGAACCAGUCAAAUUAAAAAAUAUAUAAUUUCAAUAUAUAUUUAUAUUCAAUGCUAUAUUUUUAGUCUCAUAACUAAUAUUUAUGCAAGUUCAAUUUCAAAACAUCUCUCUUUUCUGGCUUUAAUAUUUAUUUUUAUAUAAAAUUAAAUAAUUUAUUAAUUUUCAAGUCAAAAAAAUAAAAUUUUAGUUGAAAUUUGUAUUAAAAAAUUAUUUGAAAAAAAUUAAUUUUAAUAAUCCAGUUCAAAACCAAAUCGGACCGGAACCUAAUCAAAAUCGGUUCAACCUGAACCGGACAGUUUUUGAAUUUUUUUUGUUAAAACCGAACCAAACCAAACCGGACAAAUAGUAUCGGAUUCGGUUCUAAUUUGAGACAAAAACCAGUCCAAACCGGACCGUGCCCACCCUAUUUUUUUUGUUUUCAAGUCUUAGAUGACAUGUCGACCUAAAAUUAUUGUUCCUAGCGGGCUCUCCACCCCCACUCAACCUAUUGUGUAUUAUUAUUUUCAAUAUUAUCUUAAAUUUAACUACUUAUGUCCAUUAUGAUUAGUCAUGUAUUUUAUGGACCAUCCAGCUGUGAGGCUUUAUCUCAAAAACAUUCAGUACCUUUUUCCCGCUUGCAACAAUUGUAUUUGAUUCAGAAUUAUGUCCUAUAUUGGUGGGUGGAGUGUUACUUCUGGGUACCCCUCAUCAUUCGUCUAUAAAAUGGUGAAGCCAGUUGCUACUGUUACCAUAAGAGCCAUCUCCGACUUUCUUUAAUUUCUUGCUUCAUAUCCACUAGCUACAUCUGUUGCCAAGUUAAUUUCAGUCCUAAUGGGGUUUCAUCUCCCACUCAUCUUUGCUCUUCUCAGUGUAAGCUCUGCAAUUUGAUUAACAUUUCCAUUAUCUCUCAUUGUACUCUAUAUAAACGAAAGUUUUGCAUUCCUAUAAUCCUCUCUGAUUUUAUUUACCACAUAAGUGUCGUCCACUAAUUAAUUACACUUUGUGAUUUGAUUUUAAUUAGAGUUCGAAUUAAUGUUGCAGCUAGCAGCGGUGGCACUGGCAAACCAUGCUGCUCAACCAGCAGCUCAACUUUACUGGAACUCCGUCCUGCCGAACACACAGAUGCCAAGAACUAUCAGUGAACUUCUGCAUCUUGGUUUGUGUUAAUCACUUUAGAAUCUUAGAUAUUUUUUCUACCUGCCAUUUUACUAAAAUUUGUUUGACCACAUAUUUAUCGGUUAACUACUGUUUUCCAAUUUAUUAUUAACCUCUACAUGAGUAAUUAUAGUAUGGUACUAGAGUACGUACGGCAACAUAUUCACAAAUGUCUCACUGAAUCUUCAAUCGGCUGAUCACUUAUUUUCCAUUAUGACGUUGAUAUAUAAUUUGCCGACUCCACAAAUGAAGAAAAGAGCACAAAUAUCAUGAAUGCUGUUGGGAAUGGAAAGCCAACUGACCACAAGGGAAAACCUGAAAUAAACGCAUUGUUUAGCGGAUACACAAUUCAAGUACAGUAUGCAGGAGUUCCUAAUUCUGACAAUCAACUCCAGUAUUAUAAAAACAUAACUAUUUUCUUCUUGGGGAAGGACAUGCGCCUUGGCGCAACAAUGAACUUCCAAUUCCCUAGAAAUUCAAACACGGCUACUUUCCUGCCACGCGAAAGUGCUCAAUCAAUCCCCUUCUCCUCUAACAAACUAUCAGAAAUUUUCAAACAUUUUUCAGUGAAGCCAACAUCUGUGGAAGCCAAAACAAUUAAGAAAACAAUCGAAGAGUGUGAAGCUCCAGGCAUUAAGGGAGGGGAAAGAUAUUGCGCCACAUCUUUAGAAUCAAUGGUUGAUUUUAGCACUUCCAAGCUUAGAACAAGAAACGUUCAAGCAAUCUCGACUGAGGUAUUGGAAAAAGGAACUGCCAUGUCCAUGCACAAGUAUACAACAAUGCCGGGACUGAAGAAGUUGGCAGGUGACAAAGUCGUUGUGUGUCAUAAGGAGAACUAUCCCUAUGCUGUGUUUUUCUGCCAUGCAAUAAAACAAACAGCAGCUUAUGUUCUCUCCCUGAAAGGCGAUGAUGGGGUGAAGGUUAAAGCAGUAACCAUCUGCCAUCUAGACACAUCAGAAUGGAACCCAAAGCAUUUGGCCUUCCAAAUCCUCAAAGUUAAGCCCGGAACCAUUCCCAUCUGCCAUUUCCUUUCCACAGAUGCUAUUGCAUGAACAUCACUUAGCACUGUACGUAUAAUAAGCUUGCACCCCUGUAUAAUUAUCUCCCUACUCUACUUAUUUCUGCCUCUUCUGUUGAGAUUUCAAUCAGAACUUGCACACACAAUGCAUCAGCUCACACAAAACCAGAUGAAUUUAAGAAAACAGAAAAAUGCAGAGAAAGAAUGGAUUGGCUACUCAGUAAUGCUCAAAGGUUCGUUGCUAUGCACAAAACAUGGCAGUGCACAAUACUCUCAUUUCUAACGGAACCAUUCCUUUUUACAAUGCUGAGAAUGUGAUCUCAGCCUUACAAUUGAUCCAGCAAUGUAAGCUGGACACUUGUCUUAAAUCUGAGUCAUAUAAGUUUCAUCCAACCAAAAUAUUACAUCUGUGAAAUAAAACUUAAACCAGCAGGAAUUUAUAAUUCGACAUUCCCUUCUAAAUUGUUGACUGGUUUAACACCAAGUAGACCUCUUAAGUAAUUGAAUCGAUCCUUAGACAAAGCUUUAGUGAAUAUGUCAGCUGCUUGCUCUUCGGACUUGCAGUAUCUUAGAUCCACCACACCUUCUUGCAAAGCAUCUCGAAUGAAAUGGUAUAUGCGGUUAAUGUGUUUGGUCUUUUGAUGGAAAACUGGAUUCCUUGUCAUUGCAAUGGCAGAGGUGUUAUCUACCAUUAAUGGAGUUGCCUCUGUUUGCUAUUCUCCAAAGUCUUCAAGCACAAACUUCAACCAUAUAGCUUGAGUAGUAGCUUCACUUACACUAACAUAUUCAACUUCAGUUGUGGAGAGAGCAACACUGGGUUGCUUGACAGAUGCCCAAGAUGACACGCCACUUCCAAAUGAGAAAGCAUAUCUAGAAGUGCUCUUCAUGUCAUCUUGACUCCCACUCCAGUCACUGUCACAGUAUCCAAUUAAUACAACUUCUUUUCCCUUCUGGUAUUCAAUACCAUAAUCAAUUGUGCCUUUGAUAUACCUCAACACCCUCUUAGUUGUUCCAUAGUGUUUCUUUUAGGACAAUGCAUGAAUCUAGCUAAUAAGCUAGCUGCAAACAUUAUGCCAGGCCUUGUAGCUGUUAAGUACAACAAACUUCCCACAAUCUGCCUAUAUUCAUUCUCAUCUGCUGGAUCACUUCCAUCUGCUUUGCAUAAUUUCUCACUUGCCACCAGAGGAGUGCUAACAGGUUUACAUUGUUUUAAGCCAAACUUGCUUAACAGAGUCAAAGCAUAUUUCUUUUGACUUAUGAAAAUACUCUUUUCAGUUUGAAUCACAGCCAUACCAAGAAAAUGAUACAAAAGACCUAAGUUAGUCAUUUCAUACCUUCUCAUCAUCUUAGACUAAAAAUCUGCAAUCAAUUCUUCACUGCUUCCUGUAUACACUAUAUCAUCAACAUAUAUCGAUACAAUGAGUGUUCUAGAGUUUUCCUUGGUCUUGCAAUACAGAGUUGCUUCACUAGAGCUCCUUGUAUAACCGCAGUCAAUAAGAUACGAGUUUAUUUCCUCAUCCCAUGCUCUUGGCGCCUGUUUUAGACCAUACAGAGCUUUCUUUAGUUUGUACACUUUGUCUUUAGAGUUCUUAAUCACAAAACCAUCUGGCUGGUCCACAUAUACUUCUUCCUUAAGCACACCAUUCAGAAAAGCAGACUUGACAUCCAAUUGAUACAACUUCCACCCCUUUUGAGCUGCCAAUGCAAUAAAAGUUCUAAUGGUGUCUAAUCGGACUCUGCACCCCUCUCGAUUGAAAACCUAUUGUGUAAAUCUUCAAUCCUAAACGAUGCACCUAAAACACAUGUUGCAAUACACAUCCACCCAUUCUCAGGCCAAUUAUUGCUCAUAGUGGGCUCCCGACCCCCUCUCAAAUUUAAGUGGUCCAUUAUUCUUAACCACAUAUUUUAUGGACCAUCCAGCUGUGAGGUUUUGUCUCAAAAACCUUCGGUACAUUUCUCCCACAUGCCACAAUUGUAUAUUCACAAUUACGUCUGAUACAUCACAUCAUGCCACUUGCCUCAAAUGAAUUUAAGUGAGUGAGGCAGUUGGAAGUAAUUAAGCUCUAUAUUGGUGGGUGGAGUGUUACUUCUGGGUACCCCUCAUCAUUUGUCUAUAAAAUGGUGAAGUCAGUUGCUACUGUUACCAUAAGAGCCAGCUCCGACUUUCUUUAAUUUCUUGCUUCAUAUCCACUAGCUACAUCUGUUGCCAAGUUAAUUUCAGUCCUAAUGGGGUUUCAUCCCCCACUCAUCUUUGCUAUUCUCAGUGUAAGCUCUGCAAUUUGAUUAACUUUUCCAUGCUCUCUCAUUGUACUCUAUAUAAACGAAAGUUUUGUGGUCCUAUAAUUCUCUCUCGAUUUUAUUUAGUACGUACUUAAGUGUUGUCCACUAAUUAAUUACACUUUGUGAGAUUUGAUUUUAAUUAGAGUUCGAAUUAAUGUUGCAGCUAGCAGCGGUUGCACAGGCAAACAAUGCUGCUCAACCAGCACCUCAACUUUACUGGAACUCCGUCCUGCCAAACACACAGAUGCCAAGAUCUAUCAGUGAACUUCUGCAUCCUGGUUUGUGUUGAGCUCUUUAGAAUCUUAGAUAUCUCUUCUACCUGCCAUUUUACUUAAAUAUGUUCGACCACAUAUUUAUCAGUUAACUACUGUCAUUACAUGAGUGACACAUAUUCACAAAUCGGCUGAUCACUUAUUUUCCAUUAUGACGUUGAUAUAUAAUUUGCAGACUCCACAAAUGAAGAAAAGAGCACAAAUGACGUUGGCAAACCUGAAACUUUCCCAUUGGGCAAUCAAAAUUACUCCAGUCAAAAAAAUUAUGGAACAGGCAAUAAACGUUACUGCAGUCAAAAAAGGUAUGGAAGAGGCAAGAAACGUUACUGCGAUCAAAAAAAGUAUGGAAGAGGUGCUUCUCCAUCUGACAAUCAACUACUCCAUUAUAAAGACUUAGCUAUUUUCUUCUUGGAGAAGGACAUGCGCCCUGGCACAACAAUGAAGUUCCAAUUCUCUAGAAAUUCAAACACGGCUACUUUCUUGCCACGAGAAAGCGCUCAAUCGAUCCCCUUCUCCUCUAACAAACUACCAGAAAUUUUCAACCAUUUUUCAGUGAAGCCAACAUCUGAGGAAGCCAAAACAAUUAAGCAAACAAUCGAAGAGUGUGAAGCUCCCGGCCUUAAGGGAGAGGAAAUAUAUUGCGCCACAUCUUUAGAAUCAAUGGUUGAUUUUAGCACUUCGAAGCUUGGAACAAGAAACGUUGAAGCAAUCUCGACGGAGGUAUUGGAAAAAGGAGCCACCAUGUCCAUGCACAACUAUACAACAAUGCCGGGACUGAAGAAGUUGGCCAGUGACAAAGUCGUUGUGUGUCAUAAGCAGAACUAUCCCUAUGCUGUGUUUUUCUGCCAUGCAAUAAAACAUACAGCAGCUUAUGUUCUCUUCCUGAAAGGCGAUGAUGGGGAGAAGGUUAAAGCAGUAACCAUCUGUCAUCUAGACACAUCAGAAUGGAACCCAGAGCAUAUGUCCUUCCAAAUCGUCAACGUUAAGCCCGGAACCAUUCCCAUCUGCCAUUUCAUUUCCACUGAUGCUAUUGCCUGGGUUCCGAACCACAAAUCUGCAUGAUCAUCACUUAGCACUGUACGUAUAAUUAUCUCCUUACUUAUUUCUGCCUCUUCAUCAUGUGGUGUAAGAUAUAUGAUGAGAUGAAGUUUUUGGGAUUAGUGGUUGGGUUGCCUGAAAAACACAGAUUACAGAAACUGCUUGAAAUUAACCCGAUCAUGUUUUCUCUUGUAACUAUAUAGACUUCAACUUGUACUCAUAAUAAAGCAUGCUAUAUUUAUGAAGAGAUAUUAAUCUAUAUAUAUUUUUUAUAUAUGCUUUGGCUUUGUGGUUCUACCCAAUGUUUGAGUGUUGAAUUGUUACGUUGGAAUAGGCUGCUAAUGCAUGUAGUUAGAGAAGCCUUCAUUUAUAUCAAAGUCCUCAAACUAUCAAGAACUAAUGUAUCCAGAAACAUAUACCAAGACGCAAAACAACAUAUUUUCCAUGCUCUGUCUGUAACACCAAAGCAAACUUCCUUGAUCACAAAAGGAUCAAAUUCCAGUACUAAUCUAAUCCAUCAUGUAAAGCAUACAAGUGCCUCCCUAAAUACUAUACUCUUUUUGUUAUUUCCUACUAUACUAUUUAAGAUUUAAAAUUCAGGUCAACCCAUAGAUUUCUCGCCUUUUUCUUCUUCAUCUCGUCGGGCUUGUCUUCUUCUUGAGGAUUGUAUAGGCCAAGGAAAUGCUUUGAGUUAGUUUUUGCGCUUUUGCGUUUUGGGCCUUGGAAGUUGGGACCCAAACCAACUUCACAAAAAGAAAACGCUCAGACUAUAAUGAGUGGAAAGUUAUAAGGGGUAAGUUAUAAGGAGUUCACUUUAUAGCCAUCAGAUCAAUCUAAGGGCUGGGGAGAAUUGAGAUAAAGUUUUAAAAUCGGGUAGGUGAGGAACCCAAACCCGAAUUGAAUAUCCAGCACGUCCGAAAAAGAAGAAGAAGAGGCAAGCACGUCCGAAAAAGAAGAAGAAGAGGCAAGGUCGAAGUUUGAACAGAAAAAACUCAUCUCUUUAAAACCCAUAGCUCUGAGAAACGGUUGAAGGCAACGGUUAACGACGGUUGUUGAAGCCACUCCGUUCUCCAGACCCUGAAAAAGUAUUUAUUUUGAGUAGAAGGGGCAAAUGUGUGGAUUCCGAAACAGUGAAGGGGCGAAGCAGUGGAAGGGGAAGGAGAGAAGCCGUAUUCGUUGGAAGUGGUAGGUUCCAUUUGUGGAGCAAAGCAACACAAAGACCCCGCACAGACACCUUGCGAUUGUUCAAUAACCAGCAUUUGGUGAGUAAUUUAUGGAAUUUGAGUUUAGGGUUAGAGUAAUGGUUUUCCCCAAUUUGUACCAUCAAUUUUGUUGGAUUUGGCAUCUCUUCUUUGUGCUUCAGUUGCAUGUUAAUUUUUGCUUGGGUAUAUGUUAAAAAAAGAAUGAAAAUCAAGUCAAUAACAAGUGAAUAACAUGUCAAUAAUGAUAUGAAUAAGAUAAUGGUGUUGAAUUGGAGGAGGCCCUCAAAACAUUCCACAUUUGAAGCAGUGCAUAGUGCAGAUUAUCUCUCUGGCGCUAGAAUAUAUAUAUAUUUUGAAAUAAAUAUGAUUUCCUUUGUUACUAAAUUUGCCUGAGAAACAUGAGAACAGAUAAUAAUAAACUCAUGAAUAGAAGUGCAAAGCAUUUGAUGAGUAAUUUAUGGAAUUUGAGUUUAGGCCCAGGAAAUUCCUUGACCCCAAAAAAAAAAAAAAAGUUGAUUUAAAAUUCAGGUCAACCCAUAGAUUUCUCGCCUUUUUCUUCUUCAUCUCGUCGGGCUUGUCUUCUUCUUGAGGAUUGUAUAGGCCCAGGAAAUGCUUUGAGUUAAUUUUUGCAUUUUUGCGUUUUGGGCCUUGGAAGUUGGGACCCAACCCAACUUCACAAAAAGAAAACAGAUUUGCCAAAAAUCAAAUUUCAAGUCUCUCCUCCGAUCGAAAUUUGGAUUUGAUGAACUAAAGUGGUUUUACUUUCUCCAUCAGUGUUUGAUAACUUAAUUUGUUAUUUACUUUUUUUUUAAAAAACUUUGGCUUAUAUAUAUUAGUUUUCUUUUUUCCUUCAUAUUCACCACCUUUAUGUUGCAUAAGUAUUUCAGUCUUAAUGGGUUUCCAUCUACCACUCAUCUUUGCUCUUCUCAGUGUAAGCCUUUUUUUUUUUUUAAAGCACAAGAUUAGAGGGGAGGGGGAUUUCUCAAUGUAAGCUUUGCAGUUUCAUAAUUAAUAUUUCCAAUAUCUCACUGUUAGUAAAAUACAGAAAAAGUACUAAUAACAUAUGCACAUGUUACUAAUUUAUUGAGAUAAAACACCAUUUUGCCCCUAGAAUAUUUUAUUAGGUUUAAAGUUGACUUUUUGACCAGGAAGGAAUUUGGGUAUUUAGACUAUAUCGUUGCGUAGAGCAUGGCGAGAUGAGUCCGUAGACACAUGAUUGGCUCGAAUCAGAGUUAUAAUGAGAGAGAUACGAUCAAAAUACCCUCAGUGGUAUAACCGUAAUUUUGGCUUAAAGGGUUUGAUAAAAUAUAAUUUUUCUUUCUUUCUUUCUCUCUCUCUCUCUCUCUCUCUCUCUCUCCUCUCUCUCACGACGGCAGUGAUAGCCGGCCACUUUUUGGCCAGCCAUGCUCUCGUCCGGCCACUAAAGUUGACGGGGCCGGUACCAAAAUGACCGGGCCACCAUCCUUUUCCAACCCCAGCCAGGCCCCACUGCCAGCAGUCGUGAUUUUGCUGAAAAAUGGAGAAGAAGCGGCCGAUUUCGUUCGAACUUCUCCGACUUCGUUCUCUCUCCUCCGGCCACCGAUUUCGAUGAAUGAGGUAUGGUUUCUCACCUACUUUUUAUGCUCUAGCUGCCUGUUGGGUAGGAUUCGAUCAAUUCCUUGCGUAGGUAGCUUGAUUUUCGAAUUGGAUUUCGGCCGGUUUUGGGAUCUCGAUUCCGGCCACUUCCGGUCAGUUUUUGGGGUACAUCCCAAAACAAAAGUGGUUCUAAAUAGGGUGUUAUACCUAGGGUAGGAACCUUGAACCGUAAUUUUGAGAAUUUUCGGUGAUGCCUAAUCGCUUUGGACACCUACGCUAUGCCUGCGUGUGGGCACUAUAGAAAAAGGGCAUUGUGUCCCGAUGCAAUCCCCUUGUUGUCUUGAGCGCGUAGGUGUGCUCGGAUUUCAAUUUGGAUACCGUUUGAAUCUCGAACGAAUAUCGCAUAUUGUGCGUUAUUCGGGGUCGAUAGGUUUGAACUGUUGGAUAGUCUUAGAUUUAUAAUAUGUUAAUCUAGACAUUCUUAGGAUCGAAUGGGAUUAAACGGAUCGUAAAACGGAGUCCCGGAUACUCCAAAAAUGCCAACCCUAGGGCUAGGUUCCUAGUAACCGUCCGAUCGUGCGAUCGUGAGCGAUCCGACCGUUUGAUCCGAACCAAACUUGCAGGACGUGUAUCCUAAACCUUGUAGAACCCAUAGGAACUUUCGGAUUAGAAUUUGGAGGUCGUGGGCCCCUUGGGCCGUUUGACUAAGUUUGGGUAGUUUGACCCUUGGCUGAUCGUGAGUCUUCAGAGGUCUUGAGCGUUGUUGAGCUAUGUUGACUAGGUUUAGACUUUUAGAGUGUUUAUUAUUAUCAUAGGAAACUAUUAGAUAUUAUUUUAAUAAUUGAAAUUAUCAAAUUUAUGUUUAUGUGCAUGAUUGUUGGUCUAAAAAUAACAUUGUUUUCUUGAUAAAAUUACGUUGCAGUCUACUAUAGACUGGUAUCACUAAAUGGAGAUUACCUCUAUUAUUAGUUUAGAUAAUUAAGAGUAUGUCAGUUUGAAGUGCUAUAUGCACUACCCUAAGUACCACCCUGUGAUUGUUAGGUCCCAUGUGGUGUAGAUUAUACAGCGUCAGGACAGACCCCAUACGUGGCUUUGGAUGUUCUGGCGCAUGGGGGAGAUUAUGUAAUGGUUAGGUCAUACGUGGCGUAGGUUAUUCAGCGUGUUGACAGACCCUAUACGUGGCGUUGGAUGUUCCAGUAUGGAAAGAUUUUGUGAUUGUUAGGUCCCACGUGGCGUAGAUUAUCCGGCGUGAGGACAAACCCCAUUCGUGGCUUUGGAUGUUCCUGCGUAUGGGGGAGAUUAUGUGAUGGUUAGGUCACACGUGGCGUAGGUUAUUCGGCGUGUUGGCUAACCCCAUAAGUGCCGUUGGAUGUAACGACCGGUCCUAAAUAAAUUAGUGAAUAUUAAUUUAUUCAGAGAAAAUACCAUUUUGCCCAUAGAGUAUUUUAUUAGGUUCAAAGUUGACUUUUUGAUCAGAAAGGAAUUUGAGAAUUUCGAUUAUACCGUUGCAUAGAGCACGGCGAGAUGAGUCCGUAGACACGUGGUAUGCUCGAAUCGAAGUUGUAACGAGAGAGAUACGAUCAAAAUACCCUCAGUGGCAUAACCGUAAUUUUGGCAAAAAGGGUCGAUAAAAUCAUAUAUAUAUAUUUUCUCUCUCUCUCUCUCUCUCUCUCUCUCUCUCUCUGCGAUAUUGUCCCUCUCUCUCUUUGAUUCACUGCCAUCUGCCCACGGCAGGACUUGAGACUGGUCACGUUUGAACCGGCUCGAUGUCCCGAUCACGUCGCACCCAAAAUGCAAAUGGAAACCUUGAAUUCCAGCCACGGCUUCGACUGGUUUGAACUGGGUUUUUCCCGGCGUUGCGCCACCGCCUCCGCCGCCCAAUUCCGGUGAAACAGGUAUAAUUCCUCACCUAUUUUUCGAGAUCCAGCUGUUGUUGUGUAGGAAUUAGACGAUUUUCAUGUUUAGGAACUCGAUUUAGAAUUUAGGUUUUGGUCGAAUUUUCAAAGUGAAAUUUCGGCCACUUCCGCUGGUUUUUCGGGGUAUGUCUAAGAACAAAAGUGGUUCCAAAUAGGGUGUUAUACCUAGGGUAGGAACCUUGAGCUGUGAUUUUGAGAAUUUCCGGCGAUGCGUAUUCGCUUUGGACACCCACGCGCCGACAGCGCGUGGGCACUGUAGAAAAGGGGCAUUGUGUCUCAAUGCGAUCUGCUUGUUGUCUUGAGCUCGUAGGUAUGCUCGAAUUUCAAUUUGGAUACUGUUUGAGUCUCGAACGGAUAUCGCAUAGUGUACGUUAUCCGGGUUUGAUAGGUUUGAACCAUUGGAUAGUUUUGAAUUUGAUAUAUGUUAAUCUAGGCAUUUCUAGGAUCAUGUAGGAAUUCAGGGAUCAUGAAUCAGAGCCCCGGAUGUUCCGAUUUAAUAACUUAAAGUUUAUGUUUAUAAUAACUAUCAGAUCGUGCGAUCGUGAGCGAUCCGACUGUCUGAUCUGGACCAAACUUGCAGCACGUAUAUCCUAAACCUUGUGGAACAUAAAAAAAUUUCGGAUUAGAAUUUGGAGGUCGUGGGCCCCGUGGGCCCAUUUAACCAAUUAUGGGUAGUUUGAUCCUUGGUUGACCGUGAGUCUUCCGAGAUAGUUUUACCUUCCUAGGAGGAUUAUAAUGACCCUAGUGAUAGGUCUUGACCGUUGUUCAGCUAUGUUGACUAGGUUGAGACUUCUAGAGUGUUUAUUAUAUUAUUGUAGGAAACUCUUAGAUAUUAUUUUAAUAAUUGAAAUUAUGAAAUUUAUGUUUAUGUGCAUGAUCGUUGGUCUAAAAAUAAUAUUAUUUUCCUGAUAAAAUUACGUUGCAGUCUACUAUAGACUAGUAUCACUAAAGUGGGAAUACCUCUAUUAUUAGUUGAGAUAAUUGGGAGUAUGUCAGUUUGAAAUGUUAUACCCUAAGUACUACUCUAUGAUUGUCAGGUCACCCGUGGCGUAGGAUUUUCCGGUGAGAUGACAGACCCCAUACGUGGCGUUGGAAUUUCCAACGUAUGGAGAGAUUAUAUGAUUGUUAGGUUUCACGUGGCGUAGGAUUUUUCAGCGGGAUGACAAACCCCAUACGUGGCAUUGGAAGUUUCAGCGUAUGGGGAGAUGAUAUGAUUGUUAAGUCACACGUGGCGUAGGUUAUUUGGAGUGCUGACAGACCCCAUACGUGGCGUUGAAAUUUCUGGCGUAUGGAGAGAUGAUAUGAUUGUUAGGUCACUUUGGAUGUUCUAGCGUAUUGGGAGAUUAUGUGAUUACCAGUGAGAUGAAUAAAGGAUUGUUAUGUUAUAUUGGGAAAAACAUGUUUGUAGAAAGAAUUACGUGUGGCUUGAUCCCUCAGUAAGGGUACGUAGGCAGCCUAGGGUAGUGCCUUGGUGCAGUCGCUGACUAAACAUUAUAAUGUUGUUUUUAGGUUUGAUUAUAUGGUAUUAUGGGGCAAGGCCCCUAGGACUAUUGGUGAUAAUUCAUAGAUGGUAGUGGAUGCAUGCUAGAAAUUUGUAGGAAGUUAUUUCAUGUGGAUUGCAGUGGUACUCGUAAAAUUUAUUUGAGUUCCUUAAUUGCAUUGUUAAUAUAUUAAUUUACUUAAGAGUACUGCUAGUAGUUCUGCCUUGAUUUAUUUGAAGGCUGGAGGCCUUGUCUGGAAACUGUGUGCAAUUAGAUUGUGUGUGCUGGCAGUUGACUUUUUAAAUUGUGAAUUUUGUGCAGGUUGAAAUUUGGGAAAUGUUCAAUUUACAGGGGAGACUCUGCUGAAAUUUCGGUAGAAAGUCUUGUGCCCUUAUUCCUUUUUGGGGAAAAGGAUAUAGUUUUAGAAGUGGCGAUGUCGGGAAUUUCCACAGGAUUCGUCUCGGGUUUCGGGAAAUUCGGGGCGGGUCUGAAAAAGUUGUUUCAGUUUUGGCAAGUAUCGGAAAAGACCAAAAUUUUCCGACUUUAUUAUUACUAGAAACAAGGUCGAAGUAUUUACCAAUCAUGUGGCCUUCCAAGUGCUCUAGGUUAAGCCAGGAACCGUUCCUAUCUGCCGUUUCCUUCCCAACUAUGAUCAUGUUGUCUGGGUUCCAACCCACAAAUCUACAUUGGGCUACGUAUUUGAAUUUGUACUAAAGCGUGAUCUAUAGUAUGCAUAUAUUGGAUAAGUUUGAGAUCAGUGGCUUGGGUGUCCGCUGAGCUUGAACAAGUUUGGGUGUGCUGAGUGUUUCCAUGGGUGUGUUGAUGAUCAUGGUUAUUAGAUUUGUGAUAGUUUGGGCUCAAUUUCAACAGAACUCAUCUCAAGCCUAGAUAGUUGAUUCUUAAGUUUAUCAGGAAAAAAAAUUAAAAAUUAAAAAAUCUAAAGUUAAGCCCAAGGCGCCGAACUUGGACUUCUCACCAAACUGUGCAUAAAUUGAAAUAUUUAAUAGAAGCCCAAGAUUUUUGAAGCACAUAAUAUCUACAAAAAUCUACAAAGUGUAAUACUUUACAAACUUCUUAUGUGUACCAAUUUCUGCUCAAAUUAAUUUCUCUGUGGUGCUGAGAUUCAUCAUAAUUUUAGUAGAAAUUGGAAGUUUUCAUCAUUUUUGCUUUAAGUCUCUCCUCCACUCACUAAUAAAGAUUACUCAAGUGAGUUUACAAAACAUUUUUUUUCUACUCUCUCCUGAAGACUACACAUCUUCUCAAAAGAUUAGAUCACUUCACAUCUUGUAUAUGUGAAAACUAAUGCAAAAAGUUGAAACUUUAUCAUAAAACCUCGACAAAAAUUAGCUCUACUUAGAACAUUAAAUUUGGAUUCGUUGAUUUAAAUGGCAAUUUGACACUUCAUAGAAAUUUUUACAUACAUGUGUUAGUGUUUGAUCACUUCACUUAUUACUUACUAUAUUUAUUCCAUGAUUCUCCCUCAAGUUAUGUAAAUAUUAUUAUCAAACAUUUCAAUUCAUUUGUGAUAUUUCUUGUCCAUCUUUCAAUGUACCCUGAAAUCCAUUAGCCACAUAUGAUGACCAAAAUCCACACUCUGUUGUUUGCAAACGUUCAAUAUACGACUUGCAUCCACAGUCCUGACCCAAAUGAAAUGCGGAAACUGUCAAGCUAACUGUAGGGAGGACUAUAUUUGAUUUUACCUUAAAGACUGAUCCGAAACCACCUUCUCCAAGUUUAUUGUUGUUUGAAUAGUUUUUGGUUGCACAAACAACAGCGGCCAAGUCAAAUAAUGGCAAUUCCAGAUCUUCCUUUUGGCCGGGCUUCAGUUCUCCUGUGAAGUACGUAGUGAAGUAAAUAAUGUAGCAUGGAACCUUAGCUUAGAAACCAGAGAGGCAACAGCAAAAAUUUUCUAUAGAACUGAACCUACCUAUCUUAGAAAAUGAAGGGGCAGAAGAGUAGAAAAUCAAAUAGCUUACCAUAUUUUUGUUGCUGGUUCUUCCUCACAUAUAAUAGCAGGGUAAGGCCCAGGGUCAGCAGUCCAGUAGACAACACAGUACUGGUUACUAUGAUCUUUGUAUUGUGUCCUUGAUCUAGGAAUGAAGUAUUUGAAAGCAGAAGAUUGAGGAGUCAGAAAUUCAUAAAGAAAAAAUCUCUACUUUUUAUCAUCCAACGAACAAUUAAUGCUAGUUUCUGAGACAGUUCUAAAGAAAUAUUUUUCUAACAAUGUCAAAAGUUUUCUGGCUCUAUCUUGUUUCUAAUCAUGUCACUGUUGGAAGAUUUCUUUCUUCUUUUUUCCUUGGUGGCUUUUAUUUUUCUUUCAAACUUUGUUUUAAACAGCAAGAUGAUUCCAUACCUAGUUCUGACGAAGCCAUUCUUAUGUAAAUAUCUUGCCCAUUUAUAUUGGAAUAUCUUAUAUCAACCAGAUCGCUGAACCACAGCAAGGACCCCCUUCCUCCAUCUCGGAUAUCCAAAUUUGAAAAAGCGGCGCAGGAGCAGUUGUUCAUGCACAUCAUCUCACAUUCCUUGAGGUUCAUAAUUGUGUUAUACUAGGAUUGUUCUGUACUUUAUUUCACCCCAGUGUACUUCUUAAAGAUGUCUCCACUGCAAUUCAGUUGGCUCUUUCUCACAGAUCUAUAUGACCAAUCCACCAAGUCCCAGUCUUGUUGAAAGUCGGUAUAAAUCCUUUCAAGCAGCUACGUACUGGGGACUUGUCAAUACAACAUGCACCAUUCGGACCACAUAUUCCAUAUUUGUCGCAGAUAUCAGUCGUUGCUCUUAGAUAAACAACCCAACCUUGGUUUCCAUCACUCCCGAUGUAGCUCAGCCCAAAUCCAUCUUGAGUUAACGCCAGCCUGAAAAGAGUUGAGCUGUUGAGAAGCUUAUAACCAUAAUAUACUUCAUCAUCAUUAUCCAACACAAAAUCAUAUGUUGGAUUUAAAUUAUGCAUCCCACUAAAUUGGAUUCCAUUCCAUGGUGCAGUCCGAUAUUUUAUAACAGAACCCUCCCUCAGAAUUAAUUCAUGGUACCCAUAAGGACCAAGUUGAUAUGGGUAAUGUCCUUGAGAAGGAUCCUGGGGGCUUUUCCAGGGUGUAAGAUGCCAAUUAAAACCUGUGAUUUUGUUCCUAACAAGCUUCAUACCUGGUAUUAAUGUAUCUCCUGGGUAAUCAAAACUCUGCCAUAAAAUAUUAUCAGAGUCAUUACGACCAUUGCCAUCUAUCACAACAAGAUUUCCGGAAUCCAAAAUCUGUGCCACUGGAUUCUAUGAAGAACUUGAUGUGUUGGAAGACCUGUAGUGUUCUUUGUUGAAUAUUUGGAUUGCAAAGGGAGCAAGAAAUGUACUGAGAGAGAAAGAGAGAGAGAGAGAGAGAGAGAGAGAGAGAGAGAGAGCAGUGAGCCUUAGAUUGUUCUAACAGUUUUCUUACUCUGCAUGAACAUAGCAGCAGAGCUUAUAUUCCUUCAUGACUGUUACAUGUUCUCUCUUACAUCAGUAGAUUCAAAUCUAACGGUUUGUAAUAGUAAGCCAAUGUGAGUAUGACACAUGGCAAUACACAGCUGUCCUAACAGCUGGGAAUUCAAAACAGACUCUAGCAUUGCACCUGGCAUAUAAGCACAAGGCACUCAGCUAACACAAAGAUUAAAAACAGAUUGAAUAUAAACUGACAUAGAACUUACUAACUAAUCUGAAAUUAGCUAGACAGUUUACAUUUUAACACUCCCUUCUAAAGUGCUAGCUGAUUUCACUCCAAGCAUUCUCCUCAAAUAGUCAAACCUGUCUUUGGGAAGAGCUUUGGUGAAGAUAUCAGCAAUCUGCUCUUCUCCUUUGCAGUAGAGCAGUUCAAUCACUUCUUCUUGUAUUGCAUCUCUAAUAAAAUGAAACUUCCUUUUAAUAUGCUUGCUCCGUUGAUGAAAAACAGGAUUUUUAGCCAUUGCUAUGGCUGAAGUGUUGUCACAAAACACAGUUGUUGCAGUGGUCUGUUCUUCCCCAAAAUCUUCAAGAACAAACCUGAGCCAAAUGGCUUGUGAUGUAGCUUCUGCUGCACUCACAUACUCUGCCUCUGCAGUAGAGAGAGCCACACUGUGUUGUUUGACUGAUGCCCAUGAAAAAGCACCACUUCCAAAUGAAAAUGCAUAUCCAGAAGUGCUUUUCAUAUCUUCCUCAGAUCCACUCCAGUCACUGUCACAGUAACCAACUAAGAGUGCAGAUUUUCCUGUCACAUACUCAAUUCCAUAGUCAAUUGUGCCUUGUAUGUACCUUAGAACCCUUUUAGCUGCCCCAUAGUGCAUCUUAGAAGGGUUAUGCAUGAAUCUUGCAAGCAGGCAGGCAGAGAACAUGAUAUCUGGCCUGGUUGCAGUAAGGUACAGCAGGCUGCCUACAAUUUUUCUGAACAAACUUUCAUCUGCAGCAUCACUUCCAUCCUCUCUUUUCAAUUUAUCAGUAGCCACUAAUGGAGUGCUUACUGACUUGCAGUCUUUGAGUCCAAACUUAUCCAAGAGAGUGAGAGCAUACUUCUUUUGAUGAAUGAAGAUGCUCCCUUCAGUUUGUGUUACUCCCAUACCAAGAAAAUGGUGGAGUAAACCCAAAUCAGACAUCUCAUACUUGCACAUCAUUUCAGCUUUGAAUUCUUUCAUCAUUUCAUCUCUACUUCCUGUGUACACUACGUCAUCUACAUAGAUUGACACUAUUAGUGUUCCCACCUUCCUUUGUUCUCACAUAGAGAGUGGCUUCACUUGGACUUCUGUGAAAACCACACUGAUUCGAGUAGGUGUCAAUUUCACUAUACCAGGCCCUUGGAGCCUGCUUCAACCCAUAGAGGGCUUUUCUUAACCUAUACACCUUAUCCUCAUCAUCUUUAACCACAAAACCAUCCGGUUGAUCAAUAUAAACUUCUUCUUCAAGGACACCAUUUAGGAAGGCUGACUUGACAUCCAAUUGCCAUAGUUUCCAGCCUUUCUGAGCAGCAAGAGCUAUGAGAGUUCUAAUGGUGUCUAACCUUGCUACAGGAGCAAAGGUUUCAUUGAAAUCAAUCCCUGGUUUUUGUGUGUAUCCCUUGGCAACAAGUCUUGCUUUAUGUUUUUGAAUGGAGCCAUCAAGAUUAAGCUUAAUUUUGAAUAUCCACUUCACUCCCACAAUUGGUUUACUACUUGGCCUGUCAACCAAUUCCCAACUGGAGUUUUUCUCUAUCAUAAGUAUCUCCUCAGUCAUAGCCUUCCCCCAAGCUUCAUCUUUGACUGCUUCUUCAAAAUUUUCAGGUUCAAUGAUGCUCAUCUUGCAUUGAGCAUACACUUCACUCAAACUCUUCCAUUUCUUUGGGGUGUUAUCAUAAGUUUCUAAUGGAGCAGAGUCUUGAGUAGCAUGCACAUCAUUACUUGUUUGUGUUUCCAUAGGAGACUGUACAAUCUGUUGCUGUAACAGAUUUGGUUAUGAAUCCAAAUCUGAUACAAUUGAACUUACUCCAUCACCCCAAGACAUAGGGAUUUGCAAUGCCUCAUUGGUUUCCCAAUUCCACAUUGCUUCUUCAUCAAAAAUAACACUCCUAGACAGCUCAAUCUUUUGAGUUCUCAAGUUGAGCACUCUAUACCCCUUUUCACAUACACCAUAUCUUACAAAUACUCCCUUCUCACCUGUGUCUUCCAGCUUGUGCCUUUUCUGUGUGGGGAUGUGAAUAUAGCAUAGAGAACCAAAUAUUCUCAAAUGCUUGACACCUGGUUUUCUUCCACCGAACUUUUCAAAUGGAGUGGAAUUGUCCAGUGCACUUGUAGGACAUCUGUUCUGCAAAUAUACAGCUGUAUUGACAGCUUCUGCCCAAAACUUCAAAGGGAUUUUCUUCUCAUACAUCAUGGCUCUUGCCAUUUCCAUCACAGUACGAUUCUUUCUCUCUGUAACUCCAUUCUGUUGUGGAGAGUAGCCUACUGNNNNNNNNNNNNNNNNNNNNNNNNNNNNNNNNNNNNNNNNNNNNNNNNNNNNNNNNNNNNNNNNNNNNNNNNNNNNNNNNNNNNNNNNNNNNNNNNNNNNNNNNNNNNNNNNNNNNNNNNNNNNNNNNNNNNNNNNNNNNNNNNNNNNNNNNNNNNNNNNNNNNNNNNNNNNNNNNNNNNNNNNNNNGGUGUGGUCAUCAAUGAAGGUGAGGAAAUAUCUGUUCCCUCCAAGAGUGAUGGUCUGCAUUGGACCACAAAUGUCUGAGUGAAUCAGUUCUAGAGGUUGAGUGGCUCUCCAAGCUCCUUCCUUAUCAAAAGAGCUUCUGUGAUUCUUGCUUUCAGCACAACCUGAGCAGACCUUCUCAUGUUCUUGUAAAUUAGGCAUUCCCUGAACCAUAUCUCUCUCUUGUAACAACUUCAAACUAAUAUAGUUUAGGUGCCCAAAUCUUCUGUGCCACAGCCAGGAUGUUUCUCCAACUGUUGCUCUGUUUGCCAUAGGAGGAUUAACAUAGUCAAGAUUUAAAGGAAAACAUUUGUUUCCCUUCAUUGGCACUCUUGCAAUGCAAUCUUCCAACUGCCUAUCUCCAUAGAUAUCAACUGCAUUAUCACCAAAUACAAGCCAAUGCCCAUGUUCUAUCAUUUGACCUACACUUAGCAAAUUUUCAUCUAAACUUGGUACAAUCAUGAUUUCUUUGAUAUAUCUAGUCACACCCUUCAUUUCUAUAGCCAAAGUCCCUUUGCCUAUUAACUGCACUAGAUCACCAGUCCCCAUUUUGACUUUACUCUUCAUACUUUUAUCAACAUUUACAAGUAAUGACUCAUGGGAAGUCAUGUGAUUGCUGCAUGCACUAUCAACAUACCACAUAUUCACAUUCUUUCCAAUUGUUGCAGCAUGACAUGCAUAGAACAUAAUGGCAGGUUCAGUUACCUGAUUUGCAAUGUUAGCAAGUUUCCCUGCCUUGUUUGCUUGGUCACAGUCCUUAACAAAAUGACCAAAUCGAUUGCAGCCAUGACACUUUGGUUUUCCUUUAAACCAACACUCACCAUAGUGUAACUUCUCACAAUGUUUGCAUUUUCCAGAUUUGUCUCCUUGACUUGGUUUUCCCCCUUGAUUGGCACUGUUUUGGGGUUUAGAAUCCCAUUUCUUAUCCUUGGACUUCCAAUUCUUCUUUGAUUUAUUAGAGCCAGAACUAGAACUUGAUUGAGAUCCUUUUGAGUUUAUGCUCAUGCUGCUGAAAGCUUUCUCAGUGGUGCUUUCUGCAUGUCUGUCAAGGCGCUGAGCAAAACCUCUUAAUGCUGCAAUUACCUCCUGCACUUCAAUGGUUUCAAUGUCUCUAGUUUGCUCAAUCACAUAGCAGACUGGAUCAAAUUCCUUGGUUAAGCUUAUUAGCAGUUUUUGAACUAUCCUCCCUUUGGUCAGAUCUUCCCCAUAUCCCUUCAUCUGAUUUACAAGCUCAAGUAACCGAGUGAUGUAUCCAGACAAGAUCUCAUCAUCCUUCAUCCUGGUGUACUCAAAAUCUCGACGCAGACCCUGCAACAUGAUGGAUCUGACUUGCUUAUCACCAUGAAACUCCUGAUGCAAGAUAUCCCAAACACCUUUUGAGGUUUCUUCAUUUGAGAUUCUGGGAAAGAUGUCAUCUGAAACAGCACCUUGGAUAAUACCAAGAGCCUUAGCAUCUUUCAUCAACAAGGACACCAUCUCUGAAUCUGAUGACCCUUCUUUAUCAGCUUUUGAAUCUGGAACUUGAAGGCCUUUCUCAACCAAAUUCCAGAUUCCAUGAGAUUUGAAAAUUGUUCUCAUUCGAAUCUUCCAAAACUCAUAGUUCUCCCCAUUGAAUAUUGGAGCUCUAAGAUCACUCCCUCCUGACCCAGCCAUCUGAGACCAGACUCAAUGAGUUGAGAGUAGGAAAUUUCCCGUUGGAUUUCCAGACUCAGCUCCCACAGCUUCAACGCCCUCUAUCCAGAUCCAACCUGCGCACCUGAUACCAUGUUGAAUAUUUGGAUUGCAAAGGGAGCAAGAAAUGUACUGAGAGAGAGAGAGAGAGAGAGAGAGAGAGAGAGAGAGCAGUGAGCCUUAGAUUGUUCUAACAGUUUUCUUACUCUGCAUGAACAUAGCAGCAGAGCUUAUAUUCCUUCAUGACUGUUACAUGUUCUCUCUUACAUCAGUAGAUUCAAAUCUAACGGUUUGUAAUAGUAAGCCAAUGUGAGUAUGACACAUGGCAAUACACAGCUGUCCUAACAGCUGGGAAUUCAAAACAGACUCUAGCAUUGCACCUGGCAUAUAAGCACAAGGCACUCAGCUAACACAAAGAUUAAAAACAGAUUGAAUAUAAACUGACAUAGAACUUACUAACUAAUCUGAAAUUAGCUAGACAGUUCACAUUUUAACAUUCUUAUGGUCGGCAGGGACAAGAAUUCCAGGGCUGCUCAACUUGAAUACACCUGAUGAACCAGUGAGGGGUGUGUUUCUUUUAGUCUGCACUAUAUAUGCAGGGUCUGACUCUAAUUAGAAGAUAAUUGUAUUAAUUUGGUAAAGCUUUGUCUGUAACUGUCUCGCACCUUAAAAAAAUUUCACAAUUAGCAGCAUUGGCAAUACUUGAUUAGAAAGCAGAAACCCUACAGUAUAUAGUUAAGUUGAGUAGCUGGGAAGACAAUUAGUAAGCUUUCAAUACUAAAGUUGAAUAUUGGGGAGACAAAUUACUAGAGCUUCAAGUUCAGAUAAAUAGGAUGAAUUUCUCUUAAGGGAUCCCCUUUCACUGUAGCUUGGAGUAGAAUUCAUUUUGACACAAUAUCAAUUAUCAAUGUAAACACGUUACUGAUGCACUAUUGACAAUAUCGAUGCACGUCAUAUCAUAUUUGUGGGAGUAAAUUUCCUCACGAGAAUAUUUGGUUCAAAAGAUUCCCCUUUUUUUUUUUUUUGCCGCCUCUUUCUCCUUGCAAAAUAGAACAAAUAAGAGGACCACACCCGGGGGGUGUUGGCCAAAGGCCCUCCGAUGCUAAAUUAGUUCAAGUAUUUGUAAGAAAAAUACUAGCUAACUAGGGUACAGAGGUGUAUUUAAGGUGUAAACCGGGCAGCCGAAGUCUUAUGUAAAAGAGAGAGAGAAAGGAGGUGGCUAGCGUUUGAGAGGAAUUUUCUGCAGAGUUUUUAGUAGAGAUUUCAGACGUACCUCAACCAUUGUGUGUGGCCAUCUUUUUAUAGUGGUCUUGGAGGCUAGGGUUUCAGAGGAAUAAUUCCGUAGAUGGAAAGGAAUUAUUCCUCCCCUAUUUGGAAUUGAUUUGAUUAAUUAGGGAUUUGAUUUAUUAGGGUAAAUCAAAUCCCUAAUUGUGGUAGGUAUCAAAUCAAAUCCUUUUUUAAUUAGGUAACUCCUCAUUUAAUUGGGAAUUGUGGUAGGAAUCAAAUCAAUUCUCAACCUAAUUAGGUAACGUUCAAUUUAAUUGGGUAAUUCCCAAUUAAAUUGAGUAACUCCCAAUUAGGUUGAUUAAUUCCCAAUUAGAUCAAAUAAUCCCCUAAUUGAAGGAAUUAUUUGACCUAGGGUCUGAUUUAAUUCGAUUCCCACAAAUGCCCCCCAGCUUCUGCAUGGUGCAUGGUGGCACGUAGGAGAUGUAAAUUAUCUGUUGGGCUGUCCAGCUGUAACUGGGCUUCCUUCGUGGACCUGGGCUCCCGAGUAGAGGAGGUGUUUGACUUGCCAAUUUUAUGAACACCCAAUUGGAAAGGGUUUGAGAUUCCUUGUAGGUCAAGGAAUUUUGCUCCUUAUAAAUGUAGGGCUCCUCCAAAUUAUUCUCGACAUCAGAAAUCUACUCCUCCAAAUUUGUUAGUGAGAGAGAGAAGACUUUGGAGAAUUUUUCAGCGUGCUUGAGACUUCAUCUUUGCAGCCCAUCCAAGGUAAUUUGAUAGGAAGAAUUUUAUUUUGAGUUGCUAUGACUUUUGGCAGCAAGCUGUGAGACUAAGGGCAUGUCUUGAGGUGCGCGCUAGGGCUUUAGGCAUGGCAAGAGACUCGGAAAGGCUAGCAGGUUCGUUUCCACCUACGCUGGGCUCAAGGAGAAGGCAACAGGGCUUCAGGCCUUGUGGAUGAAGUGGGCUUUCGCUGGGAGCAAGAGGCCUGGAGCUGAGGCAAGGAGACAAUGGGCCUGGUACGAGGUGUGGGCUGAGCAUGCCAGCUUUGGAGCAAGGGGGCCAGGACGACUGCUGGGCAGGAGGUGCGCUGGGCUGCAUGCGCGAGCUGCGCCGAGUGCUGGCUGGAGGAGCGAGCUGGGCUGCGCGCUAGGCCAUUCAUGCUGGGCUACUUCCGUUUUUUUUUUGUUUUUUUUUAAAUUUUAUUUGCUGUUGCUGCUUUUUUUUUUGUUUUUUUGUUUUUUUUUUGUUUGGUAUUCUAACUCGUAAUUUUUUUUUUCUUCUUACAGCUACUUGUUGAUCAACCAUGUCUUCCGGAGAUGGUAGCAAGGCUCCAAGCUCUUAGGUCCUUUUGUAUUUAUGGGGAGGCUCCAUAGUGCAUGGCAAGAAGUUUGUGGUCAACUUGCAUCGCGUCACGACUUAUGCUCAGUUCCAGAAGUGGCGGGCCACUUAUGCGUCUGCCAUUCCAGAUGACGUGCUGGUCAAGCUAUUGAAAUCUCAAACUGAUAACGAGCCUUUGGUGGACGUGAGUGAUCAUGAUGCUAGGAUCAUUACCUUCCGUCCUUUUUACUUCUCUUUAGGCUUCAAAUUCCCGUUGUCAAAGCUCUUCAAGAAGGUGUUCUGUGCCAUGGGGUGUGCUCCGAGCCACUGUACUCAUGUGCUUCAAGAAUUUGAGUCGUUUCUUCAUGUUGGAGCUGACGAUGCGAGAGUUCUUUUAUUUUUUUCGAAGUGAGGCACUUUGAGCGGUACGCCCAAGUUCGUAUCUACAAGGCCAAGCUGUUCCACGGUCUCAGUCAAGGAGAUCACGCUUGACAUGAAGAUGUGUUGGAGGUCAGCAGACGGUGGGAGGGUGACGUCGGUGACGGCCCACCUGUUCCCAUCACCUAUUGUGAUGGUAUGUCUCUUUACGAUUUUUGAUAUGCUCCUUUUAUUUGAAUUUCUUGAAGUGUGGCAGACUAACUUCUAUCUUCUGCUCGUAGUGAGUGACAUUAGCAAGCAAUUGGAGCUCCGACCAGACAUGGCUAAGGUCCGUCGUGCUUUGAACAUCCCUCUAAGGUUUCACGAGUGGCGCUGGCUGUUGAGUGAGUACCGGGAGGAAGACGGUGGUUUUCUCCUUGCCGAGGAUGUCGAAAGGUGGAAGCAGAACGAUCCUGACCCUGAUGAUCUGCUUGGCAGACAGGAAGAAUGUUCUGCUUAAUCGCUCUUAAAGAGAAAGGCUGCUGCCAAAUCUUUGAGAUGUGAAGCUACUUCUUCGCAUGCAAAGGAUGGGUCUCCAUCGAGGAAGAAACCAAGGCUCCCUUCUGCUGAGAAGACUCAAGUGGGGUCUGCUCCCUCAUCAUCUGCCAGGGUUAAGCAUCUCGUGGGUGCAGAUAGCAAGAAGGUUGGUGGUAUGCAUGGUACUCGGGGUGUUCUGCCCAAGCUUCCUGCUGACACGCUCGAAAACCAUGAUAUACUUCGUGAAGUGGCUCGUGCCCAACCUAGUUCUGCCAAGCGUCAAAGAGAUGUAGACAUUCCUCCUAGAAGUUCGAGUUGUCUGCAUCGGUCAAAAGAUGGAGACCGAAGCGGGAGGUCUGCUUAUGAUCCAGCAUUAUUGACUCAUUUGGAGAUGAGGUUGGCGAAGGCUAAGAAGGUGAAAGAGUCAUCUGCCCGGGUUAAGGGUUCUUCCUCGGCGUUGGUAGUUGGUCCCAAGAUGAACAAGUCUAGCUCUGUAGGGGAUGCAUGCGUAUCUGAUCUGCUCAAGAUGAACUUCCUAUCAAACCCGUCCUCUUGUGUUGAGUUGGUUGAUCACAUCCCUCAAGCGGGCGAUCUAGGCACUUUCUCGUGCCUUUCCUUAGAAAAAUGAAGGAAAAUGACAUUCCAUCUGAUUCAAAAAGGACUGGUUUUUGCUACUGAGACUAUUUGGAACUCAUCUGCUAUUGCCCCUCUUCUGUCCAACUCAGCGAGUUGGAGAAGAAGAAUGCUGAUUGGCUAGACAGCUUUCCGCCGAGCAGGCCCGUUACGAGAAGAAGAUGUCUGAUUUGAGGGCGAUGAUAUCUGAGCUGAAAAGCUCCCUUACCGAGAAGGAUUUCGAGCUCAACUCUUCUGCUGCUGAUUUGGCUAGUCGAAAAGAUACCUUCUUUCGUCUUGAGCAUAAGAAUGCUGACAUCUUCCUUAGCUAUAACAAACUCCUGGCUAGAUUUCAUGCCUACCAUAAGUCUGCUAAAGAAUCCAAGACAGAUGGAGCUGCUGAAGGCGUAGCCGGUCAGGUGGAUGCCGAAGAGGCUGCAGCUUAAAAGUCUUCUGCUGGCGUCUCAGAGUAGAUGAAGACUCUUUUUUGUUUCUUUUCAGCUUUUGUAGUUUGCUUUAUUGUUUAGAAUAACUGGUCUUAUUUGACCAUCUUCUUUUUGUUGAACUUGGCUGGUUGGUCUGUUUGUUAGGGAAAUUUCAGUUACAUUUUCCAACUUCAAUUUGCAUAUUUGACUUGUGAACUGCUUAAGUAACCAGCCUGUGUUUUGAUUGCACAUCCCCCUUUAGAGAUUUGUGAGUACCAGGGUCCCCCUUGGAGGACUCCGGCCAUGCACAGUAUAUCUCGUAGGAUGGUUCCCCUUAGGAAGUUGGCGAGUACCAGGGUCCUCUUUGAGAGACUCCGGGUGUGUUCUGCACAUCCCGUAUGAUGCCUUAAUCGUCGCCUUGCUUCUCCCGUAGGACGCUGCUUAUAGGCAACUAUAUGACUAUCCUGCCUUUCUUAGGAAACGGAUAGGAACCUGGAUAUUUCCCGCAUGAAGCAUGGAGACCUCCUUUUAAGAAAUUUUUGGUGCACCAUGCUUCUCCCUUAGGACGCUUUUUUCGCAGGCUGGGUCUCCAAAUGGACGCUUUUAGUCGUUGCCCUGCGUCUCCCUUAGGACGCUCCUUAUGGGCAACUGUGUGACUAUCCUGCCUCCCUUAGGAAAUGGAUAAGACUUGAAUAUUUCCCGCAGUAAGCAUGGCGACCCCCUUUUAAGAAACUCCUGGCGUACCCUGCAUCUCCCUUAGGAUGCUUUUUAAGAGGGCUGCUUCUCCAAACGGACGCUUUUAGUCGUUGCCUAUGUCUCCCCUAGGAUGCUCCUUAUGGGCAACUGUGUGACUAUCCUGCCUCCCUUAGGAAACAGAUAGGAAACUAGAUAUCUCCCUUAGGAAAUUCCUAGCGCACCUUGCGUCUCCCGAAGGACGCUUUUUUAGCUGGCUACGUCCCGAAACGGACACUUUUAGUCGUCGCCCUGCGUCUCCCUUAGAAUGCGCCUUAUAGGCAACUGUGUGACUAUCCUGCCUCCCUUAGGAAACGGAUAGGAACCUGGAUAUCUCUCUUAGGAAAUUCCUGGGGCACCUUGCGUCUCCCGAAGGACGCUGCUUAUGGGAAAAUAUUGUGUUUCGUGGGCAGAUGAGACAUUUUGGAAUGAGAAACUGAACUUAUAUUGAUAUUCAUAAGAUUACAGUCCUUUAUUUGAAAAUGGAAAUAACUUGGUUCAAAAACUUAGAACUUCUAGCAGCUACGAGGAAGCACUAUGGAUAAUACUUUCGGAGAUGGUGAGCAUUCCAUUGUCGUGGUAUUUCCUUCCUAUCCAUGGUGUCCAGUGUGUUGCUUCCUCUGCCCCGGACCUGCUGAUCACAUAAACGCCCUCCCAGUUAGGAUUCACUUUUUUUGACCCGUGUCUUGGUGCAGUAAUGAAAGCCUUAGCACGAGGUCGCCUGGUUGAAACUGUUUGACCUUAGCUCUUUUGUCGUAGUAAGACUUCAACUGCUAGUGAUAGGAGGCGACCCGAAUAAUGGUCUUCUCACGCCUGCCCUCAAGUAAGUUGAGGUUGAGCCUCAUCUGCUCGGAGUUCUGAUCAACACUGCCUACCUUAAGACUUAUAGAGAGGACAGUGAUGUGAGGUGGUAUGAUCACUUCUGUUCCAUAGGCGAGAGAGAAUGGGGUUUCACCAGUCGAUCUUCGCUUGGUGGUGUGAUAAACCCAUGGUACUCUGGGGAGUUCAUCCACUCAUUUCCCUUCAGCGCCUUCCAGCCUUUUCUUUAAGCAGUCCAAUAUGACUUUGUUGGAUGCCUUGGCUUGUCCAUUUCCUUGUGGAUACCUCGGGGUGGACAAGUGUUGUUUGAUCUUGUAUUUCACAAAAAAAGCGGUGAUCUGCUUGCCAAUGAACUGUGAGCCAUUGUCGGUAACCAACGACUGUGGGCAGCCAAACCGGCAUAUGAUGUUUCUCCAGAUGAAUCACUCCACAUCGGCUUCUUUAGUAAAUGAUAGAGCUUCGGCCUCGAUUCAUUUAGUAAAGUAGUCGGUGGGGACGAUCAUCAUUUCUUUCUUGGCGGGCGCUAGUGGCAAGGGAUCCACUAGGUCGAUGGCCCAUUGCAUGAACAGCCAUGGACUGUUUUGCGGAUGAUAGACUUCGGCAGGCAAGUUAGGGAUCGGCUUGUAUUGCUGACAGCGUCACAUUUCUUGGCACAUUCAGCACAGUCGUGACGUAUGGUAGGCCAGAAGUAGCCUAUGUUUAGAACUUUCUGGGCGAGUGACCUGCCCCAGAAUGGUUGCCAUACUCGUCGUCGUGAAUUUUACAGAUAAUCUCAAGUGUUUGAUGGUACUUUAUGCAGGUGAGAUGAAGGCCGGAGUAUGAUCUGUGGAUGAGCUUGUUGCCGUGCAUGUAGUAUCUCUCGGCCUUUUGCUGGACUUUUCUAGCUUCGGACUUGUCCGUUGGCAGGUUUCCAUUCGUGAAAUAGUCGAUGAUGAGGUCUUGCUAGCUGGGGUCCUCGUCAAUCUGCAUGGUAUUAAUCGGCUCUAUUUCUUCAAUGCUUGGUCGGUCAAGGUGUUCGACCUAGAUGGAGUGUUUGAACUGGGUAUCCAGCGUUGAACCUUGGCUUGCCAGUGCGUCUGCAUGCGCGUUCUUUGCCCGGGACACUUGUUGGAUAGUGAAGGUAGGAAAUGCCUUCAACAGCUCUUGGACUCUAUCAAGGUAUAAGAUCAUCCUUGGGUGCUUUGCCAUAUAUUCACCUGAGGCUUGAUUCGUGAUCAACUGUGAGUUUGAGUAGAUGGCUAGCUUUUUGAUUGCGAGCUCCUUUGCCAAGCGUAAGUCGGCGAGUAAUGCCUCGUAUUCUACCUCGUUGUUCGAGACCGAGAAGCCAAGCGUAAUAGCUUGCUCUAACAGGGUUCUAUCCAGGGUGGUGAUAACGACCCCUGCUCCAGCUCCUUUUUGGUUCGACGCUCCGUCUACACGCAACUGCCACAUGUCUCUGGGAUGGCUUGGUUCUGCGGAGGUCCUGUCUGCUUUUGAACUUCCCUCCUUUUGGUUGACUAACUUCUCUUUUUUGGCUGAUGGGGUGAAUUCUGCGACGAAGUAUGCUAAAGCCUGGGCUUUUAUUGCAGUUUUUGGCCCGUAGAGGAGGUCAUAUUGGCUUAGCUCUAUAGCCCACUUCAUGAGUCGCUGAGAAGCAUCAGGGCUGUGGAGGAUUGAUCUCAAAAGAAAGUCAGUCAUGACUAUGACUCGAUGAGCUUAGUAGUAGGGUCGCAGCUUUCUCGCAGAAACUACAAGAGCCAAAAUAAGUUUCUCCAAUUUCGGGUAACGAGUCUCUGCAUCGAGGAGAGCUUUUGACGUGUAGAAUACCGGAUAUUGGGCCCCUAUCUCUUCUCGGAUGAGAGCUGAACUGACAGCUGAGUUGGACUUACCUCACUAGGGACUGGAUUUGAGAGCAUGGAAGGUGAGGUGAGGUAAGUCUUCAGAUUAUGGAAAGCUACUUUGCAGUCCUCAUCCCAUUUCUCUCUUUGUCCUUUCUUCAAAGCUUUGAAGAGUGGUCUGCACUUGUCGGUUGAUCUCGAGAGGAAUCGGUUGAGAACCGCUGCUUUGUCCGUCAGACUUUAUAUCUCUUUCACCGUGGAAGGCGACUUCAUCUCUAGAAUGGCUUUGAUUUGACGUGGAUGUGCCUCGACACCUCGUUGCGUGGCUAGGUAUCCCAAGAAUCGGCCGGAGGAUACACCAAACAGGCAUUUACUUGGAUUCAACUUCAUGCGAUACUGGCGGAGCAAGCUGAAUGAUUGGGUAAGACUUCCGAUGUGAUCUGCACGUUUUGGGGCUUUGACCAGCAUGUCAUCCACGUAGACCUUCAUAGUUUUGCCGAUCUGCUUAUUGAAGAUUUUAUUCCCGAGCCUUUGAUAGGUUGCUUUGGCGUUCUUCAGCCCAAAGGGCAUGACCUUAUAGCAGCAGGUCCCUCUCUCGAUGAUGAAAAAAGUUUUUGCCUUGUCAUCCUCGUGCAUCAGGAUUUGUUUAUAGCUGGACUAGGCGUCCAUGAAGCUAAGCAGUUGAUUGCCAGAAGUGGAAUCCACGAGUUGGUCGAUUCUCGGCAAUGAGAAGUUGUCUUUAGGGCAUGCUUUGUUGAGGUCUGUGUAAUCGACACAAACUCUCCAUUUGCCAUUUUCUUGUUUUGCCACCAAAACAACGUUGGCAAGCCACUCUGAGUAGGAGGCCUCUUCGAUGAAGCCGACAGCUAGGAGUUUGUCAAUCUCGGCCUCGAUGAUAGCAAGUCGCUGGGGUGCGAAGUUGCGUCUCUUCUGCGCCACUGGCUUGCAGGCAGGGUUGAAGUGGAGUCAGUGACAGAUGAUGUUCUUGUCGAUGCCAGACUUGUCUGACGGCAACCAUGCGAACAUGUCUCUGUUGCUCUGGAGGAAGGUGGUAAGCUCCACAUUCUCUUCUGGCCUUAGGCGCGAACCGAUCCACUCUUUCCUAUCUGGUUGGUCAGGAUCCAAGGGUAUUAACUCGACGUCCUCCUUGGGUUUCCAUCCUUCUUCAGGAAAGACCUAUGGACGGAUUUCCUCGACUUGGUCCUGACGCUUUAAUUGCUAUAAGAUAGCAAGAUCCAGUUGCUCAACCUCCUCCAGAUCUGCCUGGCUCACAGGGAGAAACUGCGCUUGUUUACCUUUCUUUAGCCCUUGGGCGGAGCAUUUCCUCGCCAUUGCCUAAUCGUUGUUGAUUUGGCCGACACCGCCCCCAAGGAUUGGGUACCGAAUUUUCUAAUGUGUGGCGGAGGUGAUUGCAUUAAUUUUGCCAAUCGAUGGUCUGCCCAGAAUGCCGUUGUAGGGUAAGACCUUAUUAAUGACCAUGAAGGUUAUGAGCUGAUUAUAAGUGGGGAGUAGACGUCGAGGUCUAUCAUGCCCACGGUAACCGUUGUUGCACCAUUAAAAUCGCUCAGCAACCUAGCUAAUUUGUAAAUCUUUGUCUCCAAUCCCAUCUGUUGAAUGACCUCCAGUUGCAGGAUAUUGGCUGCGCUGCCCUCGUCUGUGUGGAUUCAGUCUACCAUGACCUGAGCAAUUUGAAUGCUGAUGACAAGGGCUUCGUUAUGUGGCAUGUAGAGGCCGAUCAGAUCUUUCUUUUGGAAGCCGAUUACAGGAUCGUCUUCUGCUGGUGGAAGGUCGGUCGAGAUUUGGGAGAUCACAGUGGUCUGUUUGAUCUUCCUCUUUUUUUCCUUUCUGGUCAGCCCAGACUCCUCGGAGUCAGCUAGGAUUGUGUUAAUUCUUAUGACCUUCUGAGGCGGCUCCUUGGCGAUGUCACGAUCUUCUAUCCGCUGGAUGACCUUCUUUGCAAUGAAUUCUGUGCAGUGACCUUCUCUCACGAGUUCUUCAAGAUGUGCUUUCCAAGCGAAGCAGUUGUUCAUAGUGUGUCCGUGCAUUUCAUGGACGGCACAGUAUUUGCUAGUAUUCCUUUUGUCCGGAUCUUCUUUCAAGGGUGGUGGUCUUCUUACCCAAGGUUGUUCUUCACUUGGGCUAAGAUUUGAUGUAUGGAGAUGGUGAACUUGGUGUAGUUCUCUCCUGCCGUAGCAUCCCCUUAUGGGUGCGACCUGCGCUUGUCCUUGUCCCUGUUGCUAAAUCCGUCGCUUCUUUGGCCUGCCCCCUUAGUCGGCUGAUCUUCCUGCUUAGUAGAGUUCUUUGCGGCGAUUCGAUCGUCAUCCCAAAGCGCAUAGCUUUCCGCGGUCUCGUAGACCUCUGCCAAAGUUUGGCUGGGAGUGAUGGUCAGCUCGUGGUACAAGUCGUGCUCAGUCGAAAGGUCUUUCUUGAAAGCAGAGGACGCAAUUUGGUCAUCACAUCCUACAAUGUUGGCCUUUUCUACUUUGAAUCUCUUGAUGUAAUCUCUAAAGGAUUCGUCGAACUUCUUGCGCAGGUUAUACAGGUGGUCAGGGUUCUUCUUGAUUGUUCGGUAAGAGGUGUAUUCUUUGGUGAAUAAGUAAGUCAGCUCCUUGAAGCUGCUGAUCGACCUGGAUGGCAGAGUAUGGAACGAGUCUUGGGCUUCCUCACAAGGUCAUUGCAAACACCUUGCACAUCAGCGCGUCGUCAACCUUGUGGAGGAUCAUGACACUUUUGAAGUGUUUUAGAUGGCUCUCAGGAUCGGAAUCCCCCUUGAAGUGUGUGAAUGUGGGCGUUGAGAAUCGCUUCAGGAGAGCAGCCUGCUCGAUUUUGGCAGUGAAAGGUGUAGAGUAUGCCUGGUCUACCUCAUUUCGUACAUCUUCGAAAUUUCCACCGGUCUUCAAGUCUCGAAGUUGGUCAUUCACAAGCUUCUCUACGUCUUCCGCACACAUUGCUUGUCGGCCACAUUGGCGACCUUCACGAAUUGUUCGAUGCUGACUGACUUCCUCGUUGAUUUCCGAGGAUCGACCUUCUUGUCUGCAUUGCCUAGGUGGAGUGUUGGUGGAUUGCGCCUACGAAAGAUUCUCUGUGGCUUGUCAAUGAGAAUCGGUUCUUCGAGAGUGAGUAACGAAGUGCCUUUCCUCAUGGUCCUUAUUGUGAGGGUUAUCCAGCUGACCUCCCUGGGGCCUAGCCUUUCCUGAAUGCUUCUCUGCGAGUAGACAGUUGAAUGCUUUUCUUCACGAUCCUCGUUGUGAUGGUUGUUUGGCUGACCUCCUUAGGGUCUUAGCCUUUGAUGUACAUUUCCCUGCCUGCCCAAGUAGGUGCGGACGUCGAGUCGUGGGCCCAGCCUUUCGUGCACGUCGUUCCUUAAACUCAAUCUGCUCUGAGUGUGGCUUGCAGAUGCUUGCGACAUGUCGGCAGGUCGAUCACGUUGUUGUCCCUCGACUUGUCUGCCCACUCUUGCUUGACCUGCUUGGUACUCGUUGAGCUGUCUACCGGCCCGUUCAUCCUUCCUUCUUUCCUCGCCUGGUUGUCCAAGGCCAAGGUUUUGAGCAAAGCUUAUUUGGUUGAGGAGCUGCCUCAUUAGAUUGUUUUGGUCGUCCAUUCUUUAAGCUAGCUGGUCAACUCUCAGAUUAAGGUCUGCUUGAUUUCAUGGAUCAGGAGGAGAGAAGUGUGUGGAGCUCAACUGCACAUAGGCUAGGGUUUCAUUAGAGGUGUAUGCGGGAGCGUGUGUCGAGCGUGGAGGCAAUAGAGGGAAUGCUUGGAGUUGCUCCAAGACCGGCCCUAGGUCGGCGGUGGUAACGAGUCCACCUUGAUGGGAAGUUCCACCAUGUUUGGCGGCAGUGACCGAUGCAGUGGUGAGAGGUGGUGGUGCCACCAUGUCGAUCGCGGGAUCGUUGGUGGAGUGGCUUUGGGCCGUCGCAAAUCUAGCCAUCAUGGCGGCUUUGCCUCUCGUGUUCAUGCUUCCAACCAUGGUUGUUUGGAAGGCUUAGGUGGAUUGGAAAAUUAGAGGAACGGAUUCCUUGAGCACGCAUUGAGUAUAACUCGUGCUCUCAAUGAAAGCACCAAUUUGUGGGAGCAAAUUUCCCCACGAGAAUAUUCGGUUCGAAAGAUUCCCCUUUCUUAUUCGCCGCCUCUUUCUCCUCGCAAAAUAGAACAAAUAAGAGGACCACACCCGAGGGGUGUUGGCCAAAGGCCCUCCGAUGCCUAAAUUAGUUCAAGUAUUUGUAAGAAAAACACUAGCUAACUAGGGUAUGGAGAUGUGUUUAAGGUGUAAACCGGGCGGCCGGAACCUUAUGUAAAAGAGAGAGAGAAAUGAGGUGGCUAGGGUUUGAGAGGAAUUUUCUGCAGAGUUUUUAGUAGAGAUUUCAGACGUACCUCAACCAUUGUGUGUGGCCAUCUUUUUAUAGUGGUCUUGGAGGCUAGAGUUUCAGAGAAAUAAUUUCGUAGAUGGAAAGGAAUUAUUCCUCCCCUAUUUAGAAUUGAUUUGAUUAAUUACGGAUUUGAUUUAUUAGGGUAAAUCAAAUCCCUAAUUGUGGUAAGUAUCAAAUCAAAUCCUUUUUUAAUUAGGUAACUGCUCAUUUAAUUGACAAUUGUGGUAGGAAUCAAAUCAAUUCUCAACCUAAUUGGUAACGUUCAAUUUAAUUGGGUAAUUCCCAAUUAAAUUGAGUAACUCCCAAUUAGGUUGAUUAAUUCACACUUAGAUCAAAUAAUCCCCAAAUGGAAAGAAUUAUUUGACCUAAGGUAUGAUUUAAUUCGAUUCCCACAAUAUUUAGAUGCAUAAUUGAAUGCGAAUAAACAUCACUCUCUCCAGUGUGAAAUGGCGAAAAUUCUCUUCAAUCAAAAGUGGGCUUACUUCAAAUUUAGUUGAAGAAUGAUGGUGUGUCUUGCCUGACAAUUGACAAUUAGGUUUAGGAGCGUUCCUCUAGUAGAAAAAUCUAAAUCAUUUGUGGUCAUCCACUCACUUGGUUAGUCUUCCAGAAUCAAAUACCAAAUCAACCCAAAGGAAGCUGCAAUUUUCUGAAUUGUAUACUUGUUUUAAUUCUUCCUAUCUUUUUCUCUCUUUCAUUUUUUUUGUCUCCCUCAAGUUAAUACUUAAGUGAGUUGCCAAAUGGGGGUAAAAAAGAGAGUAGAAGAGAUGAACCCCACAUUUGACUUUAAUAGACAAAUGCCCAAGAGAAGUACCAGUAAGAGCAUCUCCAAUUGGGAGGUGCUAUCCUAUAAUUUGACACACAUUUCUUUUUUCUUUUUUUUCAAUUCUAACAACAUGUCAUCUAUAUCGCAAUAGGCCGUUGUAGUUAAAUUUUCAAAUAACCAAGUUGCUCUCUAUUUUCCAAAGAAGACUAGAAAACAACUUACCAUCUAUCUGGUGCUGCUUCUUCCAAACAUUAGAAAAAACAGAGCUACACCCAGGAGGAGCCCAGGAGAUGACACAAUACUGCCUACUAUGAUUCUUACUUUCUUCACAUUCAAUGAGACUAUAAAAUAUAACCCAAGUGGUCUAACCCCCCAGGGCGGAAAUUGGGUUUAGCAAGUUUAGCACUGAUUGUUGUAUAGUCUUAAACAGUCCUGAUCUCUUGGACCCCUGUAGUCCAAGAGAUUUAUGGUCACCCACCGUUGGAUGUAAAUUCAACGGUUGACUUGAAUCGGGUAAUAAUAAUUUAUGUCAUAUUGCAUUUAUAUAUAUCAUUUUGAACCAUUGGAUUAAUAUCCAACGGUGGGUGACCACAAUCUCUUGGACUCCUGUGGUCCAAGAGAUCGGGACUGUAGUCUUAAAAUAAGUAGUUUAGCGAGUGCAAACUUCGACUUAAAAAAACUCUCAUGUAUAGCCGCGCGGCUAUACUAUUUACAUAUAAAUAUAUAAAAAAGCACCCCCUAGUCACGUGUCACAAAUAGUAUAGUCGAAAACAGUAGAGCCGCGCGGCUAUACUGUUUUUAAAAUAAAAAAAACCAUAUUCGAUUCUCCUUAUAUUUAAAAGGGGUAUAGCCGCAUGGCGAUACUAAUUUUUUUUUUUCAAAAAAAGGGACCCCAGUACUCCUUUUAUAUAUUAUAAUAUAUUGUCUAAUAUUUGGAAUAUUUACUCUAAAAUAAACAAUAUAUUAGGUUCUUUUUGUCUACAAAUUGACCAUUAAACUUCUUAAUCACUCUUAUACUUUCAAUUAAAUCUACUAGGCUAGGUUAUGAUAUUUUCACUAAAAAACUCCUCCUUUUUUUCUUCUCUUUCUCUUCCUGUUUUGUUUAACUUAAGCUUAAGUUUUGUAAUUUUUUUUCCCGCCCUUUUUACAUGUUUGAGUAGGGUACUUUAAUAUUGGGAUUUAUGAACUUUUUUUGUAUUUCUUCUUUAUAUUGGAAUAUAAAUUAUUAACUUUUGAGUCUUUAAUAGUGUAGAUGAUGAGAUUAUUAUUCAACCAUUUUAUAAUAUGAAAUGAAGGACAAUCAUGAUUGUGAUGAAUGGAUUAUUAAUCAAUAUGAAAUGAUAUUAUGAAGUGGGCUAAAUCGAGUAGUUAGUAUCGUAUUGUUGAGACCCAAAAAAUCCAAGGCUAGGCCCAAAUAUAUUAUGAAGUGGGCUAAAUCGAGUAGUUAGUAUCGUAUUGUUGAGACCCAAAAAAUUCAAGGCUAGGCCCAAAUAUAUUUCCGGUCCAAUGCGAUACCUUACCGAGAAGAAACCUUAUUUGGGCACGCGAAAGUUCGUCAUAUGCUCUUGCACACAUGCCAUGCCAAGCAAAUAAGCAACAUGCCACGCUACAAGCUUAAGUGGGCCCAAGCCACGUGAAUGCCUAGGGCCUGCUGAGUGGGUUGUGGUAUGGAUGGUUAUGAGUAUUCACGAGGCCCAUUGAUGGUCUAAGGAGUGGAAGUUUUGGGCUACUUGGGAGCACCAAAACUCAAGCCCAUUCAUUGAGCCCAAACAUAUGGGUAAGCAUGAGAUAAAACCUAGUAGCCCAUCACCUUAAGAAAUCCUAAUAGCCCAUAACAUGUGAGAAAAUCCCACAUCAACCAAAGCUUCCAGCAGUCUGACGAAAUCAAAGGGAACUCACAAGCCGUUGGAAACAAAACAACCCAACACUGUAACACCCCGACCCCAAAUUUCCCCAAAUUUAACCCUUAUUUAAUUAUUUAAGGGUAUUUUAGUCAUAUUUUUAACCGGAGAGAGUUUGGGGCAAUGACUAGUAUUUUUGGAUAGGUCGUACUGAGACGAGUUUAUGGACACGCAGUGAGCUCGAAUCGGAGUUGUAACGAGAGAGAUAUGGUCAAAAGAAGCCCAGUGGCACAAUCGUAAAUAUUUUGAAAUGAGAUUUUUUAUAAAAAUCUGGUUUUCUCUCUCUCUCUCUCUCUCUCUCUCUCUCUCUCUCUCUCUCUCUCUCUCUCGCUAGCGACCUCUCUCUCUCUCCCCCGUCGGUCUCUCCCCUCUUUCUCCUCGUAACUCCGGCCACCGGCCCCGGCUGUGGACGGGGCCGGUACCAAAAUGACCGAGGCGUCGUCCUCUUCCUACCCCAGCCACCUCCCACCGCCAGCCGUCGCGGAUUCGCCGGAAUCUGGAGAUGAAGCGGCCUACGUCGUCCAAAUUUCAAAGCUGCCGAUCUCCCUCCUCCGGCCACCAAUUCCGUCGACCCAGGUAUGGAUUUUGAACUUCUCGAGCUGCUCUAGCUGAUGGUUGGGUAGGAUUAGAUCGAUUCUUAGCUUAGACAACUCGAUUUUCAAAUUGAAAAUCGGCCGAACUUCGGCUGCCGUGAUCGGCCAUUUCCGGCCACUUUUUGGGGUAGGUCCAAGAACAAAAGUGGCUCCAAAUAGGGUGUUAUACCUAGGGUAGGAGUUUGGAGCCGUGGUUUUGAGAUUUUCCGGCGAAGCGUUAUCGCUUUGGGCACCCACGCGCUGCCGGUGCGUGCGGCGGCGCGUGGGCACUGUAGAAAAAGUAGCACUGUGUUCCGAUGAGAUCCUUAGGUUGUCACGAGUGCGUAGGAUUUUGCGGAUCUCAAUUCGGACGUCGUUUGACUAUCGAACGGAUAUUCGCAUAUUGCGCGUUAUUCGGGUUCGAUAGGUUGGGACCGUUGGAUGGACCCAAAUUUAAUAUAUGUUAAUCUAAUUAAUUCUAGGAUCGUGUAGGAAUUCACGGAUUGUGAAUCGGAGCCCCGGAUGUUCCGAAUAAUAAUUUUAAAGUUUGUAUUUUAUAUUAAUUGUCAGAUCGUGCGAUCGUGAGCAAUCUGACCGUUCGAUCUGAACCAAACUUGCAGGACAAGUGUCCUAUACCUUGUAGAACCCAUAGGGACCUUCGGAUCGGAAAUUGGAGGUCGUGGGUUCCGCAAGUCGGUUUGACCAGGGUUAGAGAAGUUUGACCCUUGGUUGACCGUGAGUCUCCCGGAGUAAUCUCACCUUUCUAGGGGAGAUUAUCGGGUACUAGAUGAUUGUGGACACAAUAUUAGAAUUAAUUUAUAUAAUUAUAAUUAUAUAUGGUUGUACAAGGGUACAACAGAGUCUAGAAUGUCAGUUUGGAGUGCUAUACGCACUACUUUAGGUACCUCCCCGGAUGUUGGGAUUUACUACAAGUACCACCAAGUGAAAUUGAGGUCCCGCGUGGCGUAGGUUAUCCAGCGUUGGGAUAGGUCUCAUACGUGGGGUUGGUUGUACCGGCGUAUGGGGAGAUUUGUGAUAUUAUGUUCAGGUCUCACGUGGCGUAGGUUAUCCGGCGUUGAGACAGGCCCCAUACGUGGUGUUGGUUGUACCAGCGUAUGGGGAGCUAUGUGAUAUUGUGUUGAGGUCGCACGUGGCGUAGGUUAUCGGGCGUGUCGACAGACCCCAUACGUGGCGUUGGUUGUACCGGCGUAUGGGGAGAUUUGUGAUAUGAAAUUGAGGUCCCACGUGGCGUAGGUUAUCCGGCGUUGGGACAGGCCCCAUACGUGGCGUUGGUUGUACCGGCGUAUGGGGAAAUAUGUGAUAUGAUGGCAUGGUCGCACGUGGCAUAGGUUAUUCGGCUUGUUGACAGGCCCCAUACGUGGCGUUGGUUGUACCGGCGUAUGGGGAGAUUAUUUGAAAUGCAGAGAAACGAAAUAUGGUAUCGCCCAAAUGUGGAAUUGGGUUUUAGGGAAGAACUACGUGUGGCUUGAUCCCUCAAGGAGGGUACGUAGGCAGCCUAAGGUUAAUAGGUGCAGCCGCAGACUAAAUGUUAGUCAUAAUUGAUAUUUGAAUUGUUUGGUAGUUGGUUAAGAAUUAUUGGAAGGCCGAAGGCCAUUUGUGUGAAUUGCAUGAAAUUAUAUUGUGCAUGCUGCCAGUUGGGAAUAUUAAAUGCGUUUUUAUGCAGGUAUAAAUUUUAGGAAAUGUCCAAUUUAUAGGGGAGACUCUGCCGAAUUUUCGGCAGGAAGUCUCAGUUUUUAGUAUCUGGGCCUGGCAUCGGGAGGAUGUCGGGAAUUCCAAAGGGUCGUCUCGAGUUCUGAAAAAUUCGGUGCGGGUCCUUUCAAACACCUUAUAAAAUAUCCAACGCCGUGCAUCUCUGUUAAAACCAGAUCACAGCCAAACCACCAAAACCAUGCAAACCCAUAUGCUGAUCACCAUUUUUACUAGCACCCUUACCCAUUCUUUCCUCUUCAAGCUUUGGUGAGAAAACAAGAAACAAAAGUGGGCGGAUCUUCACCCACAUGGAGAAAUCCAGCUGCCUGAGGGCCCUGGAACUCCAAAAAACUUCUUACCUACAUGCUCAGGCUAGGGAAGUUUCACCAAAUAAGCAAGAAUGGAAGAAAGUGAAGGAAAAGGGGAAAGGGUGGCUUGACGAAAUUAAGGUUUUCAGCACUUAUAAAAGGAAACACUUUCUAUCCAGCAAAAACAACUCACCCUGGUUGCUGCAAGCCUCCUAGCAACCAUGAGAAUUCAUUGAAGGCAAGCAUCCCCUUUGGAACCCUUCAAUUUCAUGCUUUGUUCUUCCAUCUUCCUCCUUUCUCUCUCUCUCAAAACCCACAUCCAGAGAGAGCAAGCAUCAUCUCUCAUCUUUGGAACCCUUCGAUUUGAAGCCUUGUUCUUCCAUUGCUUCCCAUUUUCUCUUCUGUCAAAUCACCUAGGAGCUUGACGAAACUUUCGUCAAGCUGCUGGAAAUAUGGUAAAGCCACCCAUGCUUCCAUCUUCUUCCUCUCUUUCCAUAAACACACAUCCAAAGAGCAAGCUUCAUCUCUCAUCCUCUAAACCUCUGCAAUUUCAAGCCUCAUUCCUCUAUCUUCUCCCAUUUUCAGCGGUAGUGAGAAUGAUUUCUGCGUGUGCAUGGGAAGGAUUGUAACUCAGAUGAGGAGGAGAUGGUUUGGAGUGGGGUGAGGCAGUUGGAUAGAGCUCUUGGCCUUUUCAAGUUUGGAUGGGAAAGAGCAGGGAUGAAAGAAGCUUUACAACUGCAAGGGCAUAUAUGGUGCGUAGGGGCUGAAGGCAGAACACUUACAUAUAGAGGAAACACAUUUUUUGUCCAUGGGAUUCAUGUUUGACAAACACUUGUCUUAGACUAUGAGUUCAAAUUUCAAAACCUUUUUUUUUUCUUUCUGAAAUCAGGACCAGUGUGGAGAACUAGCAAGGAUUGGAGAAACAGAUUUUUGGGCGUCACUUGACCACAGAUUGUUGAUUGCUCAAAUGUGUAGAAUUGGCCAUCUUAAAUGUCAAAAUGAUUUAUCAAUUGGGGUUUUUUUAGAAACGUUUAUGUUUGUCAAUAGAGACAGAAGUCAGAGAACAUAAACCUUUCUCAGCAAAUUGAAAUUCUCAGUGCAUGCUCUGUUCUUCCAUGGCUUUCAAACCUUCUCUGCCACGGUGAAAUGGAUCGAUAGAGAUAGUUUAGGCCGUUCCAUUUGUUUGAUGAAGCAUUCGUUCUAGGGAUUCUGUAUAUUCAUAACAAAAUCACUAGAAUGAUUCUUAGAAAUUCAUCACUGCUAAAGGCAAUGGGUUCAGCAUAAUAACUUCUUAGUCUUGCUUCUUGGUCCUUUAUUUUCUUUGCAUAAUACUCCAAGUUUACCUGGGUUCUACAGAGAAAAUCUCGUAGAUACCUCUUUUUGUGGUCUUCCAUGGCAUUUAAGUGCUGCUUUCCAUGGUGAAGUGGGCCUAUAGAGACUACCUGAGGUGUGUAGGCUUUGUCAUUUCCACGCCGUAAUCGCUCAGGAACUCUGUAGAUACACCUUCAAGGGGGACAAGGGAGACAAACUAUCCAAUUCCUUGCGCCUUACAAAUAGAUCGCAUGGGUUUUCUAUUUCAUCUGCAGCUUCAUCAAUUCCUUCCAUUUUUCUCCUGAUCAUCAUGCGCGGUGAUUCAAAUAUUUCAUAAUGAACAUUGAAAUGAGAUGCUACAAGCAAACUUAUGAAAAGAAACAGAAAUACCAAAAAGACAAAUCAAUGUAGAUGGUUUAGAAAAUCUAAACAUUGCAAUUAUACUCCUUUGCCCAACUUCUAGGAGCAAACGUACACAAAGACCUUAUUGCUUCCAACUUUUCCAACAGAAUUUCAUAUGAAUUGCUCCAAGUGAAAUCCGUAUGAAAAAUCGGUAGUUGGAUUUUCAUCCUGCUUUAAUAUGAUUAUUUAACUUCUAACAAAAAAACUCUUAUUACUUGAGCAAGUAAAAUACUAUUCCAGGUUUCUCCUAGUUCUAUAUGCGCUUAUAAUUGGUAUACUCUAUAAAUACCAUAAUCUGAAUUUCUCUGUUUUGAUUACUUUAAUUUAUUACUUAUGUUUUAAUUAUUGUUUACUUAGUGAAUUAUUAGUAUUUAAGAGAAGGCCUUCCAUCGAUUAGGCACCACGUGUCUAUAAUAAGUAAAGCCGUCCGGCUAUACUUAAAAAAAAAAAAAAUUGUAGUAUAGCCGACCGGUAUAGCCGCGCGGCUAUACUAUUUAAUACAUUAUAUUUAAACGGUAUAGCCGCGCGGCUAUACUAUUUAAUAAAAUAAAAAACAAAAGAAAAAGAAAAAUUACCCUCCUAUUUCAUUAGUUUGUACUUUAUAGAUACUAGCCCCUUGACACAUGCUCACGCAUGUGCCAAUUGGUUUUCUUUUUCUUUUUUAUUUUUAUUUUUAGAAUUAAGAAAAAAUAACAGGAUAGUUAUGUUCCAUAAAAGUAGGACCUAUUAUCUUAUUUUGUUUUUAAUUUUAAUUUUUUUAAUAUUAAAAAAAUAUGAAUUUACGAUAUUAUCCUCAUUUAAUUAAUAAUUUCAAUUCUUAAUGUUUGAAUUAACAAAGGGCAUUUUCUGGUAUUUUGAAUGUUUCACCAUUCUCUGCCUUUUGCUUUAUAUAUAUAGAUUAAUUUGCCAGUUUCAAGAUAUCCAAAGUACAUAUUAGACUUUCACUAUAUAAAUUUCAAUAUAUAUUUUUUAUAACAUGUGUUGUUCUUAUUCAAUAAUAUGUGAGAAUUAUUUGUAUAAUACGUGAAUUUUGUGUGUCUUACUGAAUUUUUUUAAAUACGUGUAUUAAACGUUACAAAUACGUACAUAUAUGUACAACACGACUAUUGUAAGUUUGCUAUAUAAAAAAAAGUGAGAUGUAUCUAGAACACGAAUGUAUUAUCGAAAAAUAUAUAUGUAUGUAUAUAUAUAUAUAUAUAUGUAAAAGCCUAUAGCCUCUCACCUAUACUAUUUAUUAAAGACAAUUUAAAAAUUACAACAACAAAAAAACCAGUACAGCCACAAAGCUAUACUAUUUUAAAAAAAAAAAAUAGAAAAAAUAUCAAGUACUACACAGGGCAAAGGCCCAGUGUAAAAUAGUAUAGCCGUACGGCUAUACGUUUUUAAGAAGAAUUUAAAAAACUAAGUAUAGCUCACCGACUAUACUAUUUUUUAAUAUAAAAAAACAACCCCAUCCAUUAGGCGCCACGUGUCAACAGAAGUUUAUUUUUAAAAAAAAAAAUUAAAAGACAAGGAGUAUAGCCGGGUGGUUGUACUAUUUUUUUAUUUUAAAAAGAAGACAGUCCAUCGAUUAGGCGCCACGUGUCCAUAAUAAGUACAGCCGCUCGGCUAUAUGUUGGAUAUUUUGAAACUAGCAAAUUAAUAUCAAUAGCCGGUCGUAACCUAUGCUGUCCACGUCACUCAUGUUUUACCAGAGUUAAAGCAUCCACAAUGAGCUCCCCAAACCAUCUCUUUAGACAAAUUUUAGGGAGAAAUUGGAAAAGUACAACUCCAACCAUGCUCCCUAUCCACCAACUAAAAUAGGGAGACCUCUAGGAGCUCCUAAAUCUGAGGAGAGGGAAAGGACUCUUAGUGACUCCCUAUAAUUUAAUGUUGCUUUGUUUUAUGCAUAUUUUAAACUUUUAAUUAAAUCAAAUUAUUAUUUUAUAUUAUUUUGUAUACAGAUGGACCAAUUAUAUUAAAUUAAAAAAUAAUUAAAGUAUUUGUGACUCUCUAAACUAAGGAGUAUGAUUAGAGUUCAAAUUUUAUAAAAAGCUCUUAAAAUAGCUUUUGUGUGUUUUUAGCUAAAUUUUAACUAAAAAAUUUGAAGAUUCUUUAUUUGGGUUUCUUUCAAGACGAAAACCAUAUCCACAACAGACAUCUUUGGCUGUUCAUCACAAUUGAGAGACAAUGAAGAAGACAUAAGGGAGAGGCUGCCAAAUACUUAUCACCUUAGCCACCACCAACACCACAAGACCAAUAUGUGUAGGCCAGGAGGCUUUCCAAUUUUAAUAUAUAUAUAUAUAUAUAUUAAAAAAUAAAAUAAAAAUCAAUCUAUUAUCAUAUAUAUUAUAAAAUAAAGAUUAUUGCUCCAUCCUCCAUGCACUUGCGUGCCCUCUUACAAAGUAUGAAGUAGAUUUUGUUAGCUGGAUUUAUAAGAUCUUUUGUUUUUUGGAAAUUUUCUGAAAUAAGGAAAAUCAAGUAAAAUUAAUAAAGCAUAAAUUGGAAAGGGAAAAUAUCUAGAGGAUGCAUUGUAGGAUUGCUCAAGCCAAUAAUUGUACCCUCUAAAUAUAUAGGGACAUAUUUUUUUUGUUUUCAUGACAUGUCGUCCUAAAAUUAUUGUUCUUAGCGGGCUCUCCACCCCCUCUCGAUUGAAAACCUAUUGUGUAAAUCUUCAAUCCUGAAUUAGAAAAGUACAACUCCAACCAUGCUCCCUAUCCAUCUCCUAAAAUAGGGAUACCUCUAGGAGCUCCUAAAUCUGAGGCGAGAGAAAGGACUCUUAGUGUCUCUUUAUAAUUUAAUGUUGCUUUGUUUUAUGCAUAUUUAAACUUUUAAUUAAAUCAAAUUAUUUUUUUAUAUUAUUUUGUAUACAAAUGGACCAAUUAUAUUGAAUUAAAAAUAAAUUAAAGUAUUUAUGACUCUCUAAACUAGGGAGUAUGAUUGGAGUUCAAAUUUUAUAAAGAGCUCCUAAAAUAGCUUGUGUGUGUAGGGGUCUUUUUCUUCUGGCAACUACAGAUGGGUUGGGCUACCGUAAGGAGCAAACUGAAGAAAAUAUCCCCUGUGUCUGAGUUCAAAGAUUCGGCCCCAAAAUAUUUCGAAAAGGCAGUAAAGCCUUAGGAAACACCUUAGUUACCUUCACCAACGAAAAUGACGGCUGCUUACAGGUAGAUUCUUAGUGCUUACAGAUGAAUUCUUAGCUUAGCAUGAGGAGAUCGUGGCAUGGAAGCAAAGUUAGCAUGAGUUUAGCACUAAAGAGAAAAUUAUGUGUUCUUGGGAGGAAGAAGGGGUGUCCAGGUAAAUGGGAAAAGGUUUUGCAAGUAGAUUUGGCUAAGAGAGAAGGGAGAGAGAGAAGAGGGUGGCUAGAGUGCUUCUUCCGGCAGCUUGACAGUGACUCUGUCAAAUGUUAGAGCAAUCUGCCAUAAGAGGGAAAAUGGGGAAGAAGGAUGAACAGUGCACAAAAUUGCUAGGUUUUUGCAAGUAAGAGAGGAAGCUUGCUCUCUGGAUGUGGAUGAUCCGUUGGGUAGAAGAGGCCCCAUUUUAUAGCCGCUGGAAACUAUCAUUUCUCAAGAAACCCUAAUAGUUUCUACCCAAUUUGGUCAAGCUUUUCCCUUCCUUUCUCAUCUCCUCCCUUGACUUUUCCUAUCUUGGUGAAAUUUCCUCUGUCUAUUUGCACAAAAUCAGGAGCUCAAGGCCUCCCUUUCCCGCAACUGUUCAAUGGGAGACUCCAUUCUUAGCUAUUUUUCUUCUUCUUUCCUUCCUCCUUCCCUGACCAAAUCUGAUGAAGGAAAGCAAAUAGGUGCACACAUUGGUUUGAAGGGUGCUUCUCCUUCUAGCAGCUUACAUGCCAAUAUCCCUUGGGUCCUUGCAUGUUUUUUGCUUUGAAACUUGUUUCUUCCUUCCCGUCAACUCACGUGGUCUUCCAUGCUUCUUCAUGGCUUUAUCUUUCAGCCAAAAGAUGGAGUUUUUACUGCUUGCUACUUUUAAUUGUAUGGGUCUUCUAGGAUAGGAAGUCAACCUACCAAACAAAUGGGCCACCUUUAUCAAAUAUUGGGCUGUUGGGGUUAGUUUUAGUGGGCCAUUUUGACUGGGCUUUUUGGUUGGGUUAUUUAAGUUAUUUUCCCUUUUGUGCUCACCCAUGUAUUUAGGCCUAAGAAAUGGGCUUGGGCUCCGAGUCUCCCAAGCAACCCGGAACCUCCAUUUCUUGGCCCAUUAAUGGGCCUCAUGACAACCUAUUACCAUCCAUACCACAACCCACUCAAGCAAGCCCCGGGCAUUUGAAUGGCUUUGGCCCACUUUAGGCUUGUAGUGUGAUUGGGUGUGGCAUAACGAUUUCUCGCUUGGCAUGGCAUGUUGCUUGGCAUGUUUUUUCAUUACGAUGCUUGAUGGAUUUGUAGAGCUACCUAUUUUUAUGAUCUUAAUCUUGAUUCCUAGCAUGACAAAUUUAUUUAUUUGGCAUGGCAUGCGGAGCGUGACUUGUGCGUGGCGAGUUUUGUAUGCUCCAACUUGGGCCUUUCCUAAAUAAUGUAUCAUUUUGGGUUAUGAAUUCUUUCGGGCCCAACCGUGAAUUUUUUGGGUUUCAACAGUGUGUUUUUAGCUAAAUUUUAACUAAAAAAUAGGGAGCAUGAUUGUAGAUCAUCUUAUAUACCUUAAUUUGAAGAUUCUUUAUUUGGGUUUCUUUCAAGAUGAAAACCAUAUCCACAACUGGCAGACAUCUUUGGCUGUUCAUCACAAUUGAGAGACAAUGAAGAAGACAUAAGGGAGAGGCCGCCAAAUACUUAUCACCUCAGCCACCACCAACACCACAAGACCAAUAUGUGUAGGCCAGGGGGCUUUCCAAUUUUAAUAUAUAUAUAUGGAGUGAAAAAAAUAAAAUAAAGAUUAUUGCUCAUCCUCCAUGCACUUGCAUGCCCUCUUACAAAGUGUGAAGAAGAUUUUGUGUGCUUCAAGUCAUUGACUAGAGCUGAAACAUGGUUAGCUGGAUUUAUAAGAUCUUUUGUUUUCUGGGAAUUUUCAGAACCAAGGAAAAUCAAGUAAAAUUAAUAAAGCAAAAUGGAAAGGGAAAAGAUCUAGAGGAUGCAUUGUAGGAUUGCUCAUGCCAAUAAUUGUACCCUCUAAAUAUAUAGGGACAUAUUUUUUUUGUUUUCAUGACAUGUUGUCCUAAAAUAUUUGUUCCUAGCGGGCUCUCCACCCCCUCUCGAUUGAAAACCUAUUGUGUAAAUCUUCAAUCCUGAACGAUGCUCCUAAAACUCAAGUGUCCCAGGCCAAUUAUUGCUCUCAUACCACUUGUUGCAAUACACAUCCACUCAUUCUCAGGGAAAGAAACCCAUCGAUAUUAUCUCAAAUUUAACCACUUUAGUCUAUUAUGAUUAACUAUGUAUUUUAUGGAUCAAUGCAGUUGUGAGGUUUUAUACCCAAUUAGAUCGACCAAUACAGAGAUCACAUGUGGACUGAAAAGCGCCAUCGGUAGGGGAGUGUUUGGCACCCUUUACUGCCGAGUGCAACACAAGACCCCUUACCAGGAACUUAUCUACUAGGACACGUGAAGCCACCACAAGUAAUAUCAACAGUCCCACAUCGAAGUUUAACAUAACAUGUACACUCCCCAGGACUGAUAAAAGUGGGCACAAGUCCCAAAAAUGGGGGAACUUGGACUUUCAGCAAUUCAUCCAUUAUUAUGUCCAAAUUACUAUACACUCCGUACUUAUUCUUACUUAAGCAUUGGAGAGCCUUCGGCCGGUACCACACCAGUGCCUAAGGGCUUACCGAGCGUUCUCUAUCUUGCAUAUUGAUCGCUCUACUGAAGCCCAUAAAGAGUUAAAGGUCAAGACAUCACUAAGUUGAGCCCAAAAGUGCUGAACCACAUCAAAAAUAUGUAUAGAUUGAAAAAAUAAAAUAAAAAUCAAUCUAUUAUCAUAUAUAUUAUAAAAUAAAUAUUGGAUAAAUUACUCAAAUGGUCCUCAAACUUAUACUCGAUUUACAUUUUGGUCUCUCAAUUAAAUUAUUUGUUCAAAUGGUCCAUCAACUCUAUAUUAUUUCUGCAAAAUCUACAAAGUGGUGGGAGGCAGACCAACAAAAAAAAUUAGCGAAGGCUUAUAACUCUGGUAAAACAAGAGUUACUUGGAUAGAAUAAUGUUACGUCGUACUGAAGAUUUUUGGGUUUCUUUAAUUGGUUAAGUGAAGAUUCUUUAUUUGGGUUUCUUUCAAGAUGAAAGCCAUAUCCACAACCACAACCACAACUGGCAGACAAUCUUUGGCUGUUCAUCACAAUUGGGCGACAAUGAAGAAGACAGAAAUUGGAGUACUGUAUGUUAUCACCCACACCACAAGACCAAUAUAAGGAGGAUGGGGAGGCUGCGGAAUACUUAUCACCUUAGCCACCACCUACACCACAAGACCAAUAUGUUGUAGGCCAGGAGGCUUUCCAAUUUUAAAUUAGAUAAAUCGGAAACUGUUUCGAUAUCCAAUUGUAUUCUAUAAAAUCAAUGAACACGGUGCUUCAAGAAAGUAAUAAAAUUUCAAUAAUUCAAUUGAGUGGUCAAAUUCAAGUGAUUUUUUGUAGUGAUGAUCUUUGAAUGAGUAUCUAUAAAAGAGACGGUUUGGAUUAGUGAAAUACAAUAUGGAGUGGGCCCUACCAGCAAUCCACGACAAAAUGUCUGCAAGCUUUCGUAAUAUAAGGAGGAUGGGGAGGCUGCGCAAUACUUAUCACCUUAGCCACCACCUACACCACAAGACCAAUAUGUUGUAGGCCAGGAGGCUUUCCAAUUUUAAUAUAUAUAUAUAUAUAUAUAUAUAUAUAUAUAUAGGGAUGUGAUUUCUCUACUCCCCUUUUCUCUACUUAUACUCCCUUUUGCUUUUAAAUACUUUUUAAUCAAUUUUUUUUCCGCUUUCCUAUUAAUAUUCUACCAUUUCCCUACAUUAAUUUCUUUUUACUUCACUUUUAUAUUAGUUCUUUUUCUUUAUACUUAAUUUUUCAACUUGCACUCCAUUUUCAUUAUUUUUUUCCUAAUCGAGUAAGAAAUUAAGUUUUUUUUCCCCAUUUAAUACUGAAAAUGGAGUGUAAGUUAGAAAAUUAGGUAUAAAGAAAAAGAAAUAAUAUAAAAGUAAAGUAAAAAAGAAAUUAAUGUAGGGUAAAGGUAGAAUAGAAAAGAGAAUGAACAAAAUUGAUAAAUAAAUAAAAAAGGUUUAAAAAGCAAAAAGGAGUGUAAAUGGAGAAAAGGGGAAUGAGGAAAUCAGCUCCAUAUAUAUAUAGAUUGAAAAAAUUAAAAUUAAAAUCAAUCUAUUAUCAUAUAUAUUAUAAAAUAAAGAUUAUUGCUCCAAGGAAAUGACAUCUUUUGUUUUCUGGGAAUUUUCUGAACCAAGGAAAAUCAAAUAAAAUUAAUAAAGCAUAAAUUGGAAAGGGAAAAGAUCUAAAGGAUGCAUUGUAGGAUUGCUGAUGCCAAUAAUUGUACCCUCAAAUUAUACAUGGACAUAGGGGUGGGCAUUCAAAUAGGCAAACUAGAAAUCCGAGCUGAACCGCACCUAGGAAAACCGGAAAAAAAACCGAGUUGACCAAAAAGUCAACAACUGGUCAAAAAUCGAACCGGACCGAUUUGGACUGGUUUUGGAUUCAGUUUAUAUGCAAUGCUACAUUUUUAGUCUCAUAACUAAUAUUUAUCCAAGUUCAAUUUCAAAACAUCUUUCUUUUUUAGCUUUAAUAUUUAUUUUUAUAUGAAAUUAAAUAAUUUAUUAAUUUUCAAGUAAAUAAAAUAAAAUUUCAGUUGAAAUUUAUAUUAAAAAAAUAAUUUUAAUAAUCCAGUUCAAAACCAAACCGGACCAUCCAGCUGUGAGGUACAUUUCUCCCACAUGCCACAAUUGUAUAUUCACAAUUACGUCUGAUACAUCACAUCAUGCCACUUGCCUCAAAUGAAUUUAAGUGAGUGUGGCAGUGGAAAGUAAUUAAGCUCUAUAUUGGUGGGUGGACUGUUACUUCUGGGUUCCCCUCAUCAUUCGUCUAUAAAAUGGUGAAGGCAGUUGCUAUUGUUACCAUAAGAGCCAGCUCCGACUUCCUUUAAUUUCUUGCUUCAUAUCCACUAGCUACAUCUGUUACCAAGUUAAUUUCAGUCCUAAUGGGGUUUCAUCUCCCACUCAUCUUUGCUCUUCUCAGUGUAAGCUCUGCAAUUUGAUUAACUUUUCCAUUCUCUCUCAUUGUACUCUAUAUAAACGAAAGUUUUGUGUUCCUAUAAUUCUCUCCGAUUUUAUUUAGUACGUACUUAAGUGUCGUCCACUAAUUAAUUACACUUUGUGAUUUGAUUUUAAUUUGAGUUCGAAUUAAUGUUGCAGCUAGCAGCAGUGGCACUGGCAAACCAUGCUGCUCAACCAGCACCUCAACUUUACUGGAACUCCGUCCUGCCAAACACACAGAUGCCAAGAUCUAUCAGUGAACUUCUGCAUCCUGGUUUGUGUUGAGCUCUUUAGAAUCUUAGAUAUCUCUUCUACCUGCCAUUUUACUAAAAUAUGUUCCACCACAUAUUUAUCAGUUAACCACUGUUAUUACAUGAGUGACACAUAUUCACAAAUCGGCUGAUCACUUAUUUUCCAUUAUGACGUUGAUAUAUAAUUUGCAGACUCCACAAAUGAAGAAAAGAGCACAAAUGACGUUGGCAAACCUGAAACUUUCCCAUUGGGCAAUAAACAUUACUCCAGUCAAAAACAUUAUGGAAGAGGCAAACCUGAAACUUUCCCAUUGGGCAAUAAACAUUACUCCAGUCAAAGACAUUAUGGAAGAGGCAAACCUGAAACUUUCCCAUUGGGCAAUAAACAUUACUCCAGUCAAAGACAUUAUGGAAGAGGCAAACCUGAAACUUUCCCAUUGGGCAAUAAACAUUACUCCAGUCAAAAACAUUAUGGAAGAGGCAAACCUGAAACUUUCCCAUUGGGCAAUCAGCAUUACUCCAGUCAAAAAAAGUAUGGAAGAGGUGCUUCUCCAUCCGACAAUCAACCACCAAUUCCAUAGAAAUUCAAACACGGCUACUUUCUUGCCACGAGAAAGCGCUCAAUCGAUCCCCUUCUCCUCUAACAAACUACCAGAAAUUUUCAACCAUUUUUCAGUGAAGCCAACAUCUGAGGAAGCCAAAACAAUUAAGCAAACAAUCGAAGAGUGUGAAGCUCCAGACCUUAAGGGAGAGGAAAUAUAUUGCGCCACAUCUUUAGAAUCAAUGGUUGAUUUUAGCACUUCGAAGCUUGGAACAAGAAACGUUGAAGCAAUCUCGACGGAGGUAUUGGAAAAAGGAGCCACCAUGUCCAUCCAAAACUAUACAACAAUGCCGGGACUGAAGAAGUUGGCAGGUGACAAAGUCGUUGUGUGUCAUAAGCAGAACUAUCCCUAUGCUGUGUUUUUCUGCCAUGCAAUAAAACAUACAGCAGCUUAUGCUCUCUCCCUGAAAGGCGAUGAUGGGGAGAAGGUUAAAGCAGUAACCAUCUGCCAUCUAGACACAUCAGAAUGGGACCCAGAGCAUAUGUCCUUCAAAAUCGUCAACGUUAAGCCCGGAACCAUUCCCAUCUGCCAUUUCAUUUCCACUGAUGCUAUUGCCUGGGUUCCGAACCACAAAUCUGCAUGAUCAUCACUUAGCACUAGUACUGUGCGUAUAAUAUGCCUGUAUAAUUAUCUCCCUACUUAUUUCUGCCUGUUCAUCAUGUGGUGUAAGAUAUAUGUUGAGAUGAAGUUUUUGGGAUUAGUGGUCGAAAUUAACCCGAUCAUGUUUUCUCUUGUAACUAUAUAGACUUCAACUUGUACUCAUAAUAAAGCAUGCUAUAUUUAUGAAGAGAUAUUAAUCUUCAGGCAAAUAGAUAUUAUGAAAACAUAUAUAGCAAUUUAUCCAGAAGAAAUAUUAUGAAAUGAAAAGAAUAAAAAGUAAAAAAACAGAAGGAAAGGAAUUCGCACCUGCUAUGUAUGAAAGGACCAAGAUUGUUUUCCCUUUGGUUAAUGACUAGAAAAGCUCACUUGCAGAUUGCUUUCUCUGACCGUAGAUGCAACAGAAAUUUUCUCUUAAUAAUAGCACAAUGAUCGGGUAAUUGUAAGAACAAGUUGAUUUAAAAUUCCUUGACCCAAAAAAAAAAAAAAAAUCAUUUCAAAUUCAGGUCAACCCAUAGAUUUCUUGCCUUUUUCUUCUUCAUCACGUUGGGCUUGUCUUCUUCUUGAGGAUUGUAUAGGCCCAGGAAAUGCUUUGAGGUAGUUUUUGGCCUUGGAAGUUGGGACCCAACCCAACUUCACAAAAAGAAAACAGAUUUGCCAAAAAUCAAAUUUCAAGUCUCUCCUCAGAUCACUAAUACAGAUCAAAUUUUGGAUUUGAUGAACUAAAGUGGUUUUACUUUCUCUGUCAGUGUUUGAUGACUUAAUUUGUUAUUUACUUCUUUUUUUUUUUUUACUUGAUCUUUGUAGGGGUUUUUUUCUUCCGGUAACUUAAACGGGCUGGGCUGCCGUAAAGGGUAGAUUGAUGAAAUUGUCUCCUUUGUCUGAGUUCGAAAAUCAAGCCCCAAAAGCGCUUCGAAAGGGCAGUAGAGCCUUAGGAAGCGUUCUAGUCAUCUUCACCAACUAAAACAACAGCAACUUACAGAUGAUUUCUUAAGGCUUACAGAUAAAUUUUCUAGCUUGGCAUGAGAGGCUUGUGACAUGGAAGCAAAAUCAGCAUGAGUUUAGCACCAAAGAGGAAAAUAUGGCUUCCUAGGGAGAAAUGGGAGUGUUUAAGGUGAGGAAGAAGAGGUUUGCAGGCUGAUUUGGCUGAGGAGAGAGAAAGAAAGAACAAUGUUCUUCCAGUAGCUUGACAAAGCUUCUGACAGAUGUGAAAGUCGUCUGCCAUAAGAGGAAAAUGAAGAAGAAUGGUGAAUAGUGCAUGAAAUUGCUGGGUUUUUGCAGGUAAGAGAGAAAGCUUGCUCUCUGAAUUUGAGUUGGUUUUUGGUUGGGUAGAAGAGGCCCCCUUUUAUAGCUGCGGGAAACCAUCUUUUUUCAAGAAACCCUAAUGGUUUCUAUCCAUUUUGGCCAAGCUUUUCCCUUCAUUUCUCUUCUCCUCCCUUGACUUUUCCUAUCUUGGUGAAAUUUCCUCUGCCUAUUUGCACAAAAUUAGAGAUUUUGAGGAGCUCAAGACCCCUUUCCCGCAGCUGCCUCAGUGGAGAAUCCCCAUUUUCAGUCAUCUUUCUUCCUUCUUUUCUCCCAUCUUCCAAGGUUAGGUCUGAUGAGGGAAAGAAAUGGGUAUGCACACUGGUUUGAAGGGUAUUUUUGCUUGAAACUUGUUCUCUCCCAUGUGCUGGAGCUUCCCAGCAACUUACACACAUGGAUAUUUUGGCUUUCAUCGUGGCUUUUGUUUUCAGCUAGGUGCUGGAGAUUUCGCAGAUAUUUUCAUGAGUUGCUUGGGCCUUCUAGGACAAUAGGUUGGUUUAUCAAGUGAAUGGGCUAACUUCAUCAAUUGUUGGGCUAUUUUGGUUGAGUUAAUGGACUAUUUUGGUUGAAGUAAUGGGCUAUUUUGGUUGAAUUAAUGGGCUAUUUUUCUCUCUUUGUGCUCACCCACAUAUUUGGGCCUAAGAAAUGGGCUUGAGUUCCGGGGCUCCCAAGCAACCCCGGGACUUCCAUUUCUCGGCCCAUCAAUGGGCCUCAUAUCAACUUAUUACCAUCCAUAUCACAACCCACUCAAGCAAGCCCUGGGCAUCUUGCGUGGCUUGGGCCCACUUAAGCUUGUAGCGUGACGUGUUGCUUAUUUGCUUGGCAUGGCAUGUGUGCAAGCGCAUAUGACGAACUUUAGCGUGCCCAAAUUGGGUUUAUUCUCGGUAAGGUAUCGCAUUGGGCCGAGAAUUUAAUUGGGCAGAACUGUGGAUUUUUGGGCCUCAACAAUCUUAUAUAUAUUGGUUUUCUUUUUUUCCUUAAUAUUCACCACCUUUCUGUUGCAUAAGUAUUUCAGUCUUAACGGGUUUCCAUCUACCACUCAUCUUUGCUCUUUUAAGUGUAAGCUUUUUUUUUUUUUUUUUAAGCACAAGAUUAGAGGGGAGGGGGAUUUCUCAAUGUAAGCUUUGCAGUUUCAUAAUUAAUAUUUCCAAUAUCUCACUGUUAGUAAAAUAUGGAACAGGAAAAGUAUGAAUAAAAUACACACAUGUUUUAUUUAGCAAAAUUUUGACAAGAUACAACUGAAAAGUUUGGCCACUAUAUAAUAUUUUGAUAUAAUUUCUACACUUCUUCUCAAAAGAUUAGAUCACUUCACAUCUUGUGUAUGUGAAAACUAAUGUAAAAAGUUGAAACUUUAUCGUAAAACCUCGACAAAAAUGAGCUCUACUAGAAAAUGUUCAAUUUGGAUUCGUUGAUUUAAAUGGCAAUUUGACACUUGAUAGAAAUUUUUACAUACAUGUGUUAGUGUUUGAUCACUUCACAUGUUACUUACUAUAUUUAUUCCACUCAAGUUAGGUAAAUAUUAUUAUCAAACAUUUCAAUUAAUUUGUGAUUUUUUUAUUAUUUAAUCAAUUAUGAAUUAAUGGAUUCUUCUUGUUGUUUUGAAGACCAAUAAAAAAAAAAGGGUAAGGAUGGCUUAUAACUCUGAUAAAACAACAGUGACGUGGACAGCAGAUGUUACACCGUACUGAAGAUUUUUGAAGAUUCUUUAUUUGGGUUUCUUUCAAGAUGAAAACCAUAUUAUCCACAACCACAAUGAAGAAGACAGAAAAUGGAGUAAUUCAGAUGUUACCAGCCAUCCACGACAAACUGAAGUCUGCAAAGCAUUCGUAAUCUAAAGGGAGACUUUGGAAAAGCCCAAAGGAGAGAGAAAAUUUUUAAAAGAAGCAAAAAUGGACAAAAUUGCCCUUAUUUAUUUUUUGAUUUCCUAAGAAAUCCUUUACAUUUGCAUGUCUUUGGUUUGAAAGUUGAGAGGUUAUUCUGUCUUUUUUCAAAAAGCUUUGGCUUUUUCCAAAAGUGAAAGUUUUUUUAUGGGUAAAACCUAAAUUUACUUAAUCCCUAAAAAGGAUGGGGAGGCUGCGCAAUACUUAGCCACGUGUAGGCCAGGAGGCUUUCCAAUUUUAAUAUAUAUAUAAAUUGAAAAAAUAAAAUAAAAAUCAAUCUAUUAUCCUAUAUAAAAUAAAGAUUAUUGCUUCCAUGGGCAGUGCUAUGCACAGGACAGUGCCUGCCCAGCACAAAUUUUUUUUAAAUAAAAAAAAAAAAUCUACAUAUGUUAUAAGCUCAUCCAAAAAAAUAAAAUAAAAUAAAAGUAAAUUCUACAUAUAUGUUGCCCAUCUAGGUGGUUCCAUAUCUUCUCUCUCCUUCUCUUUUGGCUAUUAGACUUCUUGUUUCUCUCUCUCUCUUUGCUACCUCACAUCAGCAAGUUUCUCCCUCUCUUUUUUUGGGGUCAAAUUCUUCCUCUAUUGACAAAAUCUUCUAUUAUCUUGGGUGGGCAACUUGGCAACAACAUCUUCUCUUCUCCUUUUGUCAACAACAAGUAUUAUUCUCAUUCUCUCAUUUGCUAUAUAUCUUUAAUUAUAGUUUUAAUUUAAAAUUGAGUAUUCUAGGGUUUAAUUAGGGAUGAAUUAUAAUUUUAGAAUUUUGUUGAAAUUAAUUAAGGCUUCGAUUAGGGGUGAAUUAUUCUACUGCUUUGGUUUGGAAUUUUGUUAAAAUUGAGUAUUAUAGGGUUUAAUUAUGGAUGAAUUAUAAUUUUUGAUUUUGGUAUUAUUGAGAUGUUAUUAUGAGAAUUUGUUUCAUUUUUUUAUUGGUAUAUUUGAUUAAAAUUCUUUCUACAUAUUAUUCAUAGGCUAUCUUUUAUUAUGUCGGAUCACAAUCGGAAUCCCAAGAGAACAAAGAAUUUGAAUAGUGUUGUUUUGUAUUGCAUUGCAUUUACUUUUGGUUUUAGUUUUGCUUUUAGUGUAAAUUACUCAAAUGGUCCUCAAAUUUGUACCCGAUUUACAUUUUGGUCCAUAAACUAAAUUAUUCAUUCAAAUGGUGCACCAACUCUUUAUUAAUCAGUGCUUUGGUCCUACCGUUAUGUUUUCUAUUAAAUUUAGUCAUGUGAGCAGCACAUGCUACAUUUGUAGGGGUAAAUAAGACUUUUGACCACUUUAUCACCUAUGUAUCACCACUUUAUAACCUAUUUGGAGAACAUAGGUCAGUUAUGGACGGUUUUACAAUUAUAUUUGACGGCAACAUUAACAUAAUGUAACAGUGGGAUCAAUGGAGCGAUUAAUAUAGAGUUGAUGGACCGUUUGAACGAAUAAUUUAAUUGAGGGACCAAAACGUAAAUUGAGUAUAAGUUUGAGGACCAUUUGAGUAAUGUACCCUUCGCUUUUAUAUUUGUUGAACUUUUAUUUAUGGAUAGAUAUGCAUUUGAGGGUAAGACCCAUUAUGUUCCCCCUGACUUGGUGUAUCUUUUUAUGUUUAUUAAUGAAAUUCACUCGAACUGUUGAGUUUAGUAUGUAAGUUUUGCCUAACCGGCUUUUGAAUCCUAGAACCGCCACUGUUGCUCCAUCCUCCAUGCACUUGCAUGUGCUCUUACAAAGUGUGAAGUAGAUUUUGUGUGCUCCAAGUCAUUGACUAGAGCUGAAACAUGGUUAGCUAGAUUUAUAAGGACCCAUCUCUCUAUUUCCUAGACAUAUACCCAUCUCUCUAUAAAUCUAUAUGUAAAACUCAAUUUCAAACUUAAAUGACCAGUAAGAUAUAAGAGGUCAUAGUAUUCCUAUGUUUUUACAUCGUUGCCACCAGACUUCUUAUUUUAUUUAUAAUUUAUUUCAAGCAUUUCAUUAACUGCCAUAAUUGUAAUUAAUACUCCAUAUUAAUAGCAUAUCAAUCACCCCAUUUCUUUUGAUUGCCAUUCCCUCUAACAUAUCGCCCCUUAAAAUUGAAAACCAAAAAAAAAAAAAAUGUAAAUUACAUAUCCAAUAAUGUACCUAUGAAAAAUAUAAAUAUAAAUAUAUACGUAUAAAAAUAUAGGUUUAUUAUUUACCAAAUAAAAAAUAUAAAAAAACUAGGUCAGUUGCUUUGUAAUUGAAAUUUCUAUACAUUUUCCACAAAUUAAAAAUAGGUACACAAUAAUUUAUAGAAAAUAUAGGUGCAUUAUUUAUCCAUAGGUAAAAAUACCUAUAAAUGCACAUAGGUAAAUUAUUUACCCAUAUAUUAUUUUUUUGCUAAGGAUUUACCUUAGUUUUUAGUAGAUUAAUUUACCUACCUAGAGGCAUAGGUAGCUUAAAAAAAUUGUAGCACCUUAGUUGGUUGCAUACUAAUUUACCUACCUAGAGGCAUAGGUUGCUAAGAAAAAAUGUAGGUAAAUUCAUGUACCUAAACACAUAGGGGUCAAAUAGAGAAUAACAUGUUAUUUCCCUUCGAACAAAUUAAUUUCAAACCAUAACAAUAAUUGAAUUCGGAAAUUGGUAUAAAUAAAAGGAAAUAAAUAAGCUAUCAAUUUGAAAAUUAAAAUAAGAAAUGAUCAAGUAGUCAUAUUUGAAAAAAAAGAAAAGAAUAUAUUCUUGGUUUUUAUAGGAACAACGUGUAUAUUCAAACCAAAUGGCAGUAACUACACCAAGCUUUAAUUACUUUUUUUUAAGGCCAAAAGUCACUUUUGGUCUCUGUAGUUUGACACUUCUAUUACUUUUGACGCUGUAGUUUCAAUUCCGUCAAUUUUGCCAUUGUAGUUUCAUAUUUGUAGCAAUUCAAGGACAUGUUAAUAUUAAUGUCAAUUUGUUUAAUGAUGCAAGGGGUAAUUUCGUCAUCCCAAAAUCCUUGAGCAUAAAAGCUUGUCUGAAAUUCUCCCCAUUUCAUAUUAGGGCUCGAAAUUCAACCACUAAUCCCAAUUUUUGAAGAACCCUAUACCCAAAUGACCAAUUUCAAGCCCUAAUAACAAAUUAGGGAAGUUUUAGAUGAGCUUUUAUGCUCAAGGAUUUUGAGUUGAAGAAAUUGCCCCUUGCACUGUCAAAGAAAUUGAUAGGAAUACUGACUUGUCCUUGAAUUGCUACAAAUACAAAAAUACAGGGUCAAAAUUAACAGAAUUUAAACUAUAUGGUCAAAAGUGGUUAAAGUGCCAAACUACAAGGACCAAAAGUGACUUUUAGCCUUUUUGUUUAAAUAAGGAAAAAACUUACCUAUUAAAUCCUUGGAAUCUAUACAAAAUUGAAACACAGUUAAUCAGCAUUGAAUUGCAGCUAAUUUCUUAAACAAGGGUAUUAUAGGAAUUUAAAAAGUAUAACAUUUAAUCCAUUGAGCUUGAUUAGGAAUCUUGAUGAGUUGGAUCCUAGUUAUAUAGUUUCUCUUAUAAAAAUCGGGUUUUAUUUAUAGACAAAUAAAACAAUGGGUUGUAGGUAAGAAAAUAUUAAUUUGAAGGGAAAGUGUCACAUCCUGGGAUCGGCUCCGCCGUAGCACGAUAUUGUCCGCUUUGGGCCCCCCUCUCUGCCCGCACGGUUUUGUUUCUGGGAGCUCACGAGCAACUUCCCAGUGGGUCACCCAUCCUGGGAUUGCUCUGGCCCCCAACUCGCUUAACUUCGGAAUUCCUAUGACUCCGAAGCCAGUGAGCUCCCAAAAGGCCUCGUGCUAGAUGGAUGCGGGUGUGUACAUAUAAGACACAUCACCCCCUCUCCGUUGGUUGAUGUGGGAUCUUACAGAAAGAGUCAAAUUUACUAAAUUAAUAAAGCAUAAAUUGGAAAGGGAAAAGAUCUAGAGGAUGCAUUGUAGGAUUGCUCAUGCCAAUAAUUGCACCCUCUCGAUAUUGAAAAACCUAUUGUGUAUUAUUAUCUUCAAUCAUGAAUGAUGCACCUAAAACCCAAGUGUCCCAAGCCAACCAUUGCGCUCAUACCACUUGUUGCAGUACACAUUCACCCGUUUUUAAAGAAAGAAAUUCUACCAAUCGAUAUUGUCUCAAAUUUAAUCACAUAGGUCUAUUAUGGUUAACCAUAUGUACUUUUAUCGGCCAUAUAGAGGUACCUUUUUCCAACGUGCAACAAUUGUAUUUGAUUCACAAUUAUGUCUGAUAUACAUCACAUCAUGCCACUUGCCUCAAAUGAAUUUAAUUGAGUGAGGCAAUGGGAAGUAAUUAAGCUCUAUAUUGGUGGGUGGAGUGUUACUUCUGGAACCCUCAUCAUUCGUCCAUACAAGGGAACAAUUCCCUUCCUUCUAUAAAAUGGUGAAGCCAGUUGCUAUUGUUUGUUAGAGUUUUAGGAUCUGAGUGUUAGAUUUUGUGAGAAGAGAGAAGAGAAUUUAGUGAAAACUUCCAAUACUGCUCUGCUAUACGUGUAGCAGAGAGAACAUUCUGUUUUGUUAUAUAUUUUCAGUACAACAACACACACUUGGUGUGAGAAGAAAAAUGACUGUUAUGCACAGUACCAGCUGGAUGCUUUCCAUCAAAGUAAUCUCAGCCAUUCACUAUCUAACCAAUCAAGCUAUGACACCUGGACUAAGUAUAAAGAAAUACAACUAAGCAGAAAACAAGACUCUUAAUCCUGAAAUCAACUUAAGCACUUAUAAUUCAACACUCCCCUUUAAGUCUUGAGGUGAUUUCACUCCAAGCAUGCCUCUGAGAUAAUUGAAUCUGUCUUUGGCCAGAGGUUUGGUAAAAAUGUCAGCCAAUUGUUCAUUUGUAGGACAAUAUUCCAGAUUGAUUACCCCUUCUUGCAAUGCAUCCUUGAUGAAGUGAUACCUCCUGUCAAUAUGCUUUGUCUUCUGGUGGAAUACAGGGUUUUUAGUGAUUGCAAUUGCUGAGAUAUUAUCACAAUGCAAUGGAGUAGCUUCAGUUUGAAGCUCUCUAAAGUCUUCUAGCACAAAACGGAGCCAAAUAGCUUGAGUAGUAGCCUCAGCUGCACUGAUGUACUCAGCUUCUGCAGUAGACAGUGCAACACAGUUCUGUUUCACUGAGGCCCAAGAAAAUACUCCACUUCCAAAACUAAACGCAUACCCUGAUGUGCUCUUGCAAUCACCAACUGAUCCUCCCCAAUCACUGUCACAGUAACCAACUAGAAUUGAUCUUUUGCCUUUCACAUAUUCAAGACCAUAGUCCAGAGUUCCUUUGAUGUAUCUCAAAACCCUUUUAGCUGUUCCAUAGUGUCUAUUUGUAGGACAGUGCAUGAAUCUAGCUAGCAAGCUUGAGGCAUACAUGAUGUCUGGUCUUGUAGCAGUUAAGUACAGCAAGCUACCAACAAUGCUUCUGUAUUGUUCUUCAUUUGCAGCUCAACUCCCAUCAUCCUUAGCUAGUUUCUCAGUGGCAACAAGGGGUGUUGUCACAGGUUUGCACUCAGUCAAACCAAACUUGCUCAACAAGGUGCUAGCAUAUUUCUUUUGAUGUAGAAAUAUACUAGACUCAGUCUGAAUAACUCCCAUGCCAAGAAAGUGAUGAAGUAAGCCCAAAUCAGUCAUCUCAUACUUAGCCAUCAUGUCUUCUUUGAAUUCAGCCAACAAUGCUUGACUGCUCCCUGUAUACACAAUAUCGUCUACAUAGAUAGACACAAUUAGAAUCUCCUUAUCUCCCCUUACUUUGGUAUAUAAGGUUGUUUCACUUAAGCUUUUCACAAAACCACAUUGAGUGAAGUAGCUGUCUAUCUCUCCAUACCAAGCCCUUGGGGCUUGCUUCAGACCAUAAAGGGCUUUAUGCAAACGAUAAACCUUGUCUUCUUUACCUUUAAUUACAAAACCUUCAGGCUGACUGACAUAAACUUCCUCUUGCAGCACACCAUUAAGGAAAGCAGACUUCACAUCAAGCUGGAACAAUUUCCAAUCCUUUUGAGCAGCUAGAGCAAUAAGUGUUCUAAUGGUGUCCAAUCUGGCUAUAGGUGCAUAAGUCUCAUUAUAAUCCAGUCCAGGCUUCUGAGCAUACCCCUUAGCCACUAAUCUUGCUUUAUUCUUUUGCACUGAGCCAUCCAAAUUCAGCUUUGUCUUGUACACCCACUUAACUCCAAUCACUGGUUUUUCAGUUAGUCUAUCUACCAAUUCCCAUGUUUCAUUCUUUUCAAUCAUCUGCAGUUCAUCUUCCAUAGCCUUAAGCCAAGAUUCAUCCUGAGCAACAUCAGCAUAUUUUUCUGGUUCCAUGAUACACAAGUUACACUGAGCUAGAACAUCAUCUAGCCUUCUCCAUUUUAGAGGGGUGUGAUCAUAAGCUUGAGUUCUCCUUUCUUCACUGCUUAUAUCACCUGGAGUUGAUGAAAUGCUCUCUUGCAUAUCCAAAGUUUGAGGUGUACCAGUAGAAUUCUCAUUAGAACUGUCAGAUUUCAAGUCCAAAUCAACUUGGUUUUCAAUUGAGUAUGUUGUCAUAACUGAACCAUUUUUGUUUGUCCAAUGCCAAGCAUUUUCUUCAUCAAAUGUCACAUCCCUUGAUAGUAAAAGCUUGUUAGAAACAGGAUCAAAAACUCUAUAUCCUUUUUCACAAGUUGCAUAUCCCACAAACACUCCCUUUGUACUCUUAGGAUCCCGCUUGUGUCUCAAUUCAGUUGGCACAUGAACAUAACACAGAGAACCAAACACUUUCAGAUGUGCAAUUCCAGGCUUCCUUCCACUAUAUGCUUCGAAUGGAGUAAUGUUGUUGAGAGCUUUGGUAGGACAUCUGUUCAGCAAAUAGAUAGCUGUAUGCACAGCUUCUGCCCAUAGGAAAUAAGGCAUUCCCUUCUCAUGUAACAUUGAUUUUGCCAUCUCAAUGACAGUUCUAUUCUUCCUCUCAACUACUCCAUUCUGCUGAGGAGUAUAGGCCAUUGUAAGCUGCCUUUGAAUGCCAUUAGCUUCACAAAACUCCAAAAAAUCAGUAGACAUAAACUCUCCACCCCUGUCACUUCUUAUGCACUGAACCUUGUGUCCAGUUUGUAAUUCAGUCAUGGACUUGAACUUCUUGAAACAAAAGAAGGCUUUUGACUUGUUUCUCAAGAAGUAUACCCAAAUCAUUCUUGUGAAAUCAUCUAUAAUCAGCAUGAAAUAUCUGUUCCUUGCAACAGACUCAUUUCUCAUGGGACCACAGAGAUCCACAUGUAUUAGCACUAGUACUUUGCUUGCUCUUUGAGCUUGAUCUUUUGGAAAAACAUUUCUGUGCUGUUUUCCAAAUUGGCACCCGUCACACACACCACUUUGUUCUUCCAAUUUUGGUAAACCAUGUACCAUUUCUUUAUCACUUAGCUGCUUCAAUCCUCCAAAAUGCAGAUGACCAAAUCUCUUGUGCCAAAUCCAUGUGGAUUGAAGAAAACUAGUCUUCAUUAGUAACUGUUUUUCAGCUAGAAAAGAGACAGGAUAGCAUCUGUUACUCUUCAUUUGCACCUUUAUGAUGAGAUAAUCCAUGGAUGGGCUAUCAAAUACCCUGCACAUCCCUUCUCCAAACACUAGACAGUACCCAUGUUCAUCCAUCUGCCCAACACUUAGCAGAUUUUCUUUCAAUCCUGGCAGAUACAUUACUUCUCUGAUGUAUUUCCUGCCCUUUGCUGUAUCAAUACUCAGUGAGCCAAUACCAGCUACACUCACUAAUGCACCAGUUGGCAUUUGUACUCUCCCAGCUACAUUAGUUCUCACAUCAACCAGCAAAUCUAAAUUUCCUGUCAUAUGAUUGCUGCAGCCACUGUCAAUGUACCAUUCAUUGGUUUUGAUCUCAGUGGUUGAGCAAUUGGCAUAAAACAGGUUUCCUGUAACCUCCAUUUGAUUUACACAAUUAGCCUUCUGCACAUUUUUGCUCACUGUACAGUCUCUAGCAAGAUGUCCAACUCUGUCACAGUUAUAGCAUUUUGGUUUUCCCUUAUACCUGCACUCACCAAAAUGAUGCUUUGAACACACCUUGCAUUGAGGCUUUGUGUUUUCCUGAUUUGAGAACUGUGUUGAAGUGUGGUUCUGUGCAGAAUAAUUAUUCUGCUGUGUCUUGUCUUUUGCCUCCCAUGACUUCCCUUUAGAGUUCCAGCUUCUCUGUGACUUAGAUGAACCAGACUGAGAAGCAUUUUUGUUCUGACCCUUUGAAUUCACAGUGAAUGAGGCAAAUGCCUUCUCAGCUGUAUCAACACUAUGCAUUUCAAGCCUUUGCUCCCGACUCUUCAAAAUGGCAGUUACUUCCUGCAAAUCCACAGUUUCUAGUGUCUUUGUGUUUUCAAUCACAAUGCAUAUAGGGUCAUACUUCUUACUUAGACUAAUUAACACCUUCUGAACCUACCUCUCAUUUGACAGAACUUCACCAAAUGUUUUCAUUUGGUUAAUCAAUUCAGUUAGUCUAGUAAGAUAUUCAGAUAAGGUUUCACUAUCACGCAUCCUACUGUAUUCAAACUCACGUCUAAGGUUUUGAAGCUUUACCGAUCUAACAUGCUCUCCACCAUGAUAUUCUGAGUACAGCAGAUUCCAAGCCAUCUUUGCAGAGUCAGCAUUGGCAAUUCUGGGAAAAAUCUGAUCAGAAACAGCAUUUUGAAUGAUACCCAAGGCCUUCGCAUCCUUCAUGAGAAUCGCAGCUGUUUUCUCAUCAACUUCUUCUUCUGAACCAUCCUCAGAUUCCUGCUUCGUCUUUGAAUCUGGGAUUAAAAACCCCUUCUCUACCAAACCCCAUAAACCAUAUGAUCUGAAUAUGGUUACCAUCUUAAUCCUCCAAAAUUCAUAGUUCUCACCUGAGAAAAUGGGGAUUCUAGCCUCUGAACUUCCAGAUCCAGCCAUUACGAAUUUCAGAUUCGCCUGGAAACAAGAUGUUUUCAGAUUUGACCCUUGAUCGAGCUCAAUCAGCUUCGUGAGCUUAGAAUGAGCUCACCUCGAUCGAUUUUCUUCACAGAACAACGCCCAGCUUCAGAUAAUCAAACUUGGCUCUGAGGCCAUGUUAGAGUUUUAGGAUCUGAGUGUUAGAUAUUGUGAGAAGAGAGAAGAGAAUUUAGUGAAAAUUUCCAAUACUGCUCUGCUAUACGUGUAGCAGAGAGAACAUUCUCUUUUGCUAUAUAUUUUCAGUACAACAACACACACUUGGUGUGAGAAGAAAAAUGACUGUUAUGCACAGUACCAGCUGGAUGCUUUCCAUCAAAGUAAUCUCAGCCAUUCACUAUCUAACCAAUCAAGCUAUGACACCUGGACUAAGUAUAAAGAAAUACAACUAAGCAGAAAACAAGACUCUUAAUCCUGAAAUCAACUUAAGCACUUAUAAUUCAACAUUGUUACCAUAAGAGCCAGCUCCGACUUUCUUUAAUUUCAGUCCUAACGGGGUUUCAUCUUCCACUCAUCUUUGCUCUUCUCAGUGUAAGCUCUGCAAUUUGAUUAACUUUCCCAUUAUCUCUCACUGUACUCUAUAUAAAGGAAUAAGUGUCGUCCACUAAUUAAUUACACUUUGUGAGAUUUGAUUUUAAUUAGAGUUCGAAUUGAUGUUGCAGCUAGCAGCGGUGGCACUGGCAAACCAUGCUGCUCAACCAGCACCUCAACUUUACUGGAACUCCGUCCUGCCAAACACACAAAUGCCAAGAGCUAUCAGUGAACUUCUGCAUCCUGGUUUGUGUUGAAUAAAUAUAGUAUGUUACUGGAGUACGUAUGGCAACAUAUUCACAAAUGUGUCACGUAUUUUCCAAUAUGACGUUGAUAUAUAAUUGCAGACUCCACAAACGAAGAAAAGAGCACAAAUGUCAUGAAUGCUGUUGGGAAUGGAAAGCCAAUUGACCACAAGGGCAACCUGAAAAUACUGUACUACCACAGCUUGCACGACGCCCAUUUUCUUACAAGAGUGAUGAUCGUCCCACUGACAAUCAACUCCAUUAUAAAAACGUAGCUAUUUUCUUCUUGGAGAAGGACAUGCGCCCUGGCACAACAAUGAGCUUCCAAUUCCCUAGAAAUUCAAACACGGCUACUUUCCUGCCACCAGAAAGAGCUCAAUCGAUCCCCUUCUCCUCUAACAAACUACCAGAAAUUUUCAACCAUUUUUCAGUGAAGCCAACAUCUGUGGAAGCCAAAACAAUUAAGCAAACAAUCGAAGAGUGUGAGGCUCCAGGCAUUAAGGGAGAGGAAAUAUAUUGCGCCACAUCUUUAGAAUCAAUGGUUGAUUUUAGCACUUCGAAUUUUCGAACAAGAAACGUUCAAGCAAUCUCGACAGAGGUAUUGGAAAAAGGUGCCACCAUGUCCAUGCACAAGCAUACAACAAUGCCGGGACUGAAGAAGUUGGCAGGUGACAAAGUCGUUGUGUGUCAUAAGCAGAACUAUCCCUAUGCUGUGUUUUACUGCCAUGUAAUAAAACCAACAGCAGCUUAUGUUCUCUCCCUGAAAGGCGAUGAUGGGGUGAAGAUUAAAGCAGUAGCCAUCUGCCAUCUAGACACAUCAGAAUGGAACCCAAAGCAUUUGGCCUUCCAAAUCCUCAAAGUUAAGCCCGGAACAAUUCCCAUCUGCCAUUUCCUUCCCACUGAUCAUAGUGUCUGGGUUCCGAACCACAAAUCUGCAUGAUCAUCACUUAGCACUGUACGUAUAAUAAGCUUGCACCCCUGUAUAAUUAUCUCCCUACUCUACUUAUUUCUGCCUCUUCAUGUGGUGUAAGAUAUAUGAUGAGAUGAAGUUUUUGGGAUUAGUGGUCGGGUUGCCUUAAAAACACAGAUUACAGAAACUGCUUGAACUUAACCCGAUCAUGUUUUCUCUUGUACUCGUAAAGCAUGCUGUUGUGGUUCUACUUAAUUUCGUUCUCCCCAAUGUUUGAGUGUUUAAUUGUUACGUUGGAUAAUGCUUGUAGUUAGAGAAGCCUUCAUUUAUAUCAAAGUCCUCAACUUGUAAAGAUAUCAAUGGUCCUAGUGCUGCCACGUGUAAGAAGAUUGAAGAAUAAAGCUGUUGAGAUAUUGUUAGACCUGUUAUGCAGUUUAGGAAAACUGUUAGUAUUGAUAAGAGAAGGUUAGAGAUGUUAGAGAGGUUAGAAAACACGUGAACAAGGCUUUAACUCAGCUGAUAUAAAGUCUGUAGUUGUGCUCAGUUGAACUUAAUGAGAAAUACAACAAGUCUCUUCUCUAUCUCUGAAAUUCUCUCUGCUCUCUCUGCUUUACUUCUUUUGUCUCUGCUCUACAUUUUUUUUCAAUCUUCCUAUCUUAACAAAACUAUCAAGAAUUAAUGCAUCCAGAAACAUAUAUACCAAGACGCAAAACAACAUAUUUUUCAUGCUCUGUCUGUAACACCAAAGCAAACUUCCUUUAUCACAAAAGGAUCAAAUUCCAGUACUAAUCUAAUCCAUCAUGUAAAGCAUACAAUCUACAAGUGCCUCCCUUAAUUUGUCCAUUGGAUAUAUAUGUCACUUUUUGGUAAUUUGGUAUAGCAGCACCACGUAGUCUUGAAAUAGUAGUGCGGCUAUACCAAAUAUACCAUUUGCCCCUGCAUUUAACAGAAAAGUAAACAAAAUUGACGGUAGAACUAUUUGUCCUAACGAAACUGCAGUUGAAAGACCAUGAGAACGAUUUUGAAAAUUGAGGGACUCAAAUGAAAAUUGGGUCUAAGUUCAAGAACCAAUAAAACGAUUAACCCAUAGAUUUUGGAUCCAGUACCACAUCCCAAAGAGAAAACCACAAGUUUGCAAGCAAGUUUGUCCAUAAUAACACUACGUACAGUAUGGGCAGUGCGCUAGACUCAUCUCACUUUCUCAACCUAUCCUAUAGUUGUCUAAAAGAGUUUCUAAUUUAAUGUACUGAGAUUUACGAAAGAAAUAUCAGAGAAACAAUUUUCAGGCAAUAAAAAAAUGUCUUGGCAAGAAAAUGUACAAUUUGUUACAUAACUUAUUAAAUAUGAACAGUUGAAAGAAAAAAGAAUCUGGAUGAGGGAUUUGCAAAUUCCUAUGGCCCAAUUACCUUUUUUUCUUUGUUGUUUUUUUUUUUUUUUUUUUGGUUCUUUUGAUCCAGUAGCAUAUUCCAAAGAAUGAAAACCACAGGCAUGCAAUGCAAGCUCUUUUCCCACGUUUUCCUCUGUUUUUCUCCUAUCAUGGAAGUGAUUAAAACACACCUCUAAGCUUGUUUUGCGUUUGGUAGCCGAGUGUAAAAGCUCAAUGCAAGAUAGUUUGAGGUAGAAUUUUCUCCUAUUUUAUUAGGACAAUGAUAAUUAAAAAAAAGUGUGAUUCAUUGAAUAUUUGCGGGGUUUUGUUCAGACCUGACAAAGUUCUAAGUCAACACAUCAAAUUCCUUUUUCCAACAUGCAACAAUUGUAUUUGAUUCCCAAUUUUUUCUGAUAUACAUCACAUCAUGCCACUUGCAUCAAAUGAAUUUAAUUGAGUGAGGCAAUGGGAAGUAAUUAAGCUCUGUAUUCGUGGGUGGAGUGUUACUUCUGGAACCCUAAUAAUUCGUCCCUACAGGACUCUAGAACUCUCAAACUUCUUACAAGGACUACUUAACUCUAUAGCUUAAUGCAUAUAGCAUAUAUAUGCAAACACAAUUAGAAAUUCUACAACAGAAGCAAGAUCAAUCUCACUAUGCCUUCUAAACAAACAAACAAAUAAAACAAGCAUAUUAAUUGCUUUAAUCACUCUACUAACAUCAACACAGCACACUUAGUUUACUAACAGAUGAUAUAGAAAGGAAAAAAAAGGACCAAUAGGGAGAAAAUGGUGAACUAAGGAGAGACUAAUACUUCUGGUCCUUAGAAGGCAUAACAGAAAUAAUAGAGCACACUGCUUGAAUGCAAGUCAGUAUUAGGAGCAAAACAGCUGCAAUGAAAGAAAUAGUUGCCCAAGGUGUAUUGAAAUAAUGUUGCCUCAAAUUUGCCUUCCAUUUGUUCCAAGGCUUUCUGCAGUAGCUAUUAAGGCGCUCAGAAAGAAUAGCAAAGUAGAAGCUUUCACGAUACACUGCAAUUCCUUUUCCGAGGUUGUUAAUCAGAGUGCACACCUCAUUGUAGUCACCAAGCAUAUUUUUGACAAUCCCAUCCUUCAGAAGGAACUCCACAUCCUUUUCGGUGUUCACAAACUCAUCCAUGAGUGAAACAUAAUCACUUAUGUAAUUCUUACGGCAAUGGCACUAUUCAAAGGCAAUGAGGUUACGGAGUGUGAGCUCUGUGUAAUCGUGUAUUUUUAGUUUUGGAAUUUCUAGAAUCCCAUCGUUGAAUUGUGUUAACGCAGCUUUCCUUUCCUAGCCUACACGGAAGUCAACUUCACAAUCUCCUCCUAGCAAUUAGUCUUUCCUGCUGUAAAUCAGAUUUCCUACUGUAAAUCGGAUUGUAUUCAUGUCUAUAUUAUUUCCUACUUUAAGUAGAUAUCUUGUACUAGUAUAAAUAGGGACUUUGUGUAAUCUGUUAAAUACAAGGAAAUAUAUACUCUGCAUGGUAUCAGCCUAACCUAGGGUUCUCUCUCUCUCCCUUAUUCGAUCCUCUUCUCCUUUAGGUCCACCUCAUGGCUUUGUCUGAAUCCACCAUCUCCCUCCCAAGCCCCAACUCUUCUAUUUUAUCAAGCUUAUUGACUCCAACUAUCUUCUUUGGCUCCGCCAACUCAAACCCUUUUUAGUCGGCCAUGACCUCUGGAAAUUUAUCGAUGGCAUUCAUAAACAACCUUCUGCCCACACCUCCACCUCUACCACCGCAACACCCACAACCACCACCACUCUUACCCAAAUCAAUCAUGCCCAUGCUCAGUGGUACCAACAAGACCAACUCAUUGUUAGCUACAUCACCAAUACACUCUCUGAGUCCAUUCUCUUUCUCACUGUUGGUUGCACCUCUGCCCGGGAUCUCUGGGAGUGUCUCCAACGCCACUUCUCUCAAUCCAGUAUGGCCAGUGAAUCUACUCUUCGUUUUAAACUCAUGGAUUUGCAAAAAGGCUCUGAACCCACUUAUGCUUACAUUCGUCAUGCUAAGUCCUUUGCCGAUUCACUGGCUGCCAUCAAUGAACCUGUCUCCCCAAAAGAACUUGUCACUACUGUGCUUUGGGGUUUAAGACCCUAUUGCAACAUCCUCGUCACAGCAAUUCUCAAUUUCCCUCUGCUUCCUAACUUUGCUAAUCUUCGUGCUCGUUUGUUAGCAUUUGACGCACAGACUCCUUGAAUCUCUCCUGAUCAAAACACAGCGCAAAUGGCCACCCAAUCCUCUCCUCACACCACCGGUCAUACUUCCUUCCCUUCUCACCGUGGUGGUGGCUCUUCCAACAACAGGCGUGGUGGCCUCGGUGGCUGGCGCAAUAGCGGCCGGGGUGGCUGGCGCAGCUUCUCAUCUUCCUGGAGCAACCCGUGGAAUGGCUUCCAGCAGCUCCAAUGACCUAAUCAACCAUGGCCUCCUUUUGCUCCAAGUUCUGGAUCUCAAAGCAACUGGCCUUCCUUUCAGCCUCCUUGGGCCUAAUCUGCCGCUUCUAUCAAACACUUUGCCCGGCCCAACUCAGCUCCUGGUGUCUUGGGACCCGCUUGGUGCACUACCUGCAAUACCAAUCACAUACUACUACAAUAUGUCCUCAUCGCUACAAUGGCCCAGAAUCCUUUCUUUGCUAGGGCUCAAUUCAUGUAGCCACCUGACUCUACUUGGUACCCUGACACAAGUACCACUCAUCAUAUGAUUGGUAGUCCUUCUAAUCUCCAAAAUCAAUCCUUCUAAUCUCCAAAAUCAACAGCCAUAUCAGGUUCAUAAUUCUGUAUUUCUUGGUAAUGGAGAUUCUCUCCCUAUCUCUCAUACUAGCUCUCUCUUUUGUCUUCCAUCUCUUCGUACUAAUCUUCUUUUUGUUGCCCAUUUUACUUGUGAUAAUUUAGUUUUCUUUGUCUUUACUCUUGACUUUUAUCAAAUCUAUGACUUAUGUACUGGUUCGUUACUCUUUCAGGGCCCUUCUAAAGAUGGUCUUUACCCACUUUCCAUCUCCUCUCACUCAUCCAUAGUCCCCCAUGCCCUUACCACCGUGCACUCUCCUGCUUGGCAUCAUUGCCUUGGCCAUCCAUUCCAUCGUGUGCUCUCUCAUUUAGCGCCAUCUCUAGGCUUUAAAGUUUCUCAUGCUUUCUGUAAGGAUUGUGCACUUAGCAAAUCCACCAAACUGUCAUUUCUUAGUAAUAAAACCUUUGCCCCAUCUCCCUUUUAUUUAAUUCACUCUGAUGUAUGGAUGUCCUCGGUCAUUUCUGUCACUGGUUAUCGCUAUUAUGUCUUGUUUACAGAUGACUUUUCUCGUUACUCCUGGAUCUAUCAUAUGCACCGUAAAAAUGAGGUCUUUUCUCACUUUCAAACCUUUCUUGCUAUGGUUAAAAAUCAAUUUCACACCACUGUACAAAUUCUUUAAAGUGACAAUGGCACUGAAUAUGUUAAUAAUGCUUUCUCUGAUCUUUGCAGUCAACUAGGCAUCCACCAACGUUUCACAUGUCCCCACACUCCCCAACAAAAUGGCCUAGCUGAACAUAAACACAGACACAUUGCCACCAUGAUCUGUCCCCGGUCAUUUAUUCAACCAUCUUGACCUUUUGCUUGAUCAUUUUCCACAAGCAACCGUCCACGUACCCCAAUAAUUUAAAAGGGCUGAUGAUCUUUAAUUUGGUGAAAGCUUCUAUCUACCUACCGUGCUAUAUAUGAGCUAUGCAAUCGUGACCGUGUUACAUGACGUCCCAAUGUCGUAGGGAUAAAAAAAUAAUAGUCAUGGUUUUCUUAUUAAUGUCAAUACAUUCAUAGCAAAGAGCUUGUAGCUCUAGUGGUUAAGAGCAAUUACCCAUGCACUUGAGAUAUUUUGUGUUUAAAUCCCCUCUUCCCCAAUAUUUCUUGUAUAAAAAUAAAAAUAACAAUAAUAAUGACAUUAAUGUUGUAUUCUAUAAAGUGUUGGACAUGUUUUAUACCCCUUUCUUGCAAAUUACAGUUUGCCACGUGUACAAAAAUAAUAGAUAAGUGUUGGACAUCAAGAGCACUUACAUAUAGGUUUAAUAGGUAAGUUUUGAAUAUUUCUGUAUUUAGCUUUAAAUAUUGAAAAUCAACCUAUUAGCAUAUUAAAGAUUUGUCCAUAUUCGACGUACAUUCUCUUAUUUUUCUCUCAUUGAAGUAAAUACAAAACUAAGCACAUAGUGGGAAAGUGCGUCACGAUUAGGGGUGGGUUUAGUCUAGGUUGGUUCAUUUUUGGGCUCAAUUUGAACACCGAACUGUAAGCUUCGGUUUGGCUAUUUUGGAAACCGAAACCAAACCAUAAUUGAUGAAAACCGACCACUUCGAUUACCUUCUGGUCUUCCAACCAGAAGAAAACUCAAAACUUUAACCAUACCAAGUGCAACAGAAUUACACCAGGCUGGAUUCAAGUUUAUGAUGGUUAAAGAUAAAAACUUAUUUGACAUACAAUUUGAGAAUGGAAUCCUCAAAAUUCCACACCUGCGAAUACGGGGUUUAACAGAAAUUUUCUUCCGCAAUCUUAUUGCCUAUGAGCAGUGUGAGCUUCAUGAUCAUUACAUCAACGACUAUGUCUUCAUCAUGGACCGCCUGGUCGACAGUGCCAGGGAUGUGGAAUUGCUUGUGAAGAGUGGAAUUCUUGAAUCUAUGCUACCGGACAGCGAGGCAGCAGGGGAAUUUAUUAAUUCUCUUGACUUGGGGCCUAUUUUAGGCAAGCUUGAAACAAGACUAUUUCAGUUCACCAUGGGCUGGCCUGUCUAUUAUUGUAGCCGCUAUACUAGUUGUGCUCACAUUUAUUCAAACAGUGUGCUCCGUAAUGGCGCUGUAGGUUCUUCAUUUCCUCAAUUUCAUGUUUAGUGGUUGCAGAUUUGUUGCUCAUGUACGUGUUUAUCUAAAGUUAAAUAAGAGUGAUUGACUGGAUUGACUGUUAGUCUGUUAGUUUGUUUUUCUGGGGUUUUUCCCCCCUGUUCGUCAAAAAAAAAAAUAAAAGAGUGAUGGCUUGUGCCUAUGAAAAUUACUUAGGAGUAUGCUCCACAGAGCCAAAAUAAAUAAACUAGGGAAGUGGAGGUUCUUCUGUUUGUAUAUAAAUGAGCAAUUCAAACUCUCAGUGCCAAGGGAGUUACCCUUGAUACAUUUGUUAAAAAUUAUAUAUUUGGUCUUACAUCAAACAAAUAAUUUGAAGGGCUUUUUUGACAACUGCUGACAGCGUUUGGCAGAAAAGUUUAGAAGCGCUUCUACGCUUCUAGAUCAUAAAAGUGCUUUACCAAAAAGCACUUAGAUUUCUUAUGAAAAUUUCAACAUUUUUAUAAUAAAAGCGCUUGCUAGAAGCACUUAUAAGCAGAAGUGCUUCAUAGAGAAGCAGUCCCAAACGAGCUUGAUUUUCAAAUGUGCUGCUUAAGAAGAAAUUUAAUACGUUUUGAAAACAAAAAAAAAUACGAAAUUUAAUACGUUUGUUUUACAAAUUGUAUUAAUUGUUAUCAAUAAUACUUGUGCACACCCACAACAUACUUCUUUCUUUCUUUAUUUUCCUUCAGUACAGUUCUGCCUUUCUUUAAUUAUUUUUAACGAAUGCAAAGAGUUUGUCACAAAAUCAAGGAUUGAAAAAAAAAGAGAGUAAAUUAUGUGCUAGAGAAACUUUCCUGCAGAAAUUGAAGAACAACUCUAGUUUCUCUCUUUCGCCUUGUACUCCCGCACUGAGGUUAGUAUUGUUAUAAUGUGCAGAUUAUACGGUCACUCUUGUAUAAUGGCGAGAAGGCUCUAAUUAUAUUUUUGAACCUCUUUGACAGGACCCGCCCCGAAUUUCCCGAAACCCAAGACGAAUUCUGUGGAAAUUCCCUACAUCACCCCGAUGUUGGGCCCACUUCUAAAACUAUAUCAUUUUUCCUAAAAAGGAAUAAGGGCACGAGACUUUCUACCGAAAUUUCGGCAGAGUCUCUCCUGUAAAUUGAACAUUUCCCAAAAUUUCAACCUGCAUAAAACACAUUUUAUAUUACCCAACUGGCAGCAUGCACAAAAUAAUAACAUGCAAUUCACAUAAACGGCCUCUGGCCCUCCGGUAAUUCAGAGCAAUGCAAACUAGCAACUCUAAACCUAAUAAAACAACAUAAGUAACAUUUAGCCAGCGGCUGCACCCAGGCACUACCCUAGGCUACCUACGUACCCUUACUAAGGGAUCAAGCCACACGUAGUUCUUUCAUACAAAAUUUCCAAAUCCAUCAACAUGCAAUCAAUUACAGAAUCCCAAACAAAAUCUUUCUCAAACAUCAUUAGUUCCCAACUCAGUAUAAUAAUCCUUAAUUCAUCUCUGUAAUAAUCACAAUAUCUCCCCAUACGCCGGAACUACCAACACCACGUAUGGAGCCUGCCUGUACGCCAGAUAACCAACGACACGUGGGACCUCAUCAUCAUAUCACAUAAUCUCCCCAUACGCCGAAACUACCAACACCACGUAUGGGGUCUGUCAACACGCCGGAUAACCUACGACGUGUGACCUCAACAUCAAAUCACAAUAUCUCCCCAUACACCGGAACUACCUACGCCACGUAUGGGGUCUGUCCACAUGCCGGAUAACCUACGACACGUGGGACCUCAUCAUCAUAUCACAUAAUAUAUUAACGAUCAAGAAAUAUCACUACGGUCAUUUAAUCCUCCUGGGAAGGUAAAACUAUCUCAGGAGACUCACGGUCAACCAAGGGUCAAACUACCUCAUACUUGGACAAACGAGCCCACGGAGCCCACAACCUCCGUUUUACUAUCCAAGAGUUCCUAUAGGUUCUACAAGGUUUAGGAUACACGGCUUGCAAGUUUGGUCAAGAUCAGACGGUCGGAUCGCUCACGAUAGGACGGUUACUGCAAACCUAGCCCUAGGGUUGGCAUUUUCGGAGUAUCCGAAACUCCGUUUUACGAUCUGUCGAAUCAUAGACGAUCCUAAGGAUUUGCAGACUAACUAUAAUAAAUUCAAGACCAUCCAACGGUCUAAACCUAUCGAACCCGGAUAACGCGCAAUAGGCAAUAUCCAAAUUGAAAUCCGAGCACACCUACGCACUCGUGAGGACUAGGAGAUUACAUCGGGACAUAGUGCCCUUUUUCUACAGUGCCCAUGAGCCGCCGCACGCACCAGCAACGCGUGGGUGCCCAAAGCGAUUAUGCAUCGCCAAAAAAUCUCAAAACCACGGCUCAAGACUCCUACCCUAGGUAUAACACCCUAUUUGGAACCACUUUUGUUCUUGGACCUACCCCAAAAACUGAUCAGAAGUGGCCGGAAUGGCUGAAAUGUAAUUCAAAAAUCAAGCUACCAACGCUCAAAAUCGAUGCAAUCCUACCCAACCAUCAACUAGAUUAUGAAGAAUGGAUAAAUUUCCAUACCUUGAUCGCCAACAAUGGCGGCCGGAGGAGAGAGAUCUGAUCCGGCGAAGUUCGAGUGAAAACGGCCAAAAAUCAUCUUUUUCAGGCGGCUGGAGGGCGACCGAUGUCAGGGAAGGGCAGGGUCGUGACGCUAAGGCUGAGCCUGUCCUUUUGGCACCGGUCCCUUCCGCAGCCGUGUCCGGUGGCUGGAGUUUCGAAGAGAGAGAGAGAGAGAGAGAGAGAGAGAGAGAGAGAAAUCUGAUUUUUAUCAAACCUUUUUGCCAAAAUUACGGUUAUGCCACUGAGGGUAUUUUGAUAGUAUCUCUCUCGUUACAACUUCGAUUCGAGCCCACCACGUGUGUACGGACUCAUCUAACUGUGUUGUACGCAACGGUAUAGUCGAAAUUCCCAAAUUAUUUCCUUGUCAAAAAGUCAACUUUAAACAUUAUAAAAUAUUUUAGGGAAAAAAUGGUAUUUUCUCUCAAUAAAUUAGUAACUAAUUUAUUUAGGACUGGGUCAUUAUACUCUUUUUCGCUUCAAUGGAUGGGAAAAAAUUUUAUGUAAUAUCCCACAUCGACCAACGAAGAGGGGGCGAUGUGUCUUAUAUGUACAUGCCCGCCUCCAUCUAGCAUAAGGCCUUUUGGAAGCUCACUGGCUUCAGAGUCAUGGGAACUCCGAAGUUAAGCGAGUUGGGGGCUAGAGCAAUCCCAGGAUGAGUAACCCACUGGGAAGUUGCUCGUGAGCUUCGAGAAACAAAACCGUGAGGGCAGAGAGAGGGGCCCAAAGCGGACAAUAAGGCCUCGUGCUAGAUGGAGGCGGGCAUGUACAUAUAAGGCACAUCACUCUCUCUCCGUUGGUCGAUGUGGAAUGUUAGAAUGGAAUUGUUACCUUUGGUGUGGAGGUGUUCUAUCAUUUGAGCAAGAAAUUCCCACAUAUUCUUCAACUAUUUUUCAAGCAUGCAUAUUCCUCCCUAUCAAUCUUUGGUUUCUUCCUUUACUGUGCAUAGUAAGGAUCCAGUCAGGGACGGACCGUCGCUAUGACUAUCCUGGGCUAUAGCCCAGGCAAAUUAUUUUUUUUUCUAGUCUAAAAUAGCAAUCCCACCGCUUGCUGUAGUACUUGUUCAGUUCGUCACAAACAUGAGCAUAAUAGAAGUUAUCAACAUCUAUAUAGGAACCCCAAUGAAAAGGCUGUUAACUAAUAAUGAAGUUAACCCGUCAAUUUUUCCGCAUAUCAGAUAUCUCUCAGAAUAUGCGAUUCCAUAUUCAAUAAGCCACUCCACAUGCCCUGAGGUUUUCAUCAAACCACCCAUUAAGGAAACAUACUGACUCAUGUAAUUAUCAUUACUCAUCGGGUAAUGCAAUUGUUCAAAGGCAAGGACAUUUCUCAUUAUUUAUGUAGCGAACCCCAAUGGAAAUGGUGGGAUCUUCAGAACCCCAUCGGUGCUACUGAAUUGUAUGUCAAAUAUGUUUUCACCUUGUCACGCCUCAAACUUGACUCCAGCGUGCUGUAAUUCUGUCAAGCUGGGUAUGGAUGAUGGGAGUUUGAUGCAGGAGCAUAGGGGUGGAUCAAGAUAGAUAUUUACUAUUUAAUUAGUUAUUUCAUGAUAUAUUGUUAUUUUCUUAUUUAGGUAGUUUUAUGAUAUCUUUUAUUAUUUAUGUGUGAUUUUAUAAUUAAUUAGUAUACUUUUGGACCAAGUAGCCUUGGUGCUCAAGUCUUGUAAAGCCUAUAAAUAAGGCUAAUGUAAUAGUUGUAGAAUAGAUGUCGAUGAUUAAUAAAAUCGUUUAUUUGUGGCAUGGAUUUGCUACGAUAUAUGUGAGUUUGCACUAGCCCUAGAUUUCAGUGCUCGUGUAUGUGGUUGGUGACCUGUGUCCGGAUCCCGAUCCCCAUCAAUUGGUAUCAGAGCUAUGGCUCAAGAUCUGCUAUAUCGGGGAGGUUUUUGGAUGGAGGGUCGUUUUAACAACUACAACGACAUGGAGGAAAUUAGGAGGAUGCUACGGCAACUUAUGGAACACAUUGCUCGCAUUGAAGCUCGAACCCAGAUAGGUAAGAGUUCUGACGGGGAGGGAUGUGUGAACCCUUAUCUGAACCGAGUAGCUCGCAUCGACACUCUAAGCCGUGAGAGUCUCGACGGGGAGUACGAGGGAGAUAGCCCUUUUCAUUAUUGUGCUCCGCUGUGUGAGUCAAGUGAAGAGGGGCACGGUUAUUCUCAUUGUGUCUUUGAAGGUAUAAAUGAAUUUAGUAAUUUUGGUGCAUCUUGUUAUUCAUCAAAGUUAUUAAAUUUGGAUUUACCUCCAUUAUUUGAUCCUUGCAAUUGUGAAAAUUGCAAUAAAAAUUGUUUGGGUGUUCAAAGCAAUUUUGAUAAGCAAUUUAUUGACCAGAACAGUGAAGAGAUGAGAAUUGAGAAAACUUUCGAAGAUAUUAUUGAUUUUAUGGGCAUUAAUAUUUUCACUUGGAAGGUUGCCAAAAAUCUGGUUGAUUUUGUCAAUCGGUUGAAGAUUCUAGAGAGAAACAUUUGCAUUGCUAGAGGGAGUAAGAAGUCAAGAAUAACGAAAUAUUCCAAAUAUCUUUUUAUUUGGAAAGGAAGGUUUCAAUUGGAUGCUAAAAGAUCCAAAAUUAAUAUGCAGCAAUUGAAGAUUCUACUCGGAUUUUCCUUAAUCAAAGGCUUGAAUUCGAGGACGAAUUCUUUCCAACUAUGGGAGUCUGAUGCAGGAGCAUAGGGGUGGAUCAAGAUAGAUAUUUACUAUUUAAUUUGUUAUUUCAUGAUAUAUUGUUAUUUUCUUAUUUAGGUAGUUUUAUGAUAUCUUUUAUUAUUUAUGUGUGAUUUUAUAAUUAAUUAGUUUACUUUUGGACCAAGUAGCCUUGGUGCUCAAGUCUUGUAAAGCCUAUAAAUAAGGCUAAUGUAAUAGUUGUAGAAUAGAUGUCGAUGAUUAAUAAAAUCGUUUAUUUGUGGCAUGGAUUUGCUACAAUAUAUGUGAGUUUGCACUAACCCUUGAUUUCGGUGCUCGUGUAUGUGGUUGGUGACCUGUGUCCGGAUCCCGAUCCCCAUCAGAGUUCCCCUCCAGCUUUUGAUUCCAACGGUUGAUAGAGUUUAAAUAUUUUCCUGAAAAGAUCAAUAAUAUGUGCCACUGAUCUAAAAGUCUCCAAAUUGUCUUCCAAUUUGUCAACAGGCAAUAGAUGUUCGAAGAAACUGAAAGAAAUACAAAUUAUUGAAAGCCCCUCAGUAAUGCUGUUAUUGUCAGCAUUAGCAGGGAGUGUAAUUUUCUGUGGGUCGAAAAGAUCCUCGAGAAUGAAGAAUGGCAACUGAUUUUCAAGCAACCACGUAUCUGUCCAUGCAUCUUGCAACAUACCUGGUUUGUCAAAUAUGCGGUCAUUUUCGUCCCAAAAUUUGAAGUAGUCCUUCAAUAAGGGCUCAAUAACGAAGGCGGCGCCCACUAGAAUGAUUGUUACAAAUUCAUCACUGCUAAACUUGAUGGGUUCUCCAUAACAACGUCUCAAUCUUGCUUCGUGGUCCUUUAUUUUCUUAAUAUAAUCCUCCAAACUCACAUUGGUCCGACCUAUAAAAUCUUGCAGGUAUCUCUGUUUGUUCUCUUCCAAUACGACAUUCAAGCCUUCCUUUCCAUGGUGAAGUGGACCUAUAGAGACCGACUGCCUGAGGUGUGCAGAGCUUUUCAUUCACACAUACGUAGAUAAAAUGUCUGGGGGCUCAGAGAGUGAUGAAUGUGCAACAGCUAAUGGGAGGGUUUAUAUUCCUGAAGUAAGAAAUGAGGAAACACCAGCAGUUGGGAUGAAGUUUGACUCGCUUGACCUCGUUUACAAUUUCUAUAAUAGAUAUGCAUUCUUGGCUGGCUUUGGUAUUCGACUUCAUUCUAGCUUUUGGGGGAAAAAUAAGAAAGAGAUUUUGAGGAAAGAAUUUGUAUGUUGCAAACAAGGUGCAUACAAGAAGGAUGAAACUCGGGAGAGAAAAAGACAACGGGGAAUAAGUAGAUGCAAUUGCAAAGCAAAGAUUGUGGUUGUGAAGACAAAUGGGAGCAAGAAGUAUACCAUUUCUCUUUUUGCAGAGGGACACAAUCAUAAGAUGACACCCUCAGAAAGAAUGCAUUUAUUGAGAUCACACCGUCAUAUUUCAGAUUCUACAAAAGUACUCACAAAACAGUUGGGUUCAGUUAAUAUUCCCAUUCAUCAGAAGGUAAGUAUAUUCGAGGUGCAAUCCGGAGGAAUGGAUAAAAUCGGUUUUAUCAAAAAAGAUAUCUACAAUCUUGAAUGUAGUGUGAAUGGGAAGCUGAGGAACCACGAUGUUGAACUAGUGACCGAGUAUUUUAUGGCUGAACAGAAAAAAAAUGAGGCUUUUUAUUUCAAGAUUGAGGGAGAUGGGCAUGACAGGUUUAGUCGAUGUUUUUGGGCAGAUGCAACUUCUAGACGGGCGUAUGGGUUUUAUGGAGAUGUUGUUGUAUUCGAUACCACAUUCAACACGAAUCGAUACGACUUGACAUUUGCACCAAUGUUGGGAGUUAAUAACCAUGGUCAGACAAUUGUCUUAGCAUGCGCAUUUUUGAGCAAGGAAACGACUGAGUCGUUUGUUUGGAUGUUUGAGGAGUUUAAGAAAGCCAUGCCAGGUGGGGAACCUAAAACGAUCAUUACAGAUCAAGAUGCGGCAAUGGCCAUAGCGAUUUCAAUAGCCUUCCCGAGUACAUUUCAUCGACUUUGCAUAUGGCACAUCACAUCAAAGUUCUCUGUUAAGUUACCACGUGACGCUUAUAAGGAGUAUUGGCCUGAAUUUCAGAAAGCCAUAUGGGAUACUGACAAUAAGGAUGAGUUUGAUGCAAAAUGGAAUAUUGUGGUUAUAAAGGCUGGUUUGACUGACCAUCCAUGGCUAAGUUCAAUGUUUGAUUUAAGGGAAUCUUGGGUUCCAGCCUACGCACGACAAUUUUUUGCCGCUGGAAUGUCAAGCAGCCAAAGAGCGGAAGGUUCUCAUGGUUUUUUCAAGCAAUACAUAUCAAGGAGAAAUUCGUUGAUGGAUUUCAUAAUACGAUUUGAGAGGGCAUUUUCUCAUCAACGUGAAAAAGAGUUAGUUGCUGAUCACGUAGAUGCAUUUGAAGUGGCUCAAUGUCUUCUACCGAUGCCAAUGAACAAACAAAUGGCUACCUUGUACACAAGGACAAUGUUUCAAAAGUUUGAGCAAGAACUAAUACAAAGUACAGCAUGUUUCCUAGAGCUCAAAACAGAGGAUGCAUGUAAAGUUGUGUUCAACGUGAGCGAAAGGAAAAAUUGGGAAACAAGAGUGGCAGAAGUCGUAUAUGUCAAAGAUUCUGACCACGCAUCGUGUAGCUGCAAAAGAUUUGAAUUUGUUGGAAUUAUUUGCAAGCACAUCCUAGCAUUGUUCAGAAGGGACCAGAUUGAAUAUAUGCCCGAUAAAUAUAUUUUGAAGAGGUGGAAGAAAACUGCGAAAUGUGGAUUGGUGUCAGAUGCAAAUGGCAACGAAAUUAAAGACUGUGCAGAUCCUGGCCUUCUAAUAAAGCGGAGUACAAUGUCUCGACUUGCUUCAAAUGUGGUUGAGGAUGCAUUAAUGAGUGAAGAAGGAUGUGAGCUACUGUCAGAGACUCUAAAAAGUUUGCAGGUGAAGUUGAAGUUGCUGAAGGAUGGACCAAGUAAUAACGAAGUUGGAGGGUCCAGCUCUCAAACACAAUAUAUGAAAGACCCUAAGAGAGUGAGGUGCAAAGGAAGGUCGAAAGGAAUAACGGGAGCAAAGGAAAAGGCAAUGAAGCGAGGGAUUAGACACUGUCGGGAGUGUGGACACAUUGGUCAUGAUAGAAGACAAUGCCCAGCCUUGAACACACCGUAAGAUGCUACCACUAUUUGUAAUAAUAUCUAAAAUAUGAAAAGGUAAAAUUUUUAUGUGCUUGUGUUUGAUGUUUAUGCAGGACAUCACCGUCGAACAAUGACAAAUCAACUCCAAUACAUCGUAGUGACCCAUUAUUCGACGAUUUUGACAAGAUGCACAGACCAACUGAAUGAUUGAUAUUUGUAUUAGACGAAAUGUGGUUGUUAUGAAGAUUAAUGAUCAAGUGAAGUUUUAUAGAUUCAGUUUUUGAAUGUUAUUGUGUUUUUGUUCAUGUCCACCGAUGAGCUCUUACUAUGUCCACUGGUAAUUGAAAUGAAAAUUUUCUUGGUUUCAUUCUUCCAAGACAUUUGGAGACAUGUUAAUUUUACGUCUUCUCCCUAUUUAUAAAUUUUCAUAGACAUUUGAUCAAGUUUGAAAUUUGUAGUUAUGUGAAGAAGCAAUGACUCUUACCAUGUAAAAUGGGCAGUUUAGGGUGAAAUUUGUUUUAACAGAGAUUCAUUUUUCAAUUCCUCAGGGUAAUGCAGCAAUUACAGCAGCCAGCUGUUGUUUCCAUUACCAGUAAUCAUUUCCAGCAGCAGCCACUUUUUCCGACUGGUUAUUAGGGGCACGAUUUUGUACACUUUUGUAAGUGAAGGAUACUCGAAGCACUUUGUUGGAACAGAGCAAAUAGAAACCAGCGGGUAAAAAAAAAACAUAACAUUGCAGCUAAUUACAUUUCGAUACAUAGGUGAAAAAUAUUAAAGGGUACACUAACUUACAUAAAUACUCAUAAUUCCACACACAAAAGAACAUUUGAUUGCAAAACAUAUUAUGUGCUUCCUCAUAGCAAUACCACGAUCUCCCCAACCAACUGAACAACGGUAGCCACAAUCACUGGGUCGUACUCGUCAGCUUCUUCUUAGCAGGUCUCACAUGCUUAUGGCCACUCAUAUCCCUAGUGAUAUACACGAAAUAAAUCUUCAGCAAUAUUUGGAAUUUUAUUAUAUAUAAAUAAACCAUAAACCAUUCAGUAAACAAUGUAUAGCACAUGUUAUGUAACUUAUGACUCACGUGUCAGUUUUUUUUUUAACACAUUAGUACUCCAGCUCUUUAAUGUAAAUGGACAUGAUAAGGAGCAUUUACUGAUUCCCGGCUUUCUAUGAUAUUGACUGCUUCUUGAAUAAUAUUUCCAUAUUUGCAAAAUAUAAUGUUAGACAUUAUAACACAUGAUGACUUGCAAUACAUAGUCCCAAUAAUUAUAUAUCAAGCAAAUGAAACUGAUAUUUGUGUUAUUUUAAGUUAGAUAAUGACAUUAAGGGAGUAUAUGUGCAAUACCACGGUCACCCUCAACCAACUGAACAGCGGUAGCCGCAAUCACUUAGUCGUAUCGGUCGGCUUCUUCCGAGCAGCUUUGACGUGCUUAUGCUCAUUCAUGUCACCCCCAUCGUCUAGUAUCUCUCUCACAGCAUCAGGGGACACAUAGUUCCAAUCAUAACUUGUAUGAGUAGUUGCCGCAAAUGCUCGGAAUUUGUCGAAUCCUUCGUUGAAUGCCAACUCCAGUUCAGUAUGGUGCUCUUCGCAUCGCAUAUGGUUCAUCAAACAACCUUUGAUUUCAUCAUUCAUUACUGUAUCCAACUCCUCAGCUUUCAGCUUCCUGCUAUGACUCAGCUUCAAGUACUUGUUCUUUUGGGAUAACGCUUUGUUCACCCUAAUGUUAAGAUCAGCCAAAAUUGCCUCGUCUUCAACACAUUUCUCGUGCCAUGAAUUGAUCAGUCUGGAAUUAUAAUCCAGCUUGCCACUGACUGCAUGUAUUGCCUGUAAUGGAUCAUCGGAGUCCCCCUCACUCCCAAAUGAUGUUGAAAAAGGAAGGGGUCGGCGAGUACAAUGUGGAAAUAGAACCUGCCACUCCAAUUUGUCAUCUUCGAUUGUGUUGUUGGCGCCUGAAGAGGUUGACAUGCUUGAAUAAUCCUCUUUGUUUUGGGAGGAUGAGGAUUGCAUAUGCAAUUUCGUUUGAGAAAGGGAACAUAGGUUUAUAGACCAACAUACCAAAGCUUGUGUGUAGUCAACAUAUGUACUUUUUGGCGGGAAUUUUUUAAAAAUAGGUGUUAGGUUUUGCUUUUCAAGCAUGUCAACCUCACACUCUCCUGACACCACUGCUAGUGGUUGAAACAAAGUCAAUGGAAGUGACAUCUACUUAGUUAACUCAACCAAACUAGUUAGGAUUAAACUUAGAUUGUAUCAGACCAAAAAAUAAUUUCUACUUUGUCAACCAAAUAUUUUUUGGCGGGAACCCUUUUCUUGGUAUUACUAUCACCCCUUUCAUAUAAAAUCUCCUUCCACACAAAACUCACUCCUCCACCGAAUCUGUCUCCAUCUACCGAUACUCUCUCAAGCAAACAAACUCAUUCCCCCCAAAGAAUGAGCAUAAGCACAACCAAGUUUGAUGUGAGCAUAAUAAACACCCCUCCAAACAAAGACCGGCUUCGACACGCAAGUGAGUCACCGGACAAGCAAUGUCACAUUGCUAGACAGAAUGACCAUUUUGUUGGAAGUUUUGAGUCUGAAAGAGUUGUUGCUUUUUGGAAGGAGAGGCAUCUUCAACUUGGUGAUGAAAUCCAAAGGGCAAGGGCACGUUUGGAAUUUGUGGAAGGCCAAAUUGAAGAUGACAAAAGGCAGGCCAAUCUGGAUAGGGCGAAGUUGUAGCGCAUGAAGCGUAGACACAAACGACUUCGGAGUGUAGCUGUUCAAAAAUACAAGAACUCAUCUAAUGUAGUGGAGUCAAAGAAGCGUGUGAUGCAAGCUGGAUUCGACUACUUCCGAUCCUAUGCAAAACUCGUCGUACCCGGGUUUGAUUGGUCAUCUAUUACCGUUUCCGACGUCACCAAAUAUACUCAGCAAGGGAAGUAACCAUUUUGGUUCUCGUGUUUUAGCAGAGGCAAAUAAGUGGAAUUGGAAUUUUGGUUACACUCUGCUUCAAAGCUAUUUUGAUGCUAACUACUAUGGAAGAUUUAAACCUUAAUAUUUUGAUGUCUUUAAUUACGAAAACAGAAGAUGCAAAGAGCUCAUCUACUUCAGCCAUAUGUUGCUGCCAUGUCCAUUUGUUUUUGAUCACUUAUCAGAUUUGGACAUGGUUGCAUCAUAUGCAAUGUUGCCUUUAUUUAUUAUAUGUUAGGACAAGGUUUAUGGAAAAGCUUUUGUGAGUGCGUUUGUGACAAGGUUAUGGAAUUAUUAUGUACACUUUAUAUAUUGUUUUUUGUACUGGUUCAUUUCCUACUAUUUCUUGCUUUCUUUAUAUUUUAUGUUUGUGGAAUCCCUCUCAAAGUUAACAUAUACUGUGAAAAAAAUAUUAUGCAACUGAUUAUAUAAUCACUCAUAUAGACUAGGACAAAUAUUCACUAAGGGUUUUAAACUUGCUUCACUUGUGUGAUGUUAUUGACAAAAAGUAUGGCAUUAUUUAUGUGAUUUGACAUGAUUGAAAAUAUAUUACUGAUUCCCAAUGCGGCGUCAUAUGGACAACGUAUUGAAUACCUGUGACGUGUUAAUAACUCAAGGUGCAGUUGCAUGUGGACAACUUCUUGAAUACCUCUGACGUGUUGAAAACUCUAGGUGCAGUUGCAUGUGGACAACUUAUUGAAUACGAACUGACGUCUUCAAAGCUCUAGGCGUAGUUGCAAUGAUGGCUUCAAAGCAUGUGCAAUUAUUUUUUAUGUACAUUAUUAUAACAAAACAUAUUAUUGUAUAUAGUGAAACUAAAUAUUGUAUUAUUAGAAAUUAUAUUUCGAAUAUUAUCCGAAAUAUACGUGUUAACGUGAAUUUGGGUUAAGAGGAAAGUGAGUUAUGUACAAAUAAUUUUCAUUUUCUCAUUUUCCGGGCAUUUUUUGGAUUUUCGUAGAAUUUAUUACCUAUGUCCACAGAUUGUUGCACUAAAAAAGCCAAAAUAAUAGCAAGAGGACACCUGGAGCGAUCUCAGCCCGUCACUGAUGACUACUUGCACAAGUGUACGUCAGUCAACAUGGCCACACCCUCCCAUUUUACCCUAAAUUAUUAUUUUAUUACUUUUCCUUACAAAAAUCAGAACUAAUUACACACAAAAUAAAAAAAUUAUCCGAAAAUUGCUACGAACUCAUUGACACUCCAUCUCCGUUGCUGAAUUCUCCGAUUCAUUGUUACGUAUUUGUAAAAUUAAUUCCCAACAUUAACGGGAGAUGCUUGUUGAAGUAGGUUAUUCAAGUUGAAGUUAACAAACAUCAAUACUUAGGGUUAAGAGGAAAGUGAGUUAUGUAACACAAUUUGGAUUAUUUCAUUGCGAGACGAAUGAUUUAUAGGUUCUCCUAGUUUUAUGACGUCACAAGUAGGCCGGAGUAAUUUUUGGGGCAUUUUUACGAUUUUCCUACUAUUUUUUACCUAGUUUCAAAGAUUUUUGAACAAAAGAAUCCAAAAUGUAAAAGAAGAUGACACCUGGCGCGAUCUCAGCCCGUCACUUUUCACUACUUGCACAAGUGUACGUCAGUCAACAUGGCCACAUCCUCUCAUUUUACCCUAAAUUAUUAUUUUAUUACGUUUUGUCUUGGAAAAUUCAUAACUAAAUACACAAAAAUUCAAAAUUAUUUCUGAAAAUUGCUACGAACUCAUUGACACUCCAUCUCCGUUGCUGAAUUCUCCGAUUCAUUGUUACGCAUUUUUAAAAUUAAUUCCCAACAUUAACGGGAGAUGCUUGUUGAAGUAGGUUAUUCAAGUUGAAGUUAACAAACAUCAAUACUUAGGGUUAAGAGGAAAGUGAGUUAUGUAACACAAUUUGGAUUAUUUCAUUGUGAGACGAAUGAUUUAUAGGUUCUCCUAGUUUUAUGACGUCACAAGUAGGCCGGAGUAAUUUUUGGGCCAUUUUUACGAUUUUCCUACUAUUUAUUACCUAGUUUCAAAGAUUUUUGAACAAAAGAAUCCAAAAUUAACAAGAAUAUGACACCUGGCGCGAUCUCAGCCAGUCACUUUUGACUACUUGCACAAGUGUACGUUACCGAACAUGGCCACAUCCUCCCAUUUUACCCUAAAUUAUUAUUUUAUUACCUUUUUUCUUGGAAAAUUCAUAACUAAAUACACAAAAAUUAGAAAAACGAUCCGAAAAUUUCUACGAACUUAUUGCGAUUUCAUCUUCCUACUGCAUUCCCUGUUUAAUGGUUAUGCUACAUUAGUAUUUUAUUAUUAUUUAUCCACAAUUAUUAUAAUUAUUAUGAUAUUACUUUUUAGGCUGUCCAUUUGUUAAUUAUACCACAUCCAACUUGUUGAAAACAAUUUUAUUUUCCGUGCGAAUAGGCCAUUUGUAGUGCUUAUCGGUUUCUCUGUUCUUCAAUUUGUUAAUUUUUUUAUUUUUUAGGUUGAAGGGAUGUUUUGAAACAUAAUAUGGAAAUAUACAAGUCAUCCAUUGUACUCCUUCCACACAAAAAAAUAGUCUACGUCAUUCACUGUUCAACACCCUAGGUUAAGACACGUGUAACCAAAUCCGUUCGGAUAUGCUAAGUGGGAAAAUGUCAUUCCCAAGCACUGGUGAAAAGACACUUAUUUACUCCAUGCAUGACUUUUGGUUUACCAAAUAUGAAGAUUGGGGUCGGUGAGCAAAAUAUCUGUGUCAGUAAAAUGUCAUUCCUAGCCAUCUAUGAUGUAAGUAAUAAUUCCGCUAUAUAAUAAAUAUUAUACAUUUAUAUAUAAAACGGUUUAUGACAAAAUACCAACAUUUGAACAACAUUUAAACUGAGAUAGGUAUAACGUAGCCAGCCAACCUAGAAGUGAAGAGAAGCAAGUCCACAAUGCAUCAAAACUGUAAAUUCGUACUAAAACUAAUGCAAAAAUACGUGAUUCCCUCGCACAACUUACUCACGCAGGAUUUUGCACCAAAAAAUACUCUCACGGUGCCAUUUGCAUCGGUUGCAGCAAGUCCAAAACGCAGGAUUUAUCUUGUCUUCACUAGGCCACCCUGGAAUAACAAAAUACCAUUCAUUGUUGUUACAAGCGCUGCACCGAUUGAACUUAAUCUUCCCAUAGUCAAACAUAUCUACGAUAUGUCUUGCAACAAAUGCUCCGCGACAUCUUCCUGUUAAAGCAUCCCUGGUUCCUUUCAUAUCAAUGUUGUUACGUUGAUUCAAAGAACACAAGAAUUGUAAUGCAUCCUCUUUUGACUGACCAAUUCCGGACAUACCAAGUAGUCCAACUACAUAUGCCGCUUCCAUAUGGCCUGCCGUGGCUGCAAUGCGCAUCCCAUACAACGCUUCCACCUUACCGUCUGUGAAAAAACCUUCGAAUGCUUCUCUAAAUAUGGACUCAGGGUUAUCGCAAGCCCUGCAUUGUUGCAAGAAAUGCUGGACUGCAGGUUUGGCACGGUAGCAGAUAGGAUGGUGUGGGUACUUUGCCAUUGAAAUGGUGUUCCACACUUGUGGACUGUUUGCCAAAAUGUUGAACAAUCGGCACACACAUGCCAUACGGAAGAGAUCUUCCGAUGAUUCGGUUGCCACGUAUAACAUCACUUGAAACCAAGCGGACUCCGGGAUAAAGGCUUCGGGCAUAUCGAAAUGGAGAUGCUUCCUUCUCUUUCCUCCGACUGUAGUGAAGUGUUUCGAAUUCAUUGAAAAGUUUUUGGAAUGGAACGAUUUGAGGAGUGGCAGAGGGGAUAAAUGAUAAUAUUUGGGGUACACGUUCUACUUCCGAGCCUCUGUUUAUAGUGUUUUGAAAAGGUGUUUCCAGUUGGGGUUUUUCCAAGUUGACCCUUUUGAAAGAAACUGAAUCCAAGUGAAUUAAAACUUAAGACAAAAGAAGGGAAAACGUCAUAACGGUGCAUACAGAGUCAGACAGUUAAAAAGUUAAUUAAAUGGCUAUUUGCAUAGCCAUUUUUGGGUUUAUCCCACUAUCAAAUUCAUUGAUACAAAUGUGAUGGAUUACUGACUAGUGACAGAAGGUCCCAUCAUAUACUUUUUCAUUUUCGCACACCCAACUAUCCCUAGUAAUGUUAUUAAAAUGGAACCAAUAAUGACGGAUUCUUAUCCAACUAGUUGCCUUAAUGAAAUAUAAAUAAAUUAAUAAAAUUGAAGCAGUGUCCCGUCAUUAGUCAGAAAAUAUAUUUGGUAGUGAAGUAGUUUCUAUUGCUUUUCGGGCUAAAAGAUGUCACAAUGCUGACGGUACAGGUGUCGACAUCGUGACCAACCCACCAAAUGAUCCCAAAAAAAAGUAAUAUAACUCGAUUUGGGCAGAGAUGAGAGAGAGCUGAGUGACAAGUUUAGGGUUAUGAGUGAAGGGGUAUGAAUGACAACUAUGAGUGAGAAGGUAUGAGUCCGAAGAGGUUUCAGUGAGAAGAUUUGAGUGAGAAGAGGUACAACUGAGAAGAUUCAACAUGUCUUCGUCUUCAUCUCCUGCUCAAACAAAGAGGUGUCAGUAUUGUGGAGCUACAAUGGUGCUUCGGGUUUCAAAAUCUGAAAAAAAAUCGAGGGAAGCCAUUCUGGAAGUGUCUAACCUCCUAUGUAAGUUUUAAUUUAAAGAAUAUGUAUGUGGGUGAAAAAAAACCUAUGUCUAACUCUGACAGAAUUAUAUUCCAUAUAUGAUGCCUGCAAUUAGGGAGCCACCAGUUGCAAUGGAUUCGAAUGGGUUGAUGUAACCUCCGCUGAAGCAGAACAUCAAGAUGACACGUAUGAUGUUAGAGUGCUGAACAUGCUGAAGUCCAUUAAGGACUUGGUAUUAGUUUUAUUAGUUGUAUUAAUUGUCAUUUUAUUUGUUCUUUUAAUGAUCAUUUAACUGCACGGUUUAAAAGAUUGUGAAAGUUCUCUCGCACAAGACAUAUUGCACGCACCACCAAUGAGACCCUAAACCCAUUUUGUAAUAUUUGGUAACUGCAUGUAUUUCGCAUGUUAUUGAAUGUUUAUUGAAGGUUUAUUGAUAGUUUGCUGCAUGUAUAUGGAAUAUCAUUGCCCCAAAAUUGGAUGUUUAUUGGGGCCACAAGUAUCACUCAAGUAAGAAUGAAGGGGAGAAACGGACCUUAUUCUUUCUUAUAGUAGGAAGAACAACUGUUAAGUUUAAUAUCCUAUUCAAUACGACUUCCCUAUGGUUGGUGUACUUGGGGACUGAAGUAUAUUGCAUCAUUAUUGUGGGCAAGGGCAUGUCUAUUGUGUGUGUUAAGGGAGUAUUGUGUGGGCAAGGGCAUGUCUACUGUGUGUAUAUUGCAUGUCUACUGUGUGUAUAUUGCAUAUCUAUUCUCUGUAUAUGGCAGGCCAAGUUUGUGUAUAUUGUUUGUCUGUUGUGUGUGUAUUGCUUGUCGGUGCGUUUGUGAAUUGUGGUUCAUUUUGUGUAUAUUGUCUUUGUUUCUACUUUUAUGCUACUGAGCUGCGGAAAACCUCGCAUGUUUAGACACCUAUUAUGAUGCAACACAUUGCGAUUAAUGGUGGCUUGCAUCAACAAUGACAUAUCACUUUGCAAUGAUGUAAUACACUUAAAAAGCCGUCUUCAAAUCCCAAUUCACAUAUGCAGUCUUAAAAUUCUAAUUCAAUGCAGUUUGGUUAACAAACAUGUAAAUGUCAUGAAGGAGUUAGCGGUAGAAUUCGAUAAGGACCCGUACGUCUCUAUUGUGUAUUUACAUUAGUUUGAGAAUGGACAUUCCCAAAACCUUCUCAUGUACCAUUUGUCAUCUUCAACCAAUAUCAUGGGAAGUAAGCAUCUCCCCUUGUUAUCUCCGCAGCCAAUUUCAACCGAAAAAAAGGCAUGUUGUGCGAGGUGCAAGUAGCUAACGGAAGCUUAGCGCUGAAAAGCUCAAUGUACUUUAACACAAACAUGCCACAAUCGCCUCUGAAGCAAAACAAGAACUCGAUCAAUUCAACUAAUGACAUUCUAAUGUAAUUGACAAUUGAAAGUAAUAAAAUUAAAUUGCAAGUUGUGCUUACUCAUUAGACUGUUGUGGAACAUCCACACGCUCUAUUGGCCACGGACACCACCAAUCUCGGCUGCAAUUGUUUGCAUAAACACCUUCUUCAUAAAAGUCGAUGGUGUUGAGAAGAUUUGGAAGCGUAAUUGAUAGCGGGCCGAGUUCUUCCUUUACGAUGUCAUCUGGAAUUAGUGAAACCUUUGAAUCGUACACUUUGAUUCACACAAUACCAGAUCAAACANNNNNNNNNNNNNNNNNNNNNNNNNNNNNNNNNNNNNNNNNNNNNNNNNNNNNNNNNNNNNNNNNNNNNNNNNNNNNNNNNNNNNNNNNNNNNNNNNNNNNNNNNNNNNNNNNNNNNNNNNNNNNNNNNNNNNNNNNNNNNNNNNNNNNNNNNNNNNNNNNNNNNNNNNNNNNNNNNNNNNNNNNNNNNNNNNNNNNNNNNNNNNNNNNNNNNNNNNNNNNNNNNNNNNNNNNNNNNNNNNNNNNNNNNNNNNNNNNNNNNNNNNNNNNNNNNNNNNNNNNNNNNNNNNNNNNNNNNNNNNNNNNNNNNNNNNNNNNNNNNNNNNNNNNNNNNNNNNNNNNNNNNNNNNNNNNNNNNNNNNNNNNNNNNNNNNNNNNNNNNNNNNNNNNNNNNNNNNNNNNNNNNNNNNNNNNNNNNNNNNNNNNNNNNNNNNNNNNNNNNNNNNNNNNNNNNNNNNNNNNNNNNNNNNNNNNNNNNNNNNNNNNNNNNNNNNNNNNNNNNNNNNNNNNNNNNNNNNNNNNNNNNNNNNNNNNNNNNNNNNNNNNNNNNNNNNNNNNNNNNNNNNNNNNNNNNNNNNNNNNNNNNNNNNNNNNNNNNNNNNNNNNNNNNNNNNNNNNNNNNNNNNNNNNNNNNNNNNNNNNNNNNNNNNNNNNNNNNNNNNNNNNNNNNNNNNNNNNNNNNNNNNNNNNNNNNNNNNNNNNNNNNNNNNNNNNNNNNNNNNNNNNNNNNNNNNNNNNNNNNNNNNNNNNNNNNNNNNNNNNNNNNNNNNNNNNNNNNNNNNNNNNNNNNNNNNNNNNNNNNNNNNNNNNNNNNNNNNNNNNNNNNNNNNNNNNNNNNNNNNNNNNNNNNNNNNNNNNNNNNNNNNNNNNNNNNNNNNNNNNNNNNNNNNNNNNNNNNNNNNNNNNNNNNNNNNNNNNNNNNNNNNNNNNNNNNNNNNNNNNNNNNNNNNNNNNNNNNNNNNNNNNNNNNNNNNNNNNNNNNNNNNNNNNNNNNNNNNNNNNNNNNNNNNNNNNNNNNNNNNNNNNNNNNNNNNNNNNNNNNNNNNNNNNNNNNNNNNNNNNNNNNNNNNNNNNNNNNNNNNNNNNNNNNNNNNNNNNNNNNNNNNNNNNNNNNNNNNNNNNNNNNNNNNNNNNNNNNNNNNNNNNNNNNNNNNNNNNNNNNNNNNNNNNNNNNNNNNNNNNNNNNNNNNNNNNNNNNUUUUCCUCUCCCUCAUCUCUAUUAUUUGGCCCUUCACCCCCUUCAAUCCCUUCAUCUUCUUUUUCCUCUCCCUCAUUUCUGUUACUUGGCCCUUCAUCCCAUUGAAUGUCAUCCAUUUCCCCAUAUCCCUUAAAUAGAUGUGAGACGACACAACGAUUCGUCCUCUGUUUCAGUAAAGCUAGGUCCCUCCUUACUUCCUGCUCAAACUGAGGACCUAAACAUUGGUCCAAUAGUUUUUCCAUCCGUAUGACCUUUAAGUGAAGGACGUCUUUUUCCCGCUUUUCUUGAAACAACUCGGACCUCAACAAGCUUACCACCUUGUUCAACUCAUCAAGAUCACCACAUGAAGAAGGAAUUGACUCUGCCGAGACAACAGCAGGGCGAUCCUGUGGCCAACUCCAAUAUGGCUGUCUCAUUUCCUCUUCACUUAGACAUAGCGCCCGCAACUGAACUGACUGUUUCAGAAUACAGACAAGAGUCAUAUUAAAUCAUUCUACUUCAUAAUUUCAUUCAAUCUUAUCAAUAGUUCUAAGGGCUGCAAACCAAACCUCUUUGCUCUGGAAAAAAUAAUUGUUCAACUUUCUCAUCUCUGGAACAGACGUAGUAGUUCUCCAUCGCAAAAUACGCGGGACAGCGGUCGGAUCAACAACCUUGCAGUAAUUCAGGUCCGCCAUUCUAGGAAUUAAUUCAUAUACCCAAAUCUACACAAUUCACAGGACAAAAGUCAUUAUUUAUGUUUUAAAGAAAAACAAAACAUAACUGACAUGAACAUUAUUACCAUGUACCUGGAAAGCAUACGUGAAACCUUUAAAACUCCAGCCACUCCUUUGCGCUUCACUAUGCUUAUCCUUCUUGCCCUUCUCAUUUCUCCGGCUUGUUCCCGUUACCUUACUUUUCCCCUUCCCUCUUCCCUCUUCAUUUUCCAAGCUUUUCACAUACUUUGUUGGUGCAGAAAAUAGACUGUCUUGGGUUUUGUCAAAGGACACCGAACCCCACGGAUACCUGUUGAACGCAUCCAAGUCCUCUACAAGGGUCAGGUAAUUUAGAUUGAUGUUCAAAUGUUUGUCCCUUCCCAAAACCACUAACUCAGCAAAGUAAACAAGAGGUAGCUUGAAGAUGUCAUCUUCCUCUGUGCACCUCACAAAUGCUUCUUCUAAAGCAUUGCAUGUAAUUCCUUCGUCUAUAAAAUAUCUUUUCUGAAGUCUGAUUUCAUUACUCUCUCCACUGGAAACUUCAGGCACUUCCCCAAAACGAAGCCCUGUGAUCAAACAGAAAUCCUGACGAGUGAACUGAGCAACGUCACACCCUAAUAAGAAACUCAGUCCAUCCAAGUCUUUCACACCCUGCCCCGCUACUCUACGCAACACAACCCCAUGCACAAUCUGUCCGCUAAACUGAAUCUUAUCUAUAUUCAGAAGAUGGCCAAAGCAUGAUGUCUUGAAUUGUUCUAAUUGUUCCGCACUCAACUUCGCUCGAAUUGCAGCUAGAGAUGAAUUUGCAUGUGAGCAGUUGUUCACCCGUGAUGAAUAUACCUCUGCCUCUGGCCAUACCAGCUCCACGUUGGAUCCCAUUUCCUCAAAUACAAUGUGAAAUAACGUGAACAUAUAUACUACCACGUAUUUGCACAAUCACAACUAGUCAACCAGGCACAUUACAACUUUUACAAAGUACAUGAGCAUAUGGAUUACUCAUCACAGGCUUUAACAUCAUCAAAGCAAUAUGACAAUUUUUGUGCAAAUACCUGUUAAUGCAAUGAUUAUGUGAAUUACAAACAAUUUCACGUGUUUUAUUUAUGGAUCCAUACUCGUGUGAGUGCAAUGUAGGCAAGUUCUGCACUUCACACACAUGACAAUUAUUGUCAUCUCAUACACAACCCAAAAUAAAUAAAUAAGAAAUAUAGUGGAAGGAAGCAAAGCAAAGCAUGUACUCUGCUAUCUGCUUGCUAAGCAAUUGCCACAUCCUUCUUUCUUUCUACCUUUUUCUUCAGUCACCCACAAUCGUCAUAGAUCAACCUUCAUUUCAAAUGCUUUGCACUUUUAUUCAUGAGUUUAUUAUUAUCUGUUCUCAUUUCUCAUAGGCAAAUUUAGUAACAAAUGAAAUAAUAUUUAUUUCACAAAAUAUAUAAAUUCUAGUGCCAGAGAGGUACUCUUCACUCUGCACUGCUUCAAAUGUGGAAGGUUUUGAGAUGUUAUUGACAUGUGAUUGACUUUAUUUUCAUUCGUUUUUUAACAUAUACCCAAGCAAAAAUUAACAUGCAAUUGAAGCACAAAUAAGAGAUGCCAAAUCCAACAACAUUGAUGGUACAAAUUGGGGAAAACCAUUACUCUAACCCUAAACUCAAAUUCCUUACAUUACUCAUCAAAUGCUUUGCAGUUCUAUUCAUGAGUUUAUUAUUAUCUGUUCAAAUGUUUCUCAGGCAAAUUUAGUAACAAAGGAAAUCAUAUUUACUUCAUAAAAUAUAUAUAUAUAUAUAUAUAUUCUAGCGCCUCUUCUUAAUCUGCACUAUGCACUGCUUCAAAUGUGGAAGGUUUUGAGGGCCUCCUCCAAUUCAACACCAUUAUCUUAUUCAUAUCAUUAUUGACAUGUUAUUCACUUGUUAUUGACUUCAUUUUCAUUCUUUUUUUAACAUAUACCUAAGCAAAAAUUAACAUGCAACUGAAGCACAACGAAGAGAUGCCAAAUCCAACAAAAUUUAUGGUACAAAUUGGGGAAAACCAUUACUCUAACCCUAAACUCAAAUUCCAUAAAUUACUCACCAAAUGCUGGUUAUUGCAAGGUGUCUGUGUGGGGUCUUUCUGUUUCUUUGCUCCACAAAUGGAACCUACCACUUCCAACGAAUACAGCUUUUCCCCUUCCCCUUCCACUGCUUCGCCUCUUCACUGAUUUGGAAUCCACACCUUUGCCCCUUCUACUCCAAAUAAAUACUUUCUCGGGGUCUGGAGAACGGAGUGGCGAAUCGUUGCCUUCAACUGUCGUUAGCCGUUGCCUUCAUUGGGUAUCUCAGACCUCUGUGUUUUAGAGAGAUGAGUUCUUUCUGUUCAAACUUCGAACUUGCCUCUUCUUCUUCUUUUUCGGACGUGUUUCCCUCUUCUUCUUCUUUUUGGACGUGCUGGAUAUUCAAUUCGGGUUUGGGUUCCUUACCUACCCAAUUGUGAAACUUUAACUCAAUUCUCCCCAGCCCUUGGAUUAAUCUGAUGGCUAUAAAGUGAACCCCUUAUAACUUACCCCUUAUAACUUUCCACUCAUUAUAGUCUUGGCCAGGUAUGGCGGCCAUGCUAGUAAGUGUUGGGUCUUUGACCCAACUUAAGCUAAAUGGGUCAUAAGAUGACCGAUCAUCUUAUCUCAUAAGGAUAUAUAAGUCAUGUUAUGAUUUAGGAUUUUAUAGGGUUUCCUUUGUAAGAGGUAAGAGAGAAACAAGCUCUCUCUCUCUCUACACAAGGAGGUCAGCCAUAGCAAGGGAAAGGCUCCUAGCACUCUCCUCUCUCUUAUUAUAUCAUCCUUCCAAGGACAGCUUUGGUAUGGUAAAGUUGGAGGUUGCACACUUUGUGCACUUUGGUAAGAACUCAUCCAAGGGAGCCAAGAUUAAAUUGGUUAGCUGUUGGAUUAAAUUGGUUAGCACGAUUCAACGGUUAAUAGAUAAAACUUCACAUAAAAGUCAUAUAUAAGGCCCUCACUAUAGAAUGACUCGUUAGUUUAGUCUCUUGUUACAUAUCAAAUGUUAGAGAUAUUUUUUAAUAAGGAUCUGCCAUACCACAUAGUUGGAUAAGACAUUAUACACGGCUUUUGUAAGAGCAUCUCCAGCGCUCCAAACUAGCCCAAGCAGCAGGGGGGCCUAAGUCUAGGAAGCAGCUCCAGCUCGCAAGAUUCAACCCAGGCAAGGUGUGGAACCCACGAGGAGAUCUAGCCCGUCACCUUGCCUUUGGGUUUCAGUCAAGCUGAUGUCAACGAAAGAAUUUCAAAUUUUUUUUACCGUUACAAUGUACGCGCCAACGAUAAAUUUUCUUUGGAUUUCUUGCAUUGAUCCACAGCUACCAAAAACCAACAGCUACAAGCCACGUGGCUUCUCCAGGAGCCUCCGAUCCAAAAAUCAUGUCAAAUCUAACGGCAGUCCAUUUUUUGGCUAAAAAUAUCAAAAAAUUAUGGAAACAUGUUCUAUAAAUUCCUACAAAUAUUAUUCACUUCCCACACCAAAUCUUCAUACAAAUUCAUAUCCUUUCAAUAUUUUUCACUUUCCAUACAAGAUUUUCUACUACUAAGUUUCGUUUGUGUAAAAAUACAAAUGACCUCUUCUAUCGAAGCCGGAGGCGCGUGUACAACCGUGGAAGAUAUUUUGUUGCGUGAGUGUUGGGUCAAAGUUGGUCAUUCCCUGAUCACGGGCAAUGAGAUGAAGUCCUCUCGUAGGAGUUUCUGACAUCGCAACGAAAGUAAGAUGUGAUAUGAAAAUGUAAGGAAUUUGAUGAGAGGAAUGGGAUUUGAGGAGUUUGAUGUAGGAAUUGAUGUAGGAAUUGAAUUUGGGAGGUAUGUAUAUAAGAUUUGAGGGUAUGUGUUUAGGGAUUUUGAUAAGAGGAUUUGAGGAAUUUAGAUUUGAAGGAUUUGGAUUUGGGGAAUUUAAAUAUGAGGAAUUUGAUUAGGGUUUGGGUUUGAAUAUGUGAAAUUUGAUAUGAGAGUUUAGAGACAACAGAUGAUCGAUUGCUCUGAUACCAUGCUAAAAUAUGAUAUGGUUUGAAUACUUUAGGUUGAGUUUUAUUCUUUUCCAUAAAAAGGUAUAUAUAGGAGUUUACAUGAGUGCUUUACAAAGAAAUAGAUACAAUAAUCAAUUAGGAUAAUAUCUCCUAAUUAUACAAUAAUUUGUCAACUAUAUAGAAUAGGAAAGUAAAUUCCUUAAUUAAUCAAGAAAAUAAAUCUCAUUGAUUAAUUAGGAGACUAACGUCAACAUUUAUAAGCCAUAAAAGAGCAGAAAAAGAGGUACUUAGGAGAUUUUAUACGUCGGACUAAGGUAAGCUUAAAGGACUAUAUCAAAAAAAUAAGGGACCAAGAAGCAAGACAGAGAAGUUGUUAUGCAAACCCAUUAAGUUUAGCAGUGAUGAAUUUGUAAAAAUCAUUCUAGUGGAUUCUGCCUUCACUAUUGAGUUCUUAUUGAGGUUCUAUCUGAAAGGAUCUGGACAUGAAGGAGACCGCUUAUUAAACAAACCGUGGAUGUUUACAGCCUGACAUGUGGUUGCUUGAAAAUCAGCUCCCAUUCUUUAUUCUUGAGGAUCUUUAUCACACAUACAUAAUAACCGACUCUUUUAGGAAUUAUUACAGUACUCAUGAUCAUGAGAGGCUUUCAAUAAUUAAUAUUUCUAAGAAUUUCUUCACAGCCGGAAUAUUGAAUUUGGAGGGGAAGGGAGACAAAUGGAACAGAAUAUCAUCUUCUUCUAGUGUUGGAAAUUUUAUAUUAUUUAAUAAUAUUUAAUUUCUAUUGUGAAUGAAAAAUAAGUUUCUUUAAGAAACGUGUGUCUUAGGCCAGUUUUUCUAACUGGUCGGCUUCCUUAGAUUUGUGCCUAUUGCUUUUCAAAGUAUAAUGAUGCAAUGGUUGUAUCUCGUUCAGGCAAAUGGAAGGUAUAUAGCAAUUUAUAGAACAAUACAGUAAUCCAGAAGAAAUAUUAUGAAAUGAAAAGAAUAAAAAGUAAAAAAAGAGAAAGAAAGGAAUUCCCACCUGCAAUGUAUAUGUAUGAAAGGAAGGACCAAGUUUGUUUUAAAAUGGUAAGAACAAGUUGAUUUUAAAUUGGGUUCAGAUCAACUCAUAGAUUUCUUGCCUUUUCUGUUCUCCUUCCUUGGACAUGAACUGUUUAAUCUUGGACUCUUCCCCAUCAUGUUGGGCCUGUCUUCUUCUUGAGGAUUGUAUAGGCCUAGGAAAUGCUUCGGGGUAGUUUUUGUGUUUUGGGCAUUGGGACCCAACUUCACAAAAAGAAAACAAAUUUGACCAAAACACAAAUUUGAAGGACAUUGAAAUUGUACCCGUAGGAUAGAUUAAAACACUAUAAGGGAGGUAAAUAGUACGUUUACAGAGUUUAAGUGUAAUAAAGGAAUAAAAACAUGCCCAGAGAAUUGAUAAGUGAUAUCAAUUCUUGAAUAUACGUGAAAAUUAUUUUAUGUGGUUAAACCCCACCUCUGGGGAAAAUCCACGGAACUUCUUAGUCCAACUUCUAUCACUUAUCCUAGACACAUUCUAGAUAAUGUUUGCCAACCUCUUCGUAACUCAACUUCUGUCACGAGAUGAUCUUUCAACACUUUAUGUCGAACGCAAUACUGGUCACGAUUUCUUCAAGCUCGCCGGAGUUCUUCCAAUUCUCCUUAUAUUGAAUCUGAUACUAGUCACGAUCGAUUCAAGCUCAUCGGAGAAAAAUCGCCACAACAAUCUUGGUGCCCUCAACCGUAUGAGUCACUGAACAUGCAAAUGAAUACAAUAUGAAUGAUAAAAGUGUUUGAUAAAUCACCAAGUUAUGGAACACUUGAUGAUUUAUCUCAAAUAAAAAUUCAGCUUUCCAAAGUUUAUGAAUUGAAAAUAUGACCGUUAAAGCUCUCUAAACAAAGAAGACGAAGGUCUUAUUUUAUAGACUUUUACUUUACAAGAAAGAAAACACGUUGAAAACCAAAUCUCCAAUUUCCAAGGCUUGACAGAAAAUCACAAAAUUAUCUUUCCUAUUCUAGAGAUUGGUCACAUGAAGUCCAACCAAUAGGAAAUGAGAUAUUUAAGAAAGGAAGAUUUUGAUCAAUAUCAAUAUCAAAUGAAUUCUUAUACGCCUAGUCAAUUGUUAUGGGUAUCUUGACUCCUUGAUAUUGUGAUAUGAUUGAAACAUGAUUUCCACGUUAGAAAAUUAAGGGGAUGUUAAAACAUGAAGGUAAUAGGAGAAUCAAAUUGAUUUGGGCCAAAAUUGCCUAAAAAGAAAACACUCCUUAAUAAACUUCAAUUUACUUUUAAAAAUAGUAAAACGUGAUUGAAUCGUUCUUUAAAACAAUUCCCUAAUAUACAUGCAUGAUAGUGAUAUCACUUACCUUUGAAUCAGAUGGCUUUCACGGGUCAAGCCACAAGUUUUUGUCUUGGGGAUUGCUGAGCUUCAUCAAUCCUGCCAAUGUCAAUUUUGCCCCUAAGCUCUCUCAAAGCACGUUUACAACCUAUGCUAACAUAUAUUAGAGUUUAUGUUAGUAUCAAGAAAAUGCCAACACUAAUUUCGUAACACGUAGAAAUUGUUAGAGAUUGAAGUUUUUAUCAUUUUUUCUUCCAGACUCUCCACCACUCACUAAUAUAGUUUACUCAUGUGAUGAGUUUACAAAACCUAUUUCUCUACUCUCACAAAGACUAUACUUAGGGGGGUGUAUUCAAUUAGGAUUCUAAAGCGUUUAAAAAGAUUUUGUUUAAGUGCCAGCUUUCAUAGAACUUGAUGGAACUUUAUAAUUCGUAUAGAACUUGAUAGACUUUCAGAAGACUUCUGUAUAAUUUUUUAAUAAAACUUUCUUAAGCUUUCAUAGAACUUGAUAGGCUUUCAUUCCAAACUUAUGUAGAUGGUAUAUUUCAUUUUAUCCCCAUCCUUGACAUUUAAAGAAAGAAACUUGAAUUUUUUCAAUCAAAUUUGUUUUUGUUACCAAAGCAGCAAAAACAAAAAGUACUUGUUUGCGAUGGAAGAACAUAUGCACAGUUCAAAAUGAAAAGAAUAAGAAGCAAAGUACCUAUUUGACCAAUGAAUGCUGUGUCAACUAGAGAAGCAAUUGGAUCGGCUGUCAAAGCCAAUGCUGCAGGCAAUGCAUCGAUGGUCCAAAUUGCAAUAAAAAAAUAUUUUGAAUAAUGGCUCUUGCAGACAAAGACCACAUAAAUUCUGAACUGGUCUAGCUUGAAUAAUAAGGUUAGAUUAGCCAAUUGAUGAGAUUAAAAGCAAAGCAAGUUGAUGAAUUUAUCAUCAACUAUUUAAUAACCACAGUCCUGAUCUCUUGGACCCCUGUAGUCCAAGAGAUUUAUGGUCACCCACCGUUGGAUGUAAAUUCAACGGUUGACUUGAAUCGGGUAAUAAUCAUUUAUGUCAUAUUGCAUUUAUAUAUAUCAUUUUGAACCAUUGGAUUAAUAUCCAACGGUGGGUGACCACAAUCUCUUGGACUCCUGUGGUCCAAGAGAUCGGGACUGUUAAUAACCAAUAGAGUAUUUAAACAUAAACAACAAUGUUUGAUCAACAAAACAAAUAGUCCAAAUAUCAUCCAAAAAACAAUAACAAAAAAUCAAUCAUUCCAAACAAACUAGUCAUUCUCAAAAACUCUCAAAAAACCCACUCAUUCCAAAUUGUAGGAUAUCCAAUUUGAGCACUCCUCAGGAGACAUUUUCAAAAAUGCAUCCUUUUUUGUGUUACUAUGCAACAAAGAGAGUGCUUUAUAACGAGCAUGUUCAUCCAAAUUUGGGGUCUCCUUAAUGGCAUCCCAUAUAUAACUCCGCUGCUCUCUCUCUUUUUCCCUUUUUGCCAAUAGGUUAUGGACCUCCCGGAAGUCGAUGACAAUUGAAUCAAUGCUAAGGCUAAUUCUUCCCAUAGCUUGCUGGGUGGUCACAUUUGAGAUAGCAUUCCCUUCCAAAUAUGUUCUAGUUCGUUUCCUCUAGUAACAAGCAUAAAUCCUAGUAACAAGCAUAAACCCUAACCCCAACCUAUAACCUAAUAACAAGAAGAAAACCCAACGAGGUAUUGAUCAAAGAAAAAUUAGGGAGCAUACCUUCACAGAUGGAGGAAGGAAGCUGUUCGUCUUCGCAGAGAGAAAAUCUAGGGAAAGAGAAAAACGUCUUAUGAAAUACUUGGGGGGGAGGUUGGAUUUAUUUUGGUCUUUUUUAUUUAUAACUCUCCCCUUAAAACCUACGUAAAUUUAUCACUUAAUGAAAUCCUUCCAAAUAUAUGACCUUUCGAAUACACCUAGAUUUGAUUCAACUUUUUUAUAAUCAUAAUUGAAUACACCCAUAUUUGAAUGGACUUUUUAAAAGUUCAUAUAGGUCCGAAAUGAAUAUACUCAAACUUGUAAAACCUCUUUUAAAGUUUGUAUAAAUCCAAAUUGAAUACACCUGGAUUUUUAAAAUCUUUUUAAACACUUUAUAAUCCUAAUUGAAUACACCCCCCUUAUUCUCAAAAGACUAUAUUACUUUACCUCUAUCUCUGUGAAAUGUAAAAAGUUGAAACUUUAAUGUCAAACCUCAACAAAAGAUGAACUUUCAUCAGUUACGUUGAAUUUGGAUUUGUUGAACUUAAGUGGUUUUAUUUUCUUUGUCAGUGUUUGAUGACUUAAUUUGGUAUUUAUUUCUUCUUUUUUUUCCUUGGAAAUGUGUUCCACCAACGUGAGGAAGAAAAAUAUGCACAAAUUAAUAUAUUUAAUAGAAGCCCAAGAUUUCGGAUGCAUAUAAUUUCUACAAAAAUCUACAAAGUUUUUUACUUUACAAACUUCUUAUGUCUACCAAUUUCUACUAAAAUUAAUUUCUCUGUGGUGCUCAAAUUCAUCAUAUGUGUGUCGUUAAUUUUAUUGAAAAUUGGAAGUUCCCAUCAUUUUUGUUUUUUGGGAAUUUUCUGAACCAAGGAAAAUCAAGUAAAAUUAAUAAAGCCUAAAUUGGAAAGGGAAAAUAUCUAGAGGAUGCAUUGUAGGAUUGCUCAUGCCAAUAAUUGUACCCUCUAAAUAUAUAGAGACAUAUUUUUUUUGUUUUCAUGACAUGUGGUCCUAAAAUUAUUGUGUAAAUCUUCAAUCCUGAACGAUGCACCUAAAACUCAUCCACCCAUUCUCAGGCCAAUUAUUGCACCUAGUGGGCUCUCGACCCCCUCUCAAAUUUAACCACAUAUUUUAUGGACCAUCCAGCUGUGAGGUACAUUCCCCCCACAUGCCACAAUUGUAUAUUCACAAUUACGUCUGAUACAUCACAUCAUGCCACUUGCCUCAAAUGAAUUUAAGUGAGUGAGGCAGUUGGAAGUAAUUAAGCUCUAUAUUGGUGGGUGGAGUGUUACUUCUCGGUUCCCCUCAUCAUUCGUCUAUAAAAUGGUGAAGGCAGUUGCUAUUGUUACCAUAAGAGCCAGCUCCGACUUCCUUUAAUUUCUUGCUUCAUAUCCACUAGCUACAUCUGUUACCAAGUUAAUUUCAGUUCUAAUGGGGUUUCAUCUCCCACUCAUCUUUGCUCUUCUCAGUGUAAGCUCUGCAAUUUGAUUAACUUUUCCAUUCUCUCUCAUUGUACUCUAUAUAAACGAAAGUUUUGUGUUCCUAUUGUUCUCUCCGAUUUUAUUUAGUACGUACUUAAGUGUCGUCCACUAAUUAAUUAUACUUUGUGAUUUGAUUUUAAUUUGAGUUUGAAUUAAUGUUGCAGCUAGCAGCAGUGGCACUGGCAAACCAUGCUGCUCAACCAGCACCUCAACUUUACUGGAGCUCCGUCCUGCCAAACACACAGAUGCCAAGAUCUAUCAGUGAACUUCUGCAUCCUGGUUUGUGUUGAGCUCUUUAGAAUCUUAGAUAUCUCUUCUACCUGCCAUUUUACUAAAAUAUGUUCCACCACAUAUUUAUCAGUUAACCAUUGUCAUUACAUGAGUGACACAUAUUCACAAAUCGGCUGAUCACUUAUUUUCCAUUAUGACUUGAUAUAUAAUUUGCAGACUCCACAAAUGAAGAAAAGAGCACAAAUGACGUUGGCAAACCUGAAACUUUCCCAUUGGGCAAUCAACAUUACUCCAGUCAAAAACAUUAUGGAGGCAUACCUGAAACUUCCCCAUUGGGCAAUAAACAUUACUCCAGUCAAAAACAUUAUGGAAGAGGCAAACCUGAAACUUUCCCAUUGGGCAAUCAGCAUUACUCCAGUCAAAGACAUUAUGGAAGAGGCAAACCUGAAACUUUCCCAUUGGGCAAUAAACAUUACUCCAGUCAAAAACAUUAUGGAAGAGGCAAACCUGAAACUUUCCCAUUGGGCAAUCAGCAUUACUCCAGUCAAAAAAAGUAUGGAAGAGGUGCUUCUCCAUCCGACAAUCAACAACUCCAUUAUAAAGACUUAGCUAUUUUCUUCUUGGAGAAGGACAUGCGCCCUGGCACAACAAUGAAGUUCCAAUUCCCUAUAAAUUCAAACACGGCUACUUUCUUGCCACGAGAAAGCGCUCAAUCGAUCCCCUUCUCCUCUAACAAACUGCCAGAAAUUUUCAACCAUUUUUCAGUGAAGCCAACAUCUGAGGAAGCCAAAACAAUUAAGCAAACAAUCGAAGAGUGUGAAGCUCCAGACCUUAAGGGAGAGGAAAUAUAUUGCGCCACAUCUUUAGAAUCAAUGGUUGAUUUUAGCACUUCGAAGCUUGGAACAAGAAACGUUGAAGCAAUCUCGACGGAGGUAUUGGAAAAAGGAGCCACCAUGUCCAUCCAAAACUAUACAACAAUGCCGGGACUGAAGAAGUUGGCAGGUGACAAAGUCGUUGUGUGUCAUAAGCAGAACUAUCCCUAUGCUGUGUUUUUCUGCCAUGCAAUAAAACAUACAGCAGCUUAUGCUCUCUCCCUGAAAGGCGAUGAUGGGGAGAAGGUUAAAGCAGUAACCAUCUGCCAUCUAGACACAUCAGAAUGGGACCCAGAGCAUAUGUCCUUCCAAAUCGUCAACGUUAAGCCCGGAACCAUUCCCAUCUGCCAUUUCAUUUCCACUGAUGCUAUUGCCUGGGUUCCGAACCACAAAUCUGCAUGAUCAUCACUUAGCACUAGUACUGUGCGUAUAAUAUGCCUGUAUAAUUAUCUCCCUACUUAUUUCUGCCUCUUCAUCAUGUGGUGUAAGAUAUAUGUUGAGAUGAAGUUUUUGGGAUUUGUGGUCGAAAUUAACCCGAUCAUGUUUUCUCUUGCAACCAUAUAGACUUCAACUUGUACUCAUAAUAAAGCAUGCUAUAUUUAUGAAGAGAUAUUAAUCUUCAGGCAAAUAGAUAUUAUGAAAACAUAUAUAGCAAUUUAUCCAGAAGAAACAUUAUGAAAUGAAAAGAAUAAAAAGUAGAAAAACAGAAGGAAAGGAAUUCGCACGUGCUAUGCUAUGUAUGAAAGGACCAAGAUUGUUUUCCCUUUGGUUAAUGACUAGAAAAGCUCACUUGCAGAGUGCUUUCUCCGACCAUAGAUGGAAGAGAAAUUUUCUCUUAAUAAUAGCACAAUGAUCGGGUAAUUGUAAGAACAAGUUGAUUUAAAAUUCCUUGACCCAAAAAAAAAAAAAAAGUUCUUUUCAAAUUCAGGUCAACCCAUAGAUUUCUUGCCUUCGUCUUCUUCAUCACGUUGGGCUUGUCUUCUUUUUGCGUUUUGGGCCUUGGAAGUUGGGACCCAACCCAACUUCACAAAAAGAAAACAGAUUUGCCAAAAAUCAAAUUUCAAGUCUCUCCUCCGAUCACUAAUACAGAUCAAAUUUUGGAUUUGAUGAACUAAAGUGGUUUUACUUUCUCUGUCAGUGUUUGAUGACUUAAUUUGUUAUUUACUUUUUUUUUUUUACUUGAUCUUUGUAGGGGCUUUUUUUUUUCCGGCAGCUUAAACGGGCUGGGCUGCCGUAAAGGGUAGAUUGAUGAAAUUGUCCCCUUUGUCUGAAUUCGAAAAUCAAGCCCCAAAAGCGCUUCGAAAGGGCAGUAGAGCCUUAGGAAGCGUUCUGGUUACCUUCACUAAUUAAAACAACAGCAACUUACAGAUGAUUUCUUGAGGCUUACAGAUAAAUUUUCUAGCUUGGCAUGACAUGGAAGCAAAAUCAGCAUGAGUUUAGCACCAAAGAGGAAAAUAUGGCUUCCUAGGGAGAAAUGAGAGUGUUUAAGGUGAGGAAGAAGAGGUUUGCAGGCUGAUUUGGCUGAGAAAAGAGAAAGAAAGAACAAUGUUCUUCCGGCAGCUUGACAAAGCUUCUGACAGAUGUGAAAGUCGUCCGCCAGAAGAGGAAAAUGGAGAAGAAGGAUGAAUAGUGCACGAAAUUGGUGGGUUCUUGCAGGUAAGAGAGAAAGCUUGCUCUCUGAAUCUGAGUUGGUUUUGGUUGGGUAGAAGAAGCCCCCUUUUAUAGCUGCGGGAAACCAUCUUUUUCCAAGAAACCCUAAUGGUUUCUAUCCUUUUUGGCCAAGCUUUUCCCUUCCUUUCUCUUCUCCUCCCUUGACUUUUCCUAUCUUGGUGAAAUUUCCUCUGCCUAUUUGCACAAAAUUAGAGAUUUUGAGGAGCUCAAGGCCCCUUUCCCGCAGCUGCCUUAGUGGAGAAUCCCCAUUUUCAGUCAUCUUUCUUCCUUCUUUUCUCCCAUCUUCCAAGGCUAGGUUUGAUGAGAGAAAGAAAUGGAUAUGCACACUGGUUUGAAGGGUGUUUUUCCUUGAAACUUGUUCUCUCCCAUGUGCUGGAGCUUCCCAGCAGCUUACACACAUAGAUAUUUUGGCUUUCAUCGUGGCUUUUGUUUUCAGCUAGGUGCUGGAGAUUUUGCAUAUAUUUUCUUGAGUUGCUUGGGCCUUCUAGGACAAUACGUUGGUUUAUCAAGUGAAUGGGCUAACUUCAUCAAUUGUUGGGCAAUUUUGGUUGAGUUAAUGGACUAUUUUGGUUCAAGUAAUGGACUAUUUUGGUUGAAAUAAUAGGCUAUUUUUCUCUCUUUGUGCUCACCCACAUAUUUGGGCCUAAAAAAUGGGCUUGAGUUUCGGGGCUCCCAAGCAACCCCGGGACUUCCAUUUCUCGGCCCAUCAAUGAGCCUCAUGUCAACUUAUUACCAUCCAUACCACAACCCACUCAAGCAAGCCUCAGGCAUCUUGCGUGGCUUGGGCCCACGUAAGCUCGUAGUGGCAAUGUUGCUUAUUUGCUUGACGUGGCAUGUGUGCAAGUGCAUAUGACGAACUUUCGCGUGCCCAAAUUGAGUUUCUUCUCGGUAGGGUAUCGCAUUGGGCCGAGAAUUUAAUUGGGUAGAACCGUGGAUUUUUUGGGCCUCAACAAUCUUAUAUAUAUUAGUUUUCUUUUUUUCCUUAAUAUUCACCACCUUUCUGUUGCAUAAGUAUUCCAGUCUUAGCGGGUUUCCAUCUACCACUCAUCUUUGCUCUUUUAAGUGCAAGCUUUUUUAUUUUUAUUUUUUUAUGCACAAGAUUAGAGGGGAGGGAGAUUUCUCAAUGUAAGCUUUGCAGUUUCAUAAUUAAUAUUUCCAAUAUCUCACUGUUAGUAAAAUAUGGAACGGGAAAAGUACGAAUAAAAUACACACAUGUUUUAUUUAGCAAAAUUUUGACAAGAUACAACUGAAAAGUUUGGCCACUAUAUAAUAUUUUGAUUUAAUUUUUUUUAUUUUUUUAAUAUAUAUUAUUUUUAUUCAAUAAUAUGUGAAAAAUAGGUGUACAAUAUAUGAAAUUUGUAUGUAUUAUUGAAAAAUUCGUAAAAAAAAAACAUGUUAUUAAAUGUGAAAAAUAUGUACGUAUAUGUAUAAAACAUGUAUUGUACAUUACUUUUUAACAAACUUGUAUUUUACCUAGUCUUUAAACCGUAUAUGGAAAACGGAAGUAUUAUUGAAAAAUACAUAUGUACGUAUAUGUAUAAAACAUGUAUUGUACAUUACUUUUUAACAAACUUGUAUUUUACCUAGUCUUUAAACCGUAUAUGGAAAACGGAAGUAUUAUUAAAAAAUACAUAUGUACGUGUAUAAUAUGAGUAUUAAACAAAAAAAUGUGCUAAGUACUUAUCUUUUAAUUUAAUAAUUCAUUUCAUUUUGUGAUCUCAUACGUAGUAAUGAGAGUUCAAAUUAAUGUUGCAGCUGACAAUGGUGGCUCUGGCAAGCCAUGCUUGAUGCAGGAGUAUAGGGGUGGAUCAAGAUAGAUAUUUACCAUGUAAUUAGUUAUUUCAUGAUAUAUUGUUAUUUUCUUAUUUAGGUAGUUUUAUGAUAUCUUUUAUUAUUUAUGUGGGAUUUUAUAAUUAAUUAGUUUACUUUUGGACCAAGUAGCCUUGGUGCUCAAGUCUUGUAAAGCUUAUAAAUAAGGCUAAUGUAAUAGUUGUAGGAAAAGAGAUGUCGAUGAUUAAUAAAAUCGUUUAUUUGUGGCAUGGAUUUGCUACGAUAUAUGUGAGUUUGCACUAGCCCUAGAUUUCGGUGCUCGUGUAUGUGGUUGGUGACCUGUGUCCGGAUCCCGAUCCCCAUCAAUGCUGUUCUCCCAGUACCUCAACUUUACUGGAACUCUUUCCUGCCAAACACAAAUGCCAAGAGCUAUCAGUCAACUUCUGCAUCCUGGUUUCUAUUAAGGGACUUUUCGUGAGCUUAUCAUCUACCCAAAUUUUACUCAUCCGACGUAAUUUUAAAAGUGAUUUGAUCCUUUGGCAAAGUAAUCUUGAACUACAAAAAAGGAGGGCACUCGAAUAGGCAUGCCAUUUGGUAUUACCCACCUCUAAUUUCUUUUAAAAUUUUAGUAAUUGAUUUUUAAGAUUAGAAAAUGGGAAAGUUCAAAACCGAAAAAGUUGUUUCAGUUUUGGCAAGUAUCGGAAAAGACUAAAAUUUUCCGACUUUAUUAUUACUAGAAACAAAGUCGAAGUAUUCACCAAUCAUGUGGCCUUCCAAGUGCUCAAGGUUAAGCCAGGAACCGUUCCUAUCAGCCAUUUCCUUCCCAAGUAUGAUCAUGUUGUCUGGGUUCCAACCCACAAAUCUACAUCAGUACCUGAACUAAUCAGUUCUACAUGAAUAUUCAUUCAUGGCAACCUUGGGCUAAGUAUUUGAAUUUAUGCUCAUAAAGCUUUAAUGCUUUUGAGGGCCAAUCGUUGUCUACAUAUGGUAUUGUAGCAUCUUUAGAUGGAAGAGGUCAGGGGUUCAAUUCUUGUUUUCCACUUCUUUAUUUGUUGGUUUAUCGAGUGUAGAGUGGAGUUGCACCUAUAUGUUCGUCUCUCACCCCAUCAUUUACCAUUGAUAUAUAUUUAAUAGAAGCCUAAGAUUUCGGAAGCACAUAAUUUCUACUUUACAAACUUCCUGUGUCUACCAAUUUCUACUAAAAUUAAUUUAUCUGCGGUGCUGAGAUUCAUCAUAAUUUUAAUAGAAAUUGGAAGUUUUCAUCAUUUUUGCUUUAAGUCUCUACUCCACUCACUAAUAAAGAUUACUCAUGUGAGUUUACAAAACAUUUUUUUUUUCUACUCUCUCCUGAAGACUACACUUCUUCUCAAAAAAUUAGAUCACUUCACAUCUUGUGUAUGUGAAAACUAAUGUAAAAAGUUGAAACUUUAUCGUAAAACCUCGACAAAAAUGAGCUCUACUACAAAAUGUUAAAUUUGGAUUCGUUGAUUUAAAUGGCAAUUUGACACUUGAUAGAAAUUUUUACAUACAUGUGUUAGUGUUUGAUCACUUCACAUGUCACUUACUAUAUUUAUUCCACUCAAGUUAGGUAAAUAUUAUUAUCAAACAUUUCAAUUAAUUUGUGAUUUUUUUAUUAUUUAAUCAAUUAUGAAUUAAUGGAUUCUUCUUGUUGUUUUGAAGACCAACAAAAAAAAAAAAAAGGGUAGUGAUGGCUUAUAAUUCUGGUAAAACAACAGUGACGUGGACAACAGAUGUUACGCUGUACUAAAGAUUUUUGAAGAUUCUUUAUUUGAGUUUCUUUCAAGAUAAAAACCAUAUUAUCCACAACCACAAGCACAUCCGGCAGACAAUCUUUGGCUAUUCAUCACAAUUGGGAGACAAUGAAGAAGACAGAAAAUGGAGUAAUUCAGAUGUUACCAGCCAUCCACGACAAACUGAAGUCUGCAAAGCAUUCGUAAUCUAAAAAGGAUGGGGAGGCUGCGCAAUACUUAGCCACGUGUAGGCCAGGAGGCUUUCCAAUUUUAAUAUAUAUAUAGAUUGAAAAAAUAAAAUAAAAAUCAAUCUAUUAUCAUAUAUAUUAUAAAAUAAAGAUUAUUGCUCCCAUGGGCGGUGCUAUGCACAGGACAGUGCCUGCCUAGUCCAAAUUUUUUUUAAAUAAAAAUAAAAAUCUACAUAUGUUAUAAGCUCAUCCAAAAAAAAAAAAAAAAAUAAAAGUGUUGUAAAUUAUAAGGUGGAGCCCACAUGUUGGAAGGCUUUGCCUACAAAAGGGUUCACACCCUCCCUUUGUAAUUAGACAUUGAGAAUACUAAGGAAGACAGAAAUGAAUAGAGAGAAAACAUUCCCUUCUCUCCAUCUCAAUUCCCUCUCCAAUUCCUCUAGAUUUAUAACACGUUAUCAGCAGCACGAAUCGCUUUCAAACAAUACCAGCUGAAUUUUAUGAUGAAACCCAGAUCUCUCAUCCAUCUCUGCUGCUCCACUACUUCAAAAUAAAUCCCACAGAAAAAGAAAAAGCCUCAAUGCUCUCUCUCUCUCUCUGUCUCGCUUGGGAGACUUGGACAAUUCCUCAUCCCCGUUACUGACAAUUUCAACAGCUUCAGGGGAAGCUAGUUUAUCUUCCUCUGCUCACGAAACCAUGACUCUUUCAGAGCCAAACAACAACACAAUAGACAACGCAUGGAGACCAGACUGGAGCUCGUCGGCUAAGGCACCGACGAUCCGACCCUACCCGUAUGGACCUUCCGGAUGUGGUUCCUGGGUCUUGUCUCAUGUGCCCUCCUCUCAUUUCUCAACCAAUUCUACAAGCAGCAGAGCUUCAAAUCAAACAGAUCAUGGCAUCGCUUUCACACCUCCCCAUCUUCCUCUUCCUCCUGUUCACCGCUUUCUAUUCUACAGCUUCGCAGUCCUUCAUCGGCGCAUCCAAAGGCGACAUACCGGCGCUCGCCUCAGAUCCGAACGCGGCGGCUCAGUGGGUGAACUCGAAUGUCCUCGCCUUCUACUCGGCCAGCAACAUCGACCUCAUCAACGUCGGCAACGAGGUCCUUUUUCUCCAACGACCAGGGCCUCAUCUCGCAGCUCCUCCCCGCCAUGCGAAAUGUCCAAUCUGCCCUCUCCGCCGCGUCCCUCGGCGGCAAGGUCCGUGUCUCCACGGUCCACUGCCUCGCCGGAUCGGGAUCCUUCCUUCAAGUGUUUCUCUGUCUUCGACUUGAAAAAGAAGGUCAUGGCAGGCCUAUGUAAAAAUUGCGAAAAGGAAGGCAAUCUUCAACCUUUUCUCCUGUCUCUCUCUUGAUCAAUUCAUGGAAGGCACAUUUGGGUCUUCCGGGGGCUCAUCAAAUGAGUCAGCAAUGUCAAAGGUGGAGGUGGUGGAGCAAGACUACGUGGGGAUGUCAUAUGAGGCAACCUCAUACCCAGCUGAGGCAGAGCUUGUGCUGGGCCUGGGCCUUGGCCUGAGCCUUCGUGGUGGUGGUGCAGGGAAGCAGCCAAAGCCAUGUGCAUGGGGUGAGCGUGGUAGAAUCUUGACUGCUAAAGUUAGGUGCUGAGUUACACUGUGUUCUCUGCUACUGACCCUAAGAGGAGUGCUAGAAACUUCCAUGUUCCGCCAUCAUUUCGCUUUCACUGUUACAAGGCACUGGAGUAUGUUUAAUUGAAAAGUGAGAUACACAGCAAGUUGAUCAGCCUAGUGGAAAGCAAAGGAUUAUUGCCAGGGAUAUGAACACCCACCGAAAUAAAGGGAUAAGUACUCUUUUUCCCUUCGACCAGUUUUUUUUUGUCCCACUGGGUUUUUACUGGCAAGGUUUUUCACGAAACAUAUUCCGUAUCAUUUGUGGUCUCUAAGAGGGAGUGUUGUAAAUUAUAAGGUGGAGCCCACAUGUUGGAAGGCUUUGCCUACAAAAGGGUUCACACCCUCCCUUUGUAAUUAGACAUUGAGAAUACUAAGGAAGACAGAAAUGAAUAGAGAGAAAACAUUCCCUUCUCUCCAUCUCAAUUCCCUCUCCAAUUCCUCUAGAUUUAUAACAAAAAGUAAAUUCUACACAUAUGUUGCCCAUCCAGGUGGUCCCAUAUCUUCUCUUUCCUUUUCUUUUGGCUAUUAGACUUCUUGUUUCUCUCUCUCUCUUUGCUACCCCACAUCAGCAAGUUUCUCCCUCUCUUUUUUUGGGAUCAAAUUCUUCUUCUAUUGACAAAAUCUUCUAUUAUAUUGGGUGGGCAACUUGGCAACAACAUCUUCUCCUCUCCUUUUGUCAACAGCAAGUAUUAUUCUCAUUCUCUCAUUUGCUAUAUAUCUUUAAUUAUAGUUUUAAUUUAAAAUUGAGUAUUCUAGGGUUUAAUUAGGGAUGAAUUAUAAUUUUGGGAUUUUGUUGAAAUUAAUUAGGGCUUCGAUUAGGGGUGAAUUAUUCUACUGCUUUGAUUUGGAAUUUUGUUAAAAUUGAGUAUUAUAGGUUUAAUUAUGGAUGAAUUACAAUUUUUGGUUUUGGUAUUGUUGAGAUGUUAUUAUGAGAAUUUGUUUGAUUUUUUGUUGGUAUAUUUGAUUAAAAUUCUUUCUACAUAUUAUUCAUAGGCUAUCUUUUAUUAUGUCGGAUCACAAUCGGAAUCCCAAGAAAACAAAAAAUUUGAAUAGUGUUGUUUUGUAUUGCAUUGCAUUUACUUUUGGUUUUAGUUUUGCUUUUAGUGUAAAUUACUCAAAUGGUCCUCAAAUUUGUACCCAAUUUACAUUUUGGUCCAUAAACUAAAUUAUUCAUUCAAAUGGUCCACCAACUCUUUAUUAAUCGGUGCUUUGGUCCUAUCGUUAUGUUUUCUAUUAAAUUUAGUCAUGUGAGCAGCACAUGCUACAUUUGUAUGGGUAAAUAAGACUUUUGACCAGUGGCGGAUCCACGUUGGGACAAGAGGGGUCGGACGACCCCUUGGAAGGCUGGAAAUUUGGCAAGGGAGUCCAUGAAAGCCCCCUUGGACAGCUGCUGGAAGCCCCCUUGUAUGCACACAAUGUGCUCGACGAAAUGCCCCAACGAAAUGUCCUGCGCAGCUGUGCUGCGCCUUGCGCGUAAUUUUUUUUUAAAACCAGCCUUGCCAAACGACGUCGUUUGGUCAAGGCUCAGUCAAAUUUUUUUUUAAUUAACCUGGCCUCAAAACGACGUCGUUUUGGGCCAGGUUUAAAAAAAAAAAAACAGAACAGUACACACGCACAGCAGCUCUGCACAGAUUCAUUUUCUCCAAACCUUUCAUUCCCAAUUCCACAGCCCCUCUUCCCAUCCUCUCAAACCCUAACCUCCCAACCUCCCAACCUUGGACAACCUCCAUCAACUCUUCACCGGUGGCCCAAUGCCGAUCACCACCACCUUCUACCGCCGUCCGCCGCCCAUUUUUUAAACUACAAGUAAGUAAGCAUGGAAAAUCUGAUAUUAAUAAUUAUAGUGAUAAUAUAUAUUGUUGAUAUUGAUAUUUUUUUUUUAUGUAAUGAAAUUUAUGGAUAUGAAUCAUAUUGAUUGAUUGAGUUUAUGCUUGAAAUUUAUGGAUAUGAAUCAUAUUGAUAUUUUUUUUUAUGUAAUUAAAUUUAUGGAUAUGAAUCAUAGUGAUAAUCAUAUUAAUGUAGAUUGAUUGAGUUUAUGCUUGAUUGAUAAUAUGAAUUGAUUGGGUAUAUUAAAUAUUGAUUGCUAUUUGAUAUGAUAAUUUGGUAUAUUGAAUAUUGAUUGAUAUGGGUUUAGGGAGUAUAUUGAAUAUUGAGAGUGGGUUAUUGAAAUUUUCAUAUUCAUAUGAUAAUUAGGAUAAAAAUUAAUGAUUGAUUGAAUUAAUUGAUUUGUAGAUUUAUGGAACGAUUCUUUAAAAGAAAAUUAUCUACGGAUAGUUCUUCUCUGUCUAAUCCGGGUAGUUCAAAUGCAAGACCAAUUGAAGUAGAUGAGAUCUUAGCUAAUCUUCAAGCAGACCCUGGACUAAGAACUCGAAUGGCGGAUUAUAGUCCUAAUAUUAGGGAUGAGAUCCGAAGAGCAUAUCUACAAAAGGGACCUUGUCAACCUAGAAGUUAUAAAUUCCCACAAACUAAUCAAUCAGGAAUUAAUAGACGCUUCAUUGCUCAUUGGUUUGAUGAUCAUGAUUGGUUGGAAUAUAGUAUUGCUAAAGAUGCUACGUUUUGUCUUCAUUGUUAUCUCUUCAAAUCUAAUUUUGAUCAAGUGGGUGGUGAUGCAUUCACUGGGGUAGGCUUCAAUAAUUGGAAGAAGGCGAAAGAAAGAUUUAACCUUCAUAUUGGACCGGUUGGUAGUGUUCACAACCAAGCUAGAGAAGUUGCUUACAAUUUGAUGCAUCAAACUACACACAUUGAAACAAUUGUGCUCAAGCAAACAAGCCAAGCUCGCACGGCUUAUCGCACUUGCUUGAAUGCAUCACUUAAGUGCACUAGGUAUUUGUUGCGGCAAGGGCUUUCUUUUCGUGGUCAUGAUGAAAGUGCACAAUCAAGUAAUAAAGGGAAUUAUUUAGAGCUCUUGCAAUUUCUUGCGGAUCAUGAUGAAAAAGUUAAGGCCGUUGUAUUGGAAAAUGCUCCGGGAAAUUUAAAGUUAAUAGCUCCUUCAAUUCAAAAAGAUCUUGUCAAUUCUUGUGCCAAAGAAACCAUUGAUCUUAUCUUGAGUGAUGUAAAAGAUAGAUAUUUUUCAAUAAUGGUGGAUGAAGCACGUGAUGUUUCAAUAAAGGAGCAAAUGGCAAUGGUGUUGCGUUAUGUGAAUGACAAAGGACAAAUAAUUGAAAGGUUUGUGGGGGUUCAACAUGUAACCGACACUACUUCAAGUGCACUAAAGGAAACAAUUGAUGAAUUCUUUUCUUCCGCGAAUUUGAGCUUUUCCAAGCUACGAGGACAAGGUUAUGAUGGAGCUAGCAAUAUGAGAGGUGAGUUCAAUGGCCUUAAGAGAAAGAUUUUGAGAGAACAACCUUGUGCAUUUUAUGUUCAUUGCUUUGCUCAUCAACUUCAACUAGCUCUUGUUGCGGUAGCAAAGAAAAACAUUGAUGUCAACUCUUUUUUCACAACGGCUAAUAGUUUGGUUAAUGUGGUUGGAGCAUCUUGUAAGCGUCGCGAUGCACUUAGAGCACAAUACCAAGAAGAGCUUGUGAGAGCUUUUGAAGAUGAUUGUCUUAUAACGGGGCGGGGCUUAAAUCAAGAAAGGACUCUCAAACGUGCCGGCAAUACACGAUGGAACUCACAUUAUGGUACGUUGAUUAGUAUCAUUUCUAUGUUCCCAUCUGUGGUGAAUGUGCUUCAAAUGAUUGUUGAUGAUAAUCUUAAUGAUAGUUCGGGUGAAGCCUAUAAGUUAAGGAGAGAAAUACAAUCUUUUGAGUUUGUGUUUCACUUAUUUGUAAUGAAAGCUAUAUUGGGAAUAACAAACACUUUGUCUCUAGCAUUGCAAAAGAAAGAUCAAGACAUUGUGAGUACAAUGAAUUUAGUGAAAACAUGCAAGGAAAACCUGCAGUUGAUGAGGGAUAAUGAGUUUGAAGAAUUGGUUGGGCAAGCAUCCUCGUUUUGUUACAAAUAUGAUAUUAUAGUUCCUACCAUGGAUGAGGAAUAUGUAAUUCCAGGGAGAUCAUGGCGUAAUGCUCCAAUGAAGACAAAUUAUCAUCGUUAUCGUGUGGAGAUCUUUAUUCAUGUAAUUGAUGGGCAACUUGCGGAAUUAAAUGAUCGCUUCAACGAGGUAAGUACUGAGUUACUUACUUGUUUGGCAUGCUUGAGUCCAAAAAAUAACUUUGUGACUUUUGACAAACGAAAGCUAGUUCGUCUUGCUCAAUUUUAUCCUUAUGAUUUUUCGGAUAGAGACUUAUUGAUGCUUGAAGAUCAACUUGGUGUUUAUGUUCAUCAUAUGCGUUCGAGUAGUGAUUUUUCUCAAUUGGAAGGGAUUAGUAGUCUUGCGGAAAAAAUGGUGGAGAAAGGAAUGCAUGAAAUAUUUCCUUUUGUAUUUGCUUCUUACAUUGGCUUUGGUUUUACCGGUUGCAACUGCAUCAGUGGAGAGGGCAUUUUCCGCUAUGAAUAUUAUUAAAAAUCCACUUCGCAACAGAAUGGGAGAUCAAUGGUUGAAUGAUAGCUUGCUUGUUUACAUUGAGAGAGAUGUUUUUGCUUGUAUUGAUAACGAAAUUAUAAUGCAAUGUUUUCAGAAUAUGAAAACUCGUCGUGGACAAUUGUAACUUGUAUUAUUGGUUUUGUUAUGAAUUAUGAAUGAAAGUACUAUCUUUCUAUCUUUUUAGCAUUAUUUUCUUUGUAGAAAAAUUUCAGAACUUUUACACUAAGCCCCCUUGGCUACAUAAUCCUGGAUCCGCCACUGCUUUUGACCACUUUAUCACCUAUGUAUCACCACUUUAUAACCUAUUUGGGGAACAUAGGUCAGUUAUGGACGGUUUUACCCUUACAUUUGACGGCAACAUUAACAUAAUGUAACAGUGGGAUCAAUGGAGUGAUUAAUAUAAAGUUGAUGGACCAUUUGAAUGAAUAAUUUAAUUGAGAGACCAAAAUGUAAAUCAAGUAUAAGUUUGAGGACCAUUUGAGUAAUUUACCCUUCGCUUUUAUAUUUGUUGAACUUUUAUUUAUGAUAGAUAUGCAUUUAAGGGUAAGACCCAUUAUGUUCCCCUGGCUAGGUGUAUCUUUUUAUGUUUAUUAAUGAAAUUCACUCGAACUGUUGAGUUUAGUAUGUAAGUUUUGCCUAACUGGCUUUUGAAUCCUAGAACCGCCACUGUUGCUCCAUCCUCCAUGCACUUGCAUGUGCUCUUACAAAGUGUGAAGUAGAUUUUGUGUGCUCCAAGUCAUUGACUAGAGCUGAAACAUGGUUAGCUAGAUUUAUAAGGACCCAUCUCUUUAUUUCCUAGACAUAUACCCAUCUCUCUAUAAAUCUAUAUGUAAAACCUAAUUUCAAACUUAAAUGACCAGUAGGAUAUAAAAGGUCAUAGUAUUCCUAUGUUUUUAUAUCGUUGCCACCAGACUUCUUAUUUUAUUUAUAAUUUAUUUCAAGCAUUUCAUUAACUGCCAUAAUUGUAAUUAAUACUCCAUAUUAAUAGCAUAUCAAUCACCCCAUUUCUUUUGGUUGCCAUUCCCUCUAACAUAUCGCCCCUUAAAUUUGAAAACCAAAAAAAAAAAAUGUAAAUUACAUAUCCAAUAAUGUACCUAUGAAAAAUAUAAAUAUAAAUAUAUACAUAUAAAAAUAUAGGUAUAUUAUUUACCAAAUAGAAAAUAUAAAAACCUAGGUCAGUUGCUUUGUAAUUGAAAUUUCUGUACAUUUUCCACAAAUUAAAAAUAGGUACAUAAUAAUUUAUAGAAAAUAUAUGUACAUUAUUUAUCCAUAGGUAAAAAUACCGAUAAAUGCACAUAGGUGAAUUAUUUACCAAUAUAUUAUUUUUUUGCUAAGGAUUUACCUUAGUUUUUAGUAGAUUAAUUUACCUACCUAGAGGCAUAGGUAGCUUAAAAAAAAUGUACCACCUUAGUUGGUUGCAUACUAAUUUACCUACCUAGAGGCAUAGGUUGCUAAGAAAAAAUGUAGGUAAAUUCAUGUACCUAAACACAUAGGGGUCAAAUAGAGAAUAACAUGUUAUUUCCCUUUGAACAAAUUAAUUUCAAACCAUAACAAUUAUUGAAUUUGGAAAUUGGUAUAAAUAAAAGGAAAUAAAUAAACUAUCAAUUUGAAAAUUAAAAUAAGAAAUGAUCAAGUAGUCAUAUUUGAAAAAAAAGGAAAGAAUAUAUUCUUGGUUUUUAUAGGAACAACGAGUAUAUUCAAACCAAACGGCGAUAACUACACCAAGCUUUAAUUACUUUUUUUUAAGGCCAAAAGUCACUUUUGGUCCCUGUAGUUCGGCAUUUCUACCACUUUUGAUGUUGUAGUUUCAAUUCCGUCAAUUUUGCCAUUGUAGUUUCGUAUUUGUAGCAAUUCAAGGACCUGUUAAUAUUAAUGUCAAUUUGUUUAAUGAUGCAAGAGGUAAUUUCGUCAUCCCAAAAUCCUUGAGCAUAAAAGAUUGUCUGAAAUUCUCCCCAUUUCAUAUUAGGGCUCGAAAUUCAACCACUAAUCCUAAUUUUUGAAGAACCCUAGACCCAAAUGACCAAUUUCAAGCCCUAAUAUGAAAUUACGGAAGUUUUAGAUGAGCUUUUAUGCUCAAGGAUUUUGAGUUGAAGAAACUGCCCCUUGCACUGUCAAAUAAAUUGACAGGAAUACUGACUUGUCCUUGAAUUGCUACAAAUACAAAACUACAGUGUCAAAAUUAACAGAAUUUAAACUAUAGGGUCAAAAGUAGUUGAAGUGUCAAACUAUAAGGACCAAAAGUGACUUUUAGCCUUUUUGUUUCAAUAAGGAAAAAACUGACCUAUUAAAUCCUUGGAAUCUAUACAAAAUUGAAACACAAUUAAUCAACAUUGAAUUGCAGCUAAUUUCUUAAACAAGGGUAUUAUAGGAAUUUAAAAAGUAUAACAUUUAAUCCAUUGAAUUUGAUUAGGAAACUUGAUGAAUUGAAUCCUAGUUAUAUAGUUUUUCUUAUAAAAAUCAGGUUUUAUUUAUAGACAAAUAAAACAAUGGGUUGUAGGUAAGAAAAUAUUAAUUUGAAGGGAAAGAGUCAAAUUUACUAAAUUAAUAAAGCAUAAAUUGGAAAGGGAAAAGAUCUAGAGGAUGCAUUGUAGGAUUGCUCAUGCCAAUAAUUGCACCCUCUCGAUAUUGAAAAACCUAUUGUUUAUUAUUAUCUUCAAUCCUGAAUGAUGCACCUAAAACCCAAGUGUCUCAGGCCAACCAUUGCGCUCAUACCACUUGUUGCAGUACACAUUCACCUGUUUUUAAAGAAAGAAAUUCUACCAAUCGAUAUUUUCUCAAAUUUAAUCACAUAGAUCUAUUAUGGUUAACCAUAUGUACUUUUAUCUGCCAUCCAGAGGUACCUUUUUCCAACGUGCAACAAUUGUAUUUGAUUCACAAUUAUGUCUGAUAUACAUCACAUCAUGCCACUUGCCUCAAAUGAAUUUAAUUGAGUGAGGCAAUGGGAAGUAAUUAAGCUCUAUAUUGGUGGGUGGAGUGUUACUUCUGGAACCCUCAUCAUUCGUCCAUACAGGGGAACAAUUCCCUUCCUUCUAUAAAAUGGGAGCAAUUCUCUCACUGUACUCUAUAUAAAGGAAUAAGUGUCGUCCACUAAUUAAUUACACUUUGUGAGAUUUGAUUUUAAUUAGAGUUCGAAUUAAUGUUGCAGCUAGCAGCGGUGGCACUGGCAAACCAUGCUGCUCAACCAGCACCUCCACUUUACUGGAAUUCCAUCCUGCCAAACACACAAAUGCCAAGAGCUAUCAGUGAACUUCUGCAUCCUGAUUUGUGUUGAAUAGAUAUAGUAUGUUACUGGAGUACGUAUGGCAACAUAUUCACAAAUGUGUCACGUAUUUUCCAUUAUGACGUUGAUAUAUAAUUGCAGACUCCACAAACGAAGAAAAGAGCACAAAUGUCAUGAAUGCUGUUGGGAAUGGAAAGCCAAUUGACCACAAGGGCAAACCUGAAAAUACUGUACUACCACAGCUUGCACGACGCCCAUUUUCUUACAAGAGUGAUGAUCGUCCCACUGACAAUCAACUCCAUUAUAAAAACGUAGCUAUUUUCUUCUUGGAGAAGGACAUGCGCCCUGGCACAACAAUGAGCUUCCAAUUCCCUAGAAAUUCAAACACGGCUACUUUCCUGCCACGAGAAAGAGCUCAAUCGAUCCCCUUCUCCUCUAACAAACUACCAGAAAUUUUCAACCAUUUUUCAGUGAAGCCAACAUCUGUGGAAGCCAAAACAAUUAAGCAAACAAUCGAAGAGUGUGAGGCUCCAGGCAUUAAGGGAGAGGAAAUAUAUUGCGCCACAUCUUUAGAAUCAAUGGUUGAUUUUAGCACUUCGAAGCUUCGAACAAGAAACGUUCAAGCAAUCUCGACGGAGGUAUUGGAAAAAGGUGCCACCAUGUCCAUGCACAAGCACACAACAAUGCCGGGACUGAAGAAGUUGGCAGGUGUCAAAGUCGUUUUGUGUCAUAAGCAGAACUAUCCCUAUGCUGUGUUUUACUGCCAUGUAAUAAAACCAACAGCAGCUUAUGUUCUCUCCCUGAAAGGCGAUGAUGGGGUGAAAGUUAAAGCAGUAGCCAUCUGCCAUCUAGACACAUCAGAAUGGAACCCAAAGCAUUUGGCCUUCCAAAUCCUCAAAGUUAAGCCCGGAACAAUUCCCAUCUGCCAUUUCCUUCCCACUGAUCAUAUUGUCUGGGUUCCGAACCACAAAUCUGCAUGAUCAUCACUUAGCACUGUACGUAUAAUAACCUUUACCCCUGUAUAAUUAUCUCCCUACUCUACUUAUUUCUGCCUCUUCAUGUGGUGUAAGAUAUAUGAUGAGAUGAAGUUUUUGGGAUUAGUGGUCGGGUUGCCUUAAAAACACAGAUUACAGAAACUGCUUGAACUUAACCCGAUCAUGUUUUCUCUUGUACUCGUAAAGCAUGCUGUUGUGGUUCUACUUAAUUUCGUCCUCCCCAAUGUUUGAGUGUUUAAUUGUUACGUUGGAAUAGGCUGCUAAUGCAUGUAGUUAGAGAAGCUUUCAUUUAUAUCAAAG
rnacentral:lncRNA from 1 species